rnacentral:lncRNA from 1 species
CCCUUACAGGAGAGAGCUUAAGCUUGACACCAAAGUCCCUAAUUUUCUGGGACGGCUCAAUGAAAGUUCUCCCAACAUAGUGUGACCUUAUCAACCCUUGUUGAAAUGGUACCCCGGCUUUCGCAGCGUACCCAAGUGCAGCCACCACUCCAGAAUCUGGUACUGCAAUCACGACAUCAGACUCAACAGGAGCCUCGGUAGCAAGUACUUCCCCAAAAUGAUUCCUCGACUCAUAAACAGACCUUCCAAAAACAACAGAAUUAGGCAAAGCAAAAUAAAUAUGCUCAAAGAUGCACUGCUUAGGUUCAGGGUGAGGCAUCAAACAAGGUGAUUGAACCCCAUCUUCAUCCACCAUCAAAACUUCACCGGGAUAUACCUCUCUCUCGUAUGUGGCCUCAAUCAAAUAGUGCACAAGUCUCUGACGCAAAAACCACAGCACCAUUACUCCUCCUACCCAUCACCAACGGCCUAAACCCAUACGGGUCACGAACCGCAACAAGCUUAUCCUCAGUAACAAACACCAUUGAAUAAGCACCCUCAAGCUUCUCACAAACAUCCACAAUCCUCAAAAAGAACGGCCUAGCUUUUGAUAUCGGAAUCAAAUGGAGAACAACCACAGUAUCAGAACUAGUAUUACAAAAUGGAUCCAUUAUCUUCAAGCUUAGCCCUCAAAGUAUUAUAAUUAACUAAAUUCCCAUUAUGUGCAACACCAACAGAACCAAACCUGUACCCAGCAACAAAAGGCUGCACAUUCUUAAGCAUAGAACUACCCGCAGUCGAAUAUCUAACAUGACCAAUGGCCAUAUCACCCGGCAAUUGAUCAAGUUUAGACUGAUUAAAUACAUCAGAGACUAAACCAACACCAGUAAUAGACUGAAGAACUUUAUUAUUCACAGCAACUAUACCUGCACCUUCUUGGCCGCGAUGCUGCAUCGCGUGUAGCGCCAAAUAGCACAAACGCGAGGCCUCUGGGUCACCAUAGAUGCCCACAACACCACACUCCUCACGGGGCUUAUCGUCGUCAUCAUCAUCAAAACUGCCAAAACCGUCAUCUGGGUAUUCUUUAUUUGUGGUGAAAAACUCAGAGAUGGGGUUUUUUGAUAGAACAGUGAAGUUAUUUUUGUGGAUUAAAGAUUGUUGUUUCUGAGGAAAAAAAGGGUUUUUUUGCAGGGUUUUGGAGAAAAGAGAAAGAUAGGUUUUUGGCGACGGCUUAGGGUUAGCAGAGGGAGACGAGUUUGAGAGAGGGCAGAUGUUGGCGGUGCCUGUGGUUGUGGCUGCCAUUAAUGGCUGAAUUUAUUCUAUUUUAUUUUAUUUUAUUUUUUGGGUUGCCUUGCUCAAAGAAAAAACAGAGGAGGUGUGUGGAGGGAGACAGUGGCGAAGGGUACUUUAAGUAGAGGGGAACUUGUUCUAGGUUUUUUUCUGGAAUUGUGAGGGAAUCUGAUCCUGUGUUUGUGCAUAUGAUUCAAUUACUUAUAGGUGAUACUGUUGUGUCACCACAAAUUCUAAUUGGGAAGCUUCAGCUGUCAAUUUUUUUCCAAGGGUUAAUUAGGUAGAACUUUCAUGUCGAUUUUAUUUGGAGAUUCUAAAAGUAGUUUCCAAAUAAAGAGAUGGACCAAAAUCAACAAUGUGACAAGGAUACUUUAGAUUUUUUUUCCUUGUGGGACAUGAAAAUUGAUGCAUGUUCCAAUGCAUUGCUCCUAUCAGAAUUGGAAUUAAACUUAGUUUGUGUUCUCCUAUUCCGAAAGCAAAACUUAUACUUACUGUAUAAGUGAUAUUCUAAUAAGUAGAAAUUAAGAACCAUAACAAACUUGAUGAUUCUAAUUUGCUAGAAAUAUUGCAAUCCAAAACUAAGAAAGUUCAAACCAAUUAUUAGAAGAAAAAAGUAGGACGGAAGCUCCCAUAAUAUUGUUAUGUGUUGUAUGUUUUCAGUUUGUAUUUCCCAAUCAAUAAGGAAAAGUAAGUACACAUGUUACAAAAAUUUAAUAAAAAAGAUUGGAGGUGACAAAACCGUCAAUCUUCUAAUUAACUUUUUCUCCUUUCGAAUUUCCUAAGUUUGGUAGAGACUACUUAAGUGGUGUAUCUAUUAUAAACACCUGAAGUGAAAGUUAAUGUUUUAAUUGUUAAGAAAAGUUAGAAGAAGAAAUUUUUGUAUAAGAGAAUUGGGUUUAAAUUUAGAAUUCCUGGGGAGGAAAUGAGUCUAAAUUCUAAUAAUAUAAUUCAACACUAUUUAUAUAUAUAUCAUUAGUUGGGUGAAAAAUUAAUUUCCAUCCUUUGAUGUGAAAAACUCUCUUGAUCGUCUAUUUUCAUAUGAUGGUAAUUUUUUGUUUAAAGUGAAGUUAUUAGCACCCUUUCAUUAUUCUUAUAAAAUCCUACUUCAAAUAAAAUUACAGUUAAAGACAAUAAAAUUAAAUAAUAUAGUUUUUUCUUUAAAACAAAUUACUCAUUUAAUUUUCUACAGGUUGCUUUGUAUCUAAUUAAAAUAAAUUGUACAAAUUUAAAAUAAUCUAUUAUUUUUUUCAAAUUUCUUAUUGAUUAAAUAUUUGUGUGCUUAAGAUAGCUUUAAAAUUAUAAGAUAAUAUAUAUAUAAUUUAAGCCAAUGAUUAACAUUAAAAAAUUUAUCUCUCAUAAAAGUUUUUAAUUUGUGCGUAGGGUAAUAAUAAAAUUGCAAAAGAAAUGAAAAAUAGCGUAGCACCAUUUUGCGUUUAAACAAUGAAAAUUUUAAAUGAAAAAUUAGAAGUGUAUUUAAAAAAAGGAUAUUUUUGAAAAUAAAAUAAAUAUAAUUAAAAAAAAAAGAGCUUCAUGAGGGUGCAAUAGUUCAACUCUUUUGUUUAUAAGUUUUAAGAUGUUGGUAUCCGUAGCUUAGCUUUUCCCUAAUUAUUGUAUUAAAAUGUAACAACAAUGAUGAUCAACCCUAAUUUCAUGGAGGUCAAAGAUUUUGGUCAUGCCGCAUUAAUUAGUUCGGUCAUACUUUCUAUAAAUUUAUUUACAUUUAAUAAUUUGACCAAGUCUAGGUAAGGUGCCGCCUGUAGUCAUAUAAUUUUUUAUGUCAAAAGCGCGUUUCACUUCAAUUAAGCCAUAAAUCUCGUUUAAUAUGCUCAUUUGUAUUUUUUUUAAAUUUUUUAUUAAUUUUUUUUGUUUUUAAAAAUAUCAUUUAUUUAUUUUUUUUAAAAGUUUUUUAAAGGUAAAGAAGUGGGUAAAGUUCAAAUUCAAUUUUUAUCUCUUACGUCAUGGCUCCUAAGAUUUGAACUUUGGUGACCAAAUGUAUAAUAAUAGGUAUCUCAAAUUUCAUUUCAAAUGAUAUGCAAUAUAUUAAGUGAUUGUUAAUCUUUACAAGACCUGAGUGAAUUAAUUGUAUUAUCUCACUAACUAAUUGAUGAGUAUCAUAUUAUUUGGAAUAACUUUUGAAUAAAAAAAUUGUGCCCGAUGAAAUAUUCUUUUGAAAAUUUAUUGACUUAACUCAUUUAUGACUUAUUGUUGCAUUUAAGUGAUAUUGCAAAUAAUUUUUCCGAUAAUAUUAUUGUUUUGACGAGUAUGUUUGGAGUAAAUAAUACAUAUGGCAAGUGUGAGGUUUGUUAUUACAUAUAUUUUGUGGAUCCAUUUUAAAGCCAAAAAGAGGCAUUUCAAUUCAUUAUGAUUCCGGAUAAUUUCAAGCCAUAUGUCACUAUUGAGAUAAAAAUAAAGUAAAAUGGUUAAAACUAUUUUUAUGUAAUUUAUAAAAAUUAAUGAAGCAACUGCAAAAUUUUUUAAACGAAAAACAAUUGAAAUGUGUGUGGAAAAAGAAGAAAAAAAUAAGGCAUUUAAAUAUCUUCUUAAAAAAUACGAUUGAGUAAAAUCAUUUUAACAGAAUGCUCUUCCAAAUGCAAUUCCACAUUAUUUUUAUUACAUUGGGAUAUUCCAAAAUUGGUACAACUCAUUAAGAAUUCGGCAACUCAAAUUUUAUUUAUCACUCUAUGCAUUUGACAAAUUAAAAAGAAAAAAAAAUCAUAUAUCUUCUGUUCAAAAGAAACCUUGGUAAAUAUUGUAAAACAAAUUACCAUUUUUUUUUUAAUUUAUGCCAUUAUAUCGUCGCUAUUUUCUCACCCACUUUCUUAAAAUAGAAUCAAUAUUCAUUGAUGGGUUGGGUUCCAGAGUAAGCACCAAUUCUGCAAAAUGGUUUUAUAGCAGAAAAAGCACUUGUAAGACAUUCAGAACACAUUUUUCAAUUUUGUCUUUUGAAAAUGAGUCUUGAGUUCCACAAGCCAAGAAGAAUGGCUAAAAAAUGUAUGGUAUCAAAGAAAGAGAAACACCCACACACAGAGAUUAAUGGGGAGAUAUAUGAGUGUGUAAUUUGCAUAUAUAUCCCCAUUAAUUGUUGAUAGUCCAAUGGGUAUAUGCAAAAGGAAAAAAUUGGCUGUCCUUAAAGACAAAAUUGACUGUCACAUGAAAAUAAAAAAAUUUGUUACCACGCAACGAAAUAAAGAUUCCAAGAACAACUUUAUGGUCCCCUUUCUAUCCAAACAUAUGCGAUAGAAAUUAGUGUAAACGACACUUGAAAUAUAUAUAGUAGAUCCUCACACAAUUGAUUAAAUAUUUAUAGUAGGAUGGAGUGAUAAAUAGUUUCACAAAAUUAUUGGAAUUAACUAUUUAAUACAUGAGAUCUAUCUCAUUAAGGAUAAAAGAUUUGAGUGCUACUUCAAAAGCAUGACGUUGCCGGCAACAAAUUUAACACAAAAGUUUAAUUAAUUAUCCUAGUUGAGAGGAUAAAAUCUUGGAUUAAGAACAAAAGGUUUGAGGUUCGAACCUUCUCAUUCAAGAAAAUCAAGUCAAAAUAUUACAUCUUCUAGCACAUAUCAAACAUUUUUUCAAAGGCAGACUGACAAUUCAGGGUAAAAAAAACAAAAAAACAAAAGGAAUAUAUGCUAUUCAAGACAGGUAUACCUUGGACAUGAAGUCUGAGUCCAGAACAAGAAGCAAUUAGCUGAUCUUUCAAUUUCCAAAACCCAACAAAAUCUUUGUCAAAAUAUACAAUCUAGUCCCAUAUUAAGCACAUUCAUAGCCGUAUCACCAGGUUCAAAAUAUUUUCCCCAAAAAGAGAUAGAGAUUCCAUUGAAGUUGAGUUGUGACUGUCCCAACGUUUUGUAAUUAUAUGGUUCAGGAUACCAAUAUGCCGGAGCUACAAAGGUUGACUUCCACUAUGCUAUCAAUGUCUAUACUUUCUAUUGAAUUUCCUUGUUUUUUUUAAAUUGCGAGAUUUAUUUUUGGAAAUCUUUGACACAUUUUAUGUAAGAUACCAUAAAGCCAAAUACAACCUUUUUUUAUUUUCAGCAGCAACUUUUUUUUUUUCCUUUUAAAAAAAGGAAGCCAUAUAAAUAAUGCUUUAAACAUUAUUUGCAACAAGGAACAAUUAUUUCAUGCUUUCAUGUAUUAGAAACUUUCCAAAAAUGCUAGCAAGAAAAUGAAAUGGAACUUUACCUAGUCACAGAAUAUGUACUGCUGUUAGCCCAAUUGUUAUGAAGUGGCUUCUGCAUCAGAAGAUUCCAGCUCCCACCAAGCAUUGUUAUCUCUCUUCUGAAUACAAUCUGCAUCGCUGGGCAUGAGUUAUAUCAUUAAUGUUUGCAUCCUCACUUACACCAUCCCAAUCAAGUGCUUUUUCUCCAUAUCUGGAUUAUAAGUCCACUCCAAUCUCUUCAAAACAUCCUAGUCCUUCCAUCACAACUGAUACGACUUCCUUCCUAAUUACUUUCCCAUUAAUAAAUCGCUCCAAGAAAAAAAAGCAUUAGCAAUUCUCUUCAACGCCCCAUCACUCAUAUCCCCUACAACAACCAUCUUUAGACACCUCAACGUUGCCUCUUGAAAGACCUCCACAAAAUUCGAAUCAUCUGACACAACCAUCAAACACCCAAACCUUCUUUAGUCCACCAGAUCCACCAUAUAAUUCCUUAACUAAACAUCGACAUCUUGUGGCUUAUCUAACACAUUCCUGACACAAAACCAUGCUCUUUUCAACUCAUCUGCAAAACCAUAACCCACUUUUGGAGUCAAAAUUGCGCUUACAGCCAUUUUAUAUUUCUCCAUCUUUAUUGAUAGUUGCCAACCAAAAGCACUCUCACCUUCCCUCUAGCUGAUUCUAUUUGAUUCGAUCUUUUCUUUUGUUCACCCUCAUGAAUUUGCCUAAAAUGAUUAACAAGUUUGUCAUUAUUAUAAAAUCUCCUUCCAUAAUCACCAAUACAUACGGCUUAGCAGACCUAAUUACACCCUUGAUUUCUAAUUGGUAAACAAUUCUCUUUCUUUCUCAAAUGAAGAUAUUAAUUUUUUUAGUUCAACUGAUGCUUCAAAAUGGGGUACUGAACUUGGAUUUUGUUAUCCAAAUACCAAAAAUUUCUCACAUUGUGUUGGACAGUUUUUGGUUCUAAAGUUGAUGACUGGUUUUGCGAAUCAGGCUUCAAAUGAGAACUUCUAAACAAUAAGACAAAUGGGUUUUUAGUUUAUAAUCUUGUAAACUUUGUUCAAUUGUAUAAGUUAUGAAAUCGCUGAAACAUCACUACAGCUACAGGUCUUUAUGUGUCAAUGAACUGCAGAAGCUAAUGAUCUACUUGUAGUAGACUUCUAUUGCCCCUACCGUUCUAGGAAGACAAACAAGUUCAGGAACUACUUCUGGACCAAACUCAUAAUAUUGCCACUGCUUUGUGCCAAUCUGAGAGGGAAAGAAGAUUGAAGUUCCUAAAUAAGGCACAUCAUGAUUUGAUAGAAGUACCACUAUAAGGAAAAAUUGAUUUCAGAAAAGCACUAAAUUAUGACAUAAUCUCCCCCUAAUGGUCUAAAGUAGUCAAGAAAUGAUAUUAACCAAGUAAAAACCCAUAAACUAGUUGAGAUACAAAGUUAUCAUAAAAGUCAAUUUUGAUCACAAAUCCAUUAAAAUUAAAAGUCAUCAGAAACUUAGAGAAAAUUAUAAUUUAGGACUCAGCUAAAUUGCAGAUUCUGUAACUGACAGCUAAGUCCACAUUGGCCUUGCAUCAGCUGAGUUUGGGUUGCUUUUCCUCUCUCCUGCAAUGCGUGGAAGCGCCCCAUUUGCUGUGUUAUACAGAGUCGGUACCGUAGCAAGGCUCCUAUAAUUUAAGUUUGAUCACUGUAGACAAUAGUCUGCCUCUGCUCAAAAGCUAUGCUGCAAGAUAUAACAUCUUUGCAAUGUUAUACUUUCUAAAAGUAAUAAGAAAUGGAACCAAGGAGUAAAUCGAACACCAAAAGAAAUUUAGUCGGCCAACCACAUUAUGUCCCACACAGUUCACUAAUUAAGUUAAUUAUUAAAGGGAAUCAAAAUCUAAGAAAUCUCAUCUUCAAGCAGAAUACAAACACGCCGCGAUUGAAAAUCACAAAAUCAUAAAAAGAAGCUGACUUGAAAAACUCAAAUAUACAUUCAUCAGCCUCUCAACUUAUAUCUAAGAACAAAUGCCUGCAGCCUGUGAAGACAUAGAUAAUUGAAGCUGAUGAGGCUUAUUUAACAGAUGAUAAUCAAAACUCGUGUGAUUAAAAUUAUAAUUCAAUACUGUGAAGACAUAGAUAAUUGAAGCUGAUAUCUAAGAACAAAUGCCUGCAGCCUGUGAAGACAUAGAUAAUUGAAGCUGAUGAGGCUUAUUUAACAGAUGAUAAUCAAAACUCGUGUGAUUAAAAUUAUAAUUCAAUAAUGGAGCACAUAAAACAACAAGUAACUAGUUGUAUAUAACUAUAUAUACCAAACAACUUUCUGGAGUUAAGGCGUAAAACAACAACAUAGAACAAAUUAAUUAAAUAUACCAGCACCAAUACUCUUAUUAUUAUCCACAUAGAAAAGAACAAUGUAUCAAACAAGGAAAAUGAAAUAUUGUUAAUAACUCAAAAACCACUAGUGUCAAGAACUAGACUAAUAAGUGAAACCCAUAAUCAGACACAACCUCAUCAAAAUCUCUAAAAAUUGAGGUCUAAACAUUGAAAACAAUUAGACAUAUAUAACAGUCAAUCGAAACAAAGCCUCAAAAUAAUAAUGAACUACAAUAAGACAGAAACUAAAUUGUACACAAGCGCAAUAGCGCAUACCCAGUAACAAUAAUUAAGUAACAAAUCAAAACCAGAAUCAAAUGUAGAAUUUUGAAAUCCAUACGAACUCUAACGUAUUAGAAUGAAAGAAUAAGGACGAUCGAUAAACUAGACUCAAACAAAAACAUGCCCAGUUAAAAAACGAAGGUAAAUAAAUAAAAAUGGUAUAAAACUGCGAAAAAAAUUAAUGAAAUGAAGAGAAAAUCACAGGAAUCCUAUGAAGAGGAAGGUAAAUGAAACCUUCCGGAGCCGAGAAGAUGCCUUUUUUGUUGACGUUUGUGCCUAUACAUUUAUUUUUUUUUAAUUUUGAAGAAAGUAUUGGUUAACAGAACGAAAUAUUAAUAAUAGAUGCUGGCAAAUUUUGAGCCAGCUUGGCUAAAUUUUGAGCACCACAUUACAAGAUCUAGGUGUAUAUUUAACUAUGCAAAAUGAAACAUCUAUUAAAUGUAAGUCCCUUGACCUCGGGAACCAGACAACUAGUUGGAAUAAUAUUAUUUACUAAUAAUAUUUACUAAAUCAUGUUCUACAGUUAAUGAAGUUGGACCCAAUGCAAUUGUUAGGUUAAUGUCACAUGCCACUCAAAUUUCCCGUAAUUGGAGGAUAAUUAUGUUUACAUGAGUUCGCUUAGUAAAAAUCCUCCUAGGCAUGGAGUACACUUAAAAGCGGGAUGAACUUAGAAGUGGGAUGCGCUUAACAAAUCACUCAAGCCCGGCCCAAAAUCUAGAACUCUCUGUAAAUUAAAAAUAAAGUAAAAGUUUCUAUGUUUCUCCACAUAGUUCCCUAGGAUAUUUAUGGAAGUUGUUAGGAAGUUUCCUCCCCAAGAACUCUAAUACUUAUAAAUAGGGGUAGGCCUCCUCAUUUGCUCGCCCACCAACCACAUCACACACACCAGCUCUCUCGAUUUUGUAAAAAGCUCUCUUGUAUAUUCUCUCUUUGAGAGUAAUAAAAUCAUAUUCAGCCAUAUUGCUCUACUUCUCUCUAGCAUUUUCCGCAAGUGUUCUUGCUUCGCUAUUUUGAGGAGUGUUCUAGGCUUGCUUAGCAACUUGUUUGCUACAAAGACAUCUUGGUCACAAAACAUGGACAUGCAAGGAAAAAAAAUUAUUGAUACGUUCUAAAAAUAAUACGCAUUCUUCUAUAGUGAACAAAAAAAUUUAGGCUAAUGGUAGCAAGUGAAGGAAUUGUGAUUUCACGUGCAUUUUGUUGACAUGAACGUAAAGAACUUUUUUAUAGUUUAUAUUGUUUAAUAUAACAUUUGAAUUGCAAAAUAGGGGUACAAAAUGGAUACACGAAGUGAUAAAACUAAGUUGAUUAUGAUAAAUAUUGAAUUAUAAGAUUUACGUUUAAUCAUAAAAACAUAAGUGGCACACAAAGUCACGAAUUAUCAUCCAUGAUGCAAGUUCAAACAACUACAUAAUAGGUUGCCCCAAGCUAAACUAUUAAUCUAGUAACUAUUCCAGGGAUAAUUUUCCUAUCACCAUCUAUCACGUGCAAGCCGAAUUUGUUGCUUGGUCCUUACAUGUGGUAAGGUAAUAUGAAUCCACUUGUGCAUAAAUUUGGCUCCUAUAUUAUAUAGAAGCCUAUGACCCAAAAUUAUACUUAAAGGUUAUUUUAAAAUUUGAGGGUUGCCUCAAGCUAAUAUUAUUAUUAGCGUGGUAACCUUUUUUUUUUGUUGAUAUGUGAUAUUUUCCCUAUAACUUUUAUUAAUCUUUAUGCUUAUGUUUUGUCAUUUAUCCCAAAAUAUAACAUUAACAAAAGUUCCAAAAUUUCCUUCAAGAGAUAUAUUUGAGACAAGUAAUUUGUGCAAUAACUUUGUGAAUUGAUGAGCAAAUUCAGAGAAAAGAAUAUAUGUGCCAAACGUAACGUUUAUUAUUGUGUUUAUUUGUAGAGCUAUUUAAAGCCCAAAAAAAAAAAAAAGAGCACGGGUCCGCUAUUAUUUCAAAUAAGUUCAAGCCCUAUGUCAUUAUUGGUACAAAAAUGUAUNNNNNNNNNNNNNNNNNNNNNNNAAUCUAAGUUUAUGACCUCCAAGAUGUUAAUUGCAGUUUGUAAUUAAUGAGUUUAUAAGGAUAAUUUAGACACUCAAUAUGCAAAAUAAAAAAUAAAAUAAUGGCUUAAAACAUUAAAACAAAAAACUACUUUUUAUAAUUGAUAUUCAAUUAAAUACACAUAAACUCUAUUUUUUCUUAAUUAAAAAUAUUCUAAUUUAUUUUCUCAAUUUAUCAUCAUAAAUUUACAUUAAUAAACUAAAUCCACAAAUUACCCUAAACCCUAAUUCAUAAAUGCCCAAUCAAUCAAAUAGUUUAAUUCGAUUUCAUAAUUAAAAAAGCUAAAUUUAUUAUAUUAAAUUUAAAUUUAUUCAUAAAUGCCCAAAGUAAAAAAUGCCCUUAAAUUCAAGGGUAAAAUAACAUUUUAUUUAAAUUCUAUAAAUUAUUCUAACAAUGUUAACAUUUUGGUGGAUGGUUAAUAUAAGUUACAAACUUAAAAUAGAAAAUCAAAUAAAUUCAAAUUUUCAAACUAUUUAGGGCAAAUUUAGGAUAUAUGGUUAAUAAUUUUCCCAUGUCUUUUUACAUUGGUUGAUAUAAAUUACAAACUUAAAAUAGAAAAACUUAGGGUAUAUGAUUAAUAAUUUUCUUUUAUCUUUUUACGUUAAAUUAAGUUUCAAAGGUAAAAUGGUCAAUUUAUUAUAAUUCUAUUAAUUUUUUAGUGGAAGCAAACGAUAUAAUGGACCAAUGAUAUAAAUUGUAAAAUUAAAUUAAGGUGCAUGAAUGAUACAACUUUAAAGUAUUGUAGUAAUUUUAAUAAUAGAACAAUUUAAGGGUGGAUUGGCAAUAAUUUAAACUUUAAUGAAGCAGCUAAAAACAAUUUUUAACAAAGAAAAAUAAUUGAAUGUUUUGUGAAACCCAAAAAUAUUUGAAAUGCUUUAAGAAAAAUAAAGGAAAUUAAAUAUCUUUAUAAAAACAUAAUUGAGUAAAGUCAUUUUACAAAAUGCUAUUUCAAAUGCACAUUCCACAAGCCAAGAAGAACGGGUGGGUAACAAAAAUCUCACUUUUUAUGAGUUUAUAAAAUCUCACUUUUGCAUAAUCCAAAAAUAACAAAUACUAAUCACACAAAAAAUAAAGAUUAUUGCUGUCACGACAGUACACACUUUCUUCGCCGUCUAGAAAGGUAGAACAUUUUGAAGUUCCUCAAUACAAAAUGCGUGCUACUACUAAAUUGGCACAAUUAAUGCCCAUCGAAAAGGCCAUCAAUUUAGCCAACAAUUUUGUCAAAAUUUCAACAAUUGAAGAAAUCUUGAGAUACAUAAAACAAAGUCUUGAAACUUUAGUCUUCACAAUUUGAGCACGCACUAAAUAUUAACAAUCCAUCUGCAGAGCAAGUAUAGAACAAAGCUUAUUAGCUUCUUGUGUGAACUGAACACGCUGAACAAAGCAUUUUUUUUUUUUUGGAUUUUUGGAAUUUUUUAAAAUCAUUUAUGUUCGCUGUCAUCUUUUUCUUCGCUGGCGUCUUCAUUGGCAUCUUCCUCGUGUGUAGUUUGCUGUGUCUAUAUAUCCAACCAAUAAAUUGGGCAUUAAAUACGAAUGAAUGAUGAAUAAAAUGAUAAAAAAAAAAACAAACAGAGAAAAUUAUAAUAUAACACAUAUAUAUUGAAAGAGAAAUUUUGAUUUUAGGAUAGAUCAAUUAACUAUCACAAACGAAAACAUGAACCAACUAUGUAUAGAGUCAAUUAAUUUAAAGUUCUCAAGAAUUACCUCUGCUCCACAAUUCUCGGAAUCAUCUUCUCCUUCUGAACUUGGACGAAACUUGGGACAAUUACGAACAACUUCAUAUUUAGAAGAUGGAAAUGGGAUCUGAUAACCCGCAGGCCAAAAGUUGCUGAGGUUUGGUAAACCAAACAAUGUCAAGCUCCAAAGUUCAUUCAUAACAAUUUCAUUGUAAUCCGUGACGUCUGCUCCAUCUUUAUGCCAGAAUACUUCUUCUAAUUCAUCAUUAAAUCCUAUGCGUAGGGUCCUCAGUUUUUGAAGACUUGGAGCUACGCUGAUAUGAAAUAGAUGCUUUAGUUUGGGGCACUUAUAGACACCGAUCCUUGUGAGUUUUGGGAAACAUACAGGUUGGAGAUGAUCCUCAUCCUCAUCCUCAUCAAUGAUUUGCUCUAAUUCCAAGCAAUUCAAAAUAGAUAACCCCUCCAAUUGCAACAGAUUUCGAGCAAGUGUUGAUGAGAGGAGACGUCUCAGCCACUCUUAAAUAGGUAAGAUUUUGCAGGCUGAAAUUCUGCGUGGGACCUAUGUGAUAUAAUACUUGCAGUUCUCGAAGGUUUUCCAAACACAACGUCUCCAAACAUGCGAAUAGUUUGUUUUCAAAGCCAUGCUUCAACAGUGCUGGAAUCGUGUCACGCAAAUGGGAACAAUUGGCCACAUCUAGAGUUUUUAAGUUCUGAGACAAAUAAAUAAAUAACUUGAUGCAAUUAAAAUCUAUUAGCAGCUAGGAUUAUCACAUGAUAAGUGAUGAACACUGCAAAAAACAAAAACAGAAAACAAAAUCCAUACAAAAAUAUCAUAAUAUAUAUGUAAACUAAUAAAAUAAUUGAAAAGUAAUGGAUUUAAAAAAAAAUGAAAUUAGUUAAAAGAGAUCAUGUGAAGUGAUAUAAAUGUGACAUUAGAUUGUUUUAGAAAAAUUAUUAUUCUAUUAAUUUAUAUGGCUUGAUCAACUAUUUAAUUGAAUUUGAAUAAUAUUAUAUACACUUCAGAAGUAUUUGCAUCAAUUCUUUCUAAACCAAAAUGANNNNNNNNNNNNNNNNNNNNNNNNNNNNNNNNNNNNNNNNNNNNNNNNNNNNNNNNNNNNNNNNNNNNNNNNNNNNNNNNNNNNNNNNNNNNNNNNNNNNNNNNNNNNNNNNNNNNNNNNNNNNNNNNNNNNNNNNNNNNNNNNNNNNNNNNNNNNNNNNNNNNNNNNNNNNNNNNNNNNNNNNNNNNNNNNNNNNNNNNNNNNNNNNNNNNNNNNNNNNNNNNNNNNNNNNNNNNNNNNNNNNNNNNNNNNNNNNNNNNNNNNNNNNNNNNNNNNNNNNNNNNNNNNNNNNNNNNNNNNNNNNNNNNNNNNNNNNNNNNNNNNNNNNNNNNNNNNNNNNNNNNNNNNNNNNNNNNNNNNNNNNNNNNNNNNNNNNNNNNNNNNNNNNNNNNNNNNNNNNNNNNNNNNNNNNNNNNNNNNNNNNNNNNNNNNNNNNNNNNNNNNNNNNNNNNNNNNNNNNNNNNNNNNNNNNNNNNNNNNNNNNNNNNNNNNNNNNNNNNNNNNNNNNNNNNNNNNNNNNNNNNNNNNNNNNNNNNNNNNNNNNNNNNNNNNNNNNNNNNNNNNNNNNNNNNNNNNNNNNNNNNNNNNNNNNNNNNNNNNNNNNNNNNNNNNNNNNNNNNNNNNNNNNNNNNNNNNNNNNNNNNNNNNNNNNNNNNNNNNNNNNNNNNNNNNNNNNNNNNNNNNNNNNNNNNNNNNNNNNNNNNNNNNNNNNNNNNNNNNNNNNNNNNNNNNNNNNNNNNNNNNNNNNNNNNNNNNNNNNNNNNNNNNNNNNNNNNNNNNNNNNNNNNNNNNNNNNNNNNNNNNNNNNNNNNNNNNNNNNNNNNNNNNNNNNNNNNNNNNNNNNNNNNNNNNNNNNNNNNNNNNNNNNNNNNNNNNNNNNNNNNNNNNNNNNNNNNNNNNNNNNNNNNNNNNNNNNNNNNNNNNNNNNNNNNNNNNNNNNNNNNNNNNNNNNNNNNNNNNNNNNNNNNNNNNNNNNNNNNNNNNNNNNNNNNNNNNNNNNNNNNNNNNNNNNNNNNNNNNNNNNNNNNNNNNNNNNNNNNNNNNNNNNNNNNNNNNNNNNNNNNNNNNNNNNNNNNNNNNNNNNNNNNNNNNNNNNNNNNNNNNNNNNNNNNNNNNNNNNNNNNNNNNNNNNNNNNNNNNNNNNNNNNNNNNNNNNNNNNNNNNNNNNNNNNNNNNNNNNNNNNNNNNNNNNNNNNNNNNNNNNNNNNNNNNNNNNNNNNNNNNNNNNNNNNNNNNNNNNNNNNNNNNNNNNNNNNNNNNNNNNNNNNNNNNNNNNNNNNNNNNNNNNNNNNNNNNNNNNNNNNNNNNNNNNNNNNNNNNNNNNNNNNNNNNNNNNNNNNNNNNNNNNNNNNNNNNNNNNNNNNNNNNNNNNNNNNNNNNNNNNNNNNNNNNNNNNNNNNNNNNNNNNNNNNNNNNNNNNNNNNNNNNNNNNNNNNNNNNNNNNNNNNNNNNNNNNNNNNNNNNNNNNNNNNNNNNNNNNNNNNNNNNNNNNNNNNNNNNNNNNNNNNNNNNNNNNNNNNNNNNNNNNNNNNNNNNNNNNNNNNNNNNNNNNNNNNNNNNNNNNNNNNNNNNNNNNNNNNNNNNNNNNNNNNNNNNNNNNNNNNNNNNNNNNNNNNNNNNNNNNNNNNNNNNNNNNNNNNNNNNNNNNNNNNNNNNNNNNNNNNNNNNNNNNNNNNNNNNNNNNNNNNNNNNNNNNNNNNNNNNNNNNNNNNNNNNNNNNNNNNNNNNNNNNNNNNNNNNNNNNNNNNNNNNNNNNNNNNNNNNNNNNNNNNNNNNNNNNNNNNNNNNNNNNNNNNNNNNNNNNNNNNNNNNNNNNNNNNNNNNNNNNNNNNNNNNNNNNNNNNNNNNNNNNNNNNNNNNNNNNNNNNNNNNNNNNNNNNNNNNNNNNNNNNNNNNNNNNNNNNNNNNNNNNNNNNNNNNNNNNNNNNNNNNNNNNNNNNNNNNNNNNNNNNNNNNNNNNNNNNNNNNNNNNNNNNNNNNNNNNNNNNNNNNNNNNNNNNNNNNNNNNNNNNNNNNNNNNNNNNNNNNNNNNNNNNNNNNNNNNNNNNNNNNNNNNNNNNNNNNNNNNNNNNNNNNNNNUUUGCAUAAUCCAAAAAUAACAAAUACUAAUCACACAAAAAAUAAAGAUUAUUGCUGUCACGACAGUACACACUUUCUUCGCCGUCUAGAAAGGUAGAACAUUUUGAAGUUCCUCAAUACAAAAUGCGUGCUACUACUAAAUUGGCACAAUUAAUGCCCAUCGAAAAGGCCAUCAAUUUAGCCAACAAUUUUGUCAAAAUUUCAACAAUUGAAGAAAUCUUGAGAUACAUAAAACAAAGUCUUGAAACAAAUAUUAACAAUCCAUCUGCAGAGGAAGUAUGGAACAAAGCUUAUUAUUAGCUUCUUGUGUGAACUGAACACGCUGAACAAAGCAUUUUUUUUUUUUUUGGAUUUUUGGAAUUUUUUAAAAUCAUUUAUGUUCGCUGUCAUCUUUUUCUUCGCUGGCGUCUUCAUUGGCAUCUUCCUCGUGUGUAGUUUGCUGUGUCUAUAUAUCCAACCAAUAAAUUGGGCAUUAAAUACGAAUGAAUGAUGAAUAAAAUGAUAAAAAAAAAAACAAACAGAGAAAAUUAUAAUAUAACACAUAUAUAUAUUGAAAGAGAAAUUUUGAUUUUAGGAUAGAUCAAUUAACUAUCACAAACGAAAACAUGAACCAACUAUGUAUAGAGUCAAUUAAUUUAAAGUUCUCAAGAAUUACCUCUGCUCCACAAUUCUCGGAAUCAUCUUCUCCUUCUGAACUUGGACGAAACUUGGGACAAUUACGAACAACUUCAUAUUUAGAAGAUGGAAAUGGGAUCUGAUAACCCGCAGGCCAAAAGUUGCUGAGGUUUGGUAAACCAAACAAUGUCAAGCUCCAAAGUUCAUUCAUAACAAUUUCAUUGUAAUCCGUGACGUCUGCUCCAUCUUUAUGCCAGAAUACUUCUUCUGCUGUACCGUACAUCCGCCUUGGCCGUACAGCACUCUUAAAUAGGUAAGAUUUUGCAGGCUGAAAUUCUGCGUGGGACCUAUGUGAUAUAAUACUUGCAGUUCUCGAAGGUUUUCCAAACACAACGUCUCCAAACAUGCGAAUAGUUUGUUUUCAAAGCCAUGCUUCAACAGUGCUGGAAUCGUGUCACGCAAAUGGGAACAAUUGGCCACAUCUAGAGUUUUUAAGUUCUGAGACAAAUAAAUAAAUAACUUGAUGCAAUUAAAAUCUAUUAGCAGCUAGGAUUAUCACAUGAUAAGUGAUGAACACUGCAAAAAACAAAAACAGAAAACAAAAUCCAUACAAAAAUAUCAUAAUAUAUAUGUAAACUAAUAAAAUAAUUGAAAAGUAAUGGAUUUAAAAAAAAAUGAAAUUAGUUAAAAGAGAUCAUGUGAAGUGAUAUAAAUGUGACAUUAGAUUGUUUUAGAAAAAUUAUUAUUCUAUUAAUUUAUAUGGCUUGAUCAACUAUUUAAUUGAAUUUGAAUAAUAUUAUAUACACUUCAGAAGUAUUUGCAUCAAUUCUUUCUAAACCAAAAUGAGAUAUGACUUUCAUUUGAAGAAUGGUUUUAGGCUCUAAAAUAAAGGAAUUUCCUUAAGAUAUUUGAGCAUUAUUAUUAUCAUCACCACAUCCACGAUCAUCAUCAUCUCCAUAGGACCAAAUAAUUAAUGGCUGAUAAUAAAAUUUAUUGCUAAACUAUCAUUUCGAGUAAAAUUGAAGGAAAAGAAAAAACAUAAACACAAAUGAACAUACCUCUCCAAGAUACUGCAAAUUGGCUUCAAGUUCAGUAUUGUUGAUGGUCAAUUUGGGACUGCUAUGAAGUUCUAACUCUUCCAAUGCCGGCCAAGUUGAAUAAUAAUUCUCUGAACAGAACUUGGUGAGUUCUGGGAGAUUAUACAGUGUUAAUUUUCUCAACCAAGGGAGGGCGAGCAUCGUAUUUCCAUCUCCGACACUUAUUUCCCCUUCAUUGUAAUCAAACUUUGCUUCGACAAUAUAUUCCAGUCUCUCGCAUCCACUUACAUUGAGACUUUUAAGCUGCUCCAAACUUCUAGCUUGUGACAACGUGAAGAUAUAUGUCAACUUGUUGCACCUAUGCACAUUCAAUUUUGUAAGAGUUUGGAGACUGAUCACAUGUUGGGCGGGCGCCUUCCAUAUCCACUUCAGUUCUGGUAAGUACCACAUCGAUAACUCUGCUAAUCUUGAGAGACUCUUUCCAUGCGGCGACUUAGAGGCUUCCAUUAUGCAUUCUAAAUCUUUGCAAUCGCGGACAUCAAGACAAGUCAACUCAUUUAAGCCCCUUUCAUCAAUGCUUGGCACAAUAUUAUGGCAACCUAUUAACCCCCUCAAACAAAGAAAUUCCAGAUUUUGAUACAAUGCUGAAAAAAUACCGAGCGAGGUCGCUUCAGGAGGGUCAUUCUUAAUGAUUAAGCUCCUUGUUUCAUCAUUCUUAAUGAUUAAGCUCCUUGUUUCAUCAUCAACUCCUUUACCUUUACAGAUGAUGUAUCUUUGCAAUUUCGGGAAUGUAAAGUCUUUUGGAAGACAUACAACAGAUCUGUCGGCUUGGGAGUUCAACUCAGCAAGCCUAGCAUUACUUUCUUCUGAACUCAUCCCUUCAACCUCCCAAUUUUUUAUCCGACCAUAAAAUUCUUCCAAUUGACGAAAUUUUUUUAUCGUAAUGGGAGAAAUGGAGCCAGUAGCAAUAUAAGAAGUUUCAAUCUAUGAUGUUCAUCCGACAAUUCUUCAAGAAUUUUAAUGGGAGACUUCUCGAGAAAAAGAAGUUCAAGCCUCUUCAACUUUCCAAGGAAAGACGCGUCACUCACCUCACAUCGAAUCAACUGCAGAACCUGGAGGUCGGUGAGGAUCUGAAGCGAUUUAAGUGAAAGAACUCCACCUAUUAUAGUGACAACUUUCAAUGCUAGCAUCCCUUCAAAAAAAUGUUCUGGAACUUGCAAUCGGUGGCCGUAUUCAGGAUUCUCCAAUCGCAAAAUAUGAAGGUUAGGGCAUACCAAACCACUAGGAAGCUCUUCUUCUUUUUUAUUUCCCACCAAAGAGAUUCCUCUGUAUUGUUCCAAGCCUUCUUUCAUUACCCGUUCUGCCAAUCCAAUGCCAACUUUACUAAAAAAUUUCUUCUCCUCUAGAACUACUGAGCCUAUCCAUAUGGCUACAUCACGAACUAUGUCAUGCAUUUUCACAGAUCUGUCAUUACCAGUGUCUAACAGCAGUGACGCAGCUUUGAGCGCGUUAAUUGUUCCAUGCAGUCGGCUUCUGGCAUUUUCUAUUGACGGAGCACAUUGAUACCAAAUAACCCCCACUGCGUAUCCAACCAAAUCCUCCAAAUAAAUCUCAUAAUCUUCUGGAAACAGAGAACACAACAAGAAGCAUAACUUGGACUCCUCACUAUUUAAAUUGUCGUAACUGAAUUUGAGACAACCGUAAACGCCUUGGUCAUCCUUGUCAAUACCUUCUAUUGCAUAGAGUUUUGCUUCCCUUAGGUUAGAUAGUGCUAGAUUCCAAUCAUCAAAUCCUUUUUCUCUUAGUGCACUUCCAACAACUUCAAUAGCUAAAGGCAGCCCCUUACAUUCGCCAGCAACUUGUUUUGAAACACCAUCCAAGGAGGAGUCGUUUACAUUAAUACGGGCAUUCAUUUUUAGGAGAGUCAAUCCUUCUUCUGCUGUUAGUGUACCAAGUUCAAUCUGUGGGUAACAACCGAAAAAACCACAAAUUGACUUUUUGCGAGUGGUUAGAAGGAUUUUGCAACAAUUGUCUCUAUCACUAAUGGGAAUACCUAAUUUUUUCUCCAAGUCGAGUUGUUUCCAAACAUCAUCAAGGAUUAUGAGGAUUUUGCUGCCUUUAUUCUCAGAAAACAUCAACCGCAAUCGAUCUGCUCUCUCUUUUUCAUCUGUCUCAUUUAACGCCCAGCCUAACGACUUUACCAGCUCACCUUGAACCUUUAUUAUAUCUGGAUCCUGAGACACAGUGACUAUCCCCACCUUAUCGAAAUCCUUUUGUUGCCGAAGUUGAUUGCCCACAAAUUUUGCCAGGGUUGUCUUUCCUACGCCACCGAGACCAUGCAAUCCCACCAUCUUUAUGCUCGCUUUUUUCAGGGCGUCAAUGAUCUGAUUGCGAGCUGAUUCUGUGGUCUCGAAGGUAGAAGAAAAAUAACUUGGUAAACUUAAUUCUCUCUCUAAUGUUAGAGGUUUAGGACGGGCAACUGUGCUGAAUUUGCUGCGGUCUUGUAGCAGAUCGGACAACUUGCUAGUCUUCUUUGAAGCUUUUCUACCCAGCCAGUAUCGCCAACCCCAAUUAGGACACCAUCCAUUAAGACAACUCUUCUUUUCAUCUAUCUUUGCUUUCAAAUUUCGAACGUCGGCCAUUUCUUUGUCUACAUCCUCGAGCCAUGUCUCGACAUCUUUCUCGACUACUAUAGCACGGUGUAUUUGUCGUUCUUGUUCUACUCUUUCAUUGAUGCCAUCUUGUGCCUCCUUCAAAUUGGUUUCUUUAACCUUAAGUUCUUUAUCUAUGCUGUUGAAACAGAGCAGAUAGCGAGCUUGGUUUAUGGUUGCAUCCGCCAAUAAUUCUCCAAGCUUUGAUGCAACACCUGAUAAAAUUUCCAUGCUAUUUAUCUGCAAUUAACAAGUUGAUCUCAGUAUGCUAUAAGCAAAACAUCAAGGCUUGAUCACAAGAUCGAACGAGAAUAUUUAAUUGCUUUAAAUAAGAGCAAAAUGCAAAACAGAAGAGAAUGAAAUAAGGUAAACGUUAUAUAUGAUGGAUUACAUUGAAAUUGGAUUACUUUAGAAAUUUUUAAAUAAAAAUAUCAAACAACAAAUUUUAUAGAAUCCGGAUAAACCUAAGAGUUUGUUGUGCAUGGCGAGUGAACACAGGCAGUUGCGUGGGGAAUAUGAUAGAAGUGAUGAAAAACUGAAAAGCCACCCAUAAUAACAAUUAAAAACAGUAUUAGAGAUUAGAGGAGUUCAACAUCCCAUGCAAGCCCACUCAUGAAAAAAUAUGAAUGGUUUCAAGAUGAUUACUCUUUUUUUUUUUUACCUUUAAUAAAUAUUCUAAUAAAAUAAUACCAUAAUUUCAAAUAAUAUCUUAAUUUCUUUUUCCUUUAAAUGUUCAUUGAUCUCACAUAUUGGAUAAUUAAUUUAAUCAUUUGUUAAAUUAUUUAUUACUCUAUCUUAUUAUUCGAUAGAUAUAAAUGACACCUUAUUUGGUAUGAUAAAAAAUUGGGGUAAAUUUUCUUUUAUUCUCAGAAGUUUGGACCUAUUACUAGUUAUAGUAUUUGUAUUUUUUAAAAUUUUACCUAAACGGUCCAUGUCAUAUCUUUUAUAGCCAUCGAACAUGACUUUUCAAGUGUAAGAUAAUAUUUUUGUCUGUUAUAAAUUAAAAUUCAAAUGAAUCUAUCAUGCAACAAAUGAAACGUAAAUAAUAUUAAUUAGGUUUUAAUUGGAAACAAAUAUAAAAAAUUGCUUUUUUAUUAAUUUUUGUGAAGUCUUUUAAUGUUCGAAUUAGAAUUGAAUAAUUUGUAUAAGGAUAAUUUAUAGGAAGAUAAUCUGCAGAAUAAGCUUAUAUGUCGAAUUUAAAAGAGUUAUAUUAGUAAUCAUAUAUUUAUUAAAUUUUUUUAAUAAAAAAUUUGUUUAAAAAUUGGCCAAAUGGGUUUCAUGAAUAAAAUAGAAGAGCAUGAACAGCGCCACUUUCAAUUUUUAUUGUGGUUGUACAAUUGAAAAGACGCAUUAAAUGGACCAAUUUGAAAUGGCAAGAGAGCAUAAUGGACUCAUGUUGGGACUUGGAUAGGAAAAUUAAUUUUAUUUUAAAGUAUGGUCAACAGUACUGAUUUGGAGGUGAUUGACGUUAAGUUAAAUUAAUGAAAACAAAUGGCAAAAAAAUUUUAAUGAAAAUUAAUUAAUGAAAAAACGCAUUAAAAAAUUUGAACUUAAGAUCGUGAUCAUUUUGUCCGUAUGUUUUUAAUCCAACGGCUCAGAAUUGGCAUAAAACAAGCUCGUAUAGCCAUUGGAAGUAAAACAAAAAUCAAUUUAAGAGCCUAUGAAACAAUAAGAUCUCAUACCUUCUUCGUUAUAUAUCCUCAAUUACUGCUGAAAGCUCCAGUUAAGAGAGUCGCACAAGUUCGGAAAAAAUUAUAAAAAGCUGCAUAUGGCAAUAUAAAUAAACAUCAGAUCAAAACGACAUCGGAUAUAUCUACCUAAUUAACAUCUCAUAUAAGUCCUUGUUCUCAGUCAAAUAUUUCAUCCUUAGAAAAAAGAAAAAAAAAAGAUUGCAAUAAUAACUGUAUGUUUUUAAUCCAACGUGCAAAAUUGGCAUAAAACAAACAUUAAGUUAAGACUUUAGAGCCUAUGAAACAAUAAUAUCUCAUACCUUCUUCGUUAUAUAUCCUCAAUUACUGCUGAAAGCUCCAGUUAAGAGAGUCGCACAAGUUCGGAAAAAAUUAUAAAAAGCUGCAUAUGGCAAUAUAAAUAAACAUCAGAUCAAAACGACAUCGGAUAUAUCUACCUAAUUAACAUCUCAUAUAAGUCCUUGUUCUCAGUCAAAUAUUUCAUCCUUAGAAAAAAGAAAAAAAAAAGAUUGCAAUAAUAACUGUAUGUUUUUAAUCCAACGUGCAAAAUUGGCAUAAAACAAACAUUAAGUUAAGACUUUAGAGCCUAUGAAACAAUAAUAUCUCAUACCUUCUUCGUUAUAUAUCCUCAAUUACUGCUGAAAGCUCCAGUUAAGAGAGUCGCACAAGUUCGGAAAAAAUUAUAAAAAGCUGCAUAUGGCAAUAUAAAUAAACAUCAGAUCAAAACGACAUCGGAUAUAUCUACCUAAUUAACAUCUCAUAUAAGUCCUUGUUCUCAGUCAAAUAUUUCAUCCUUAGAAAAAAGAAAAAAAAAAGAUUGCAAUAAUAACUGUAUGUUUUUAAUCCAACGUGCAAAAUUGGCAUAAAACAAACAUUAAGUUAAGACUUUAGAGCCUAUGAAACAAUAAUAUCUCAUACCUUCUUCGUUAUAUAUCCUCAAUUACUGCUGAAAGCUCCAGUUAAGAGAGUCGCACAAGUUCGGAAAAAAUUAUAAAAAGCUGCAUAUGGCAAUAUAAAUAAACAUCAGAUCAAAACGACAUCGGAUCUGAAAGCUCCAGUUAAGAGAGUCGCACAAGUUCGGAAAAAAUUAUAAAAAGCUGCAUAUGGCAAUAUAAAUAAACAUCAGAUCAAAACGACAUCGGAUAUAUCUACCUAAUUAACAUCUCAUAUAAGUCCUUGUUCUCAGUCAAAUAUUUCAUCCUUAGAAAAAAGAAAAAAAAAAGAUUGCAAUAAUAACUGUAUGUUUUUAAUCCAACGUGCAAAAUUGGCAUAAAACAAACAUUAAGUUAAGACUUUAGAGCCUAUGAAACAAUAAUAUCUCAUACCUUCUUCGUUAUAUAUCCUCAAUUACUGCUGAAAGCUCCAGUUAAGAGAGUCGCACAAGUUCGGAAAAAAUCAAAUCUUUCAUUCUUAGGAGAUAAAAAAAAAAUUGAAAUAAUAACUGUUCAGUGACAUAGGAUUAGGAAGCAAAAGUAACAUACCAAAAUGAGAGUAGCCAGUUCACAGAUGACAGAUCCGGUGACUUCAAGAGCAUAAAAAAUUAUUGAACUUUGUUAGAAAGGUCUGAGUCGUGUUUCACAAAAUUAUUGAACUUUGUAUUUGGGGUAUUUUUUUGGUUGUUAAGUGAAUGAGCUUAAAUCUAAAACAUUUAUUUAUAUAUUUCUUGUUGGAAAGAAUUUAAAUCUUAUUCUUAUUAGACUUAUUCUUUUUAAACAAAGGUAGAUUUUUCUCUUUGUGUUUAACGUGUAUUUUAAAAUUAAUGUUCAACAUAUCUUUAGAUUCUAUUAUAAAUAUUCAUAUCUAAAAUCUCAACAGAUUUCAUAAUAUAUAAAUAUAUAUAAAAAGAGAGAAUAAUUCUAAUAAGAAAUUUAUUAAGUUAAAGAAUAAUUCAAAUAAUAAAAUAACACACUUCAAUGUAUACAUAUCUUUAGAUUCUUUAGUAUAAUAAAAUAUAUUGUAUUAAAAUAUAUAUUUUAUUUACUUUUUUUAAUAUAUCUCUUAAUAACUUAAGAAAUCCUUUAUUUACCUCUCUCUCUCUCUAUAUAUAUAUAUAUAUAGUUUUUUAAAAAAUAGACAAUUUAGAGUUAAACAACGGACAUUAUGGGGGCCUUUACUAGACUACCAAUCUACCAUUUUGGAUUGUAAUAAAGUUAAAAUGGGUUUCUUUCAAAAGAAAGAAAAAGUGACAAUCAAUCUUGCCGGCCAAUACAUCAACUUUUUAGCUGGAUUAUUACCACCACAAAACUAAAUUAUUGCAAGCACUAGCAAAAAGCAAUCGAUGAUUUCGCAAUUUGGCUGUCAAAAAGCAAACUAGAUCACGAUUCCUCCAUUAAAAAUGGUGCUUUUUUUUAUUAAAUACGUAAAAAUUAAACCAACAAUUCAAAAUAGACGAUUGUAGAUGCGUAUAAACUGAAGAAGGUAAAUUUUUCGUGUGUGUAAAUAUUUUAGUUAACAUGAAAGAAUUCUAACAAAGUUAAUAUAAGAGUAUCAUAGCAAUACAAGAGUAAAUAUAUAUAUGUGUGUGAGUGAAGGAAGAAAAAAAAAUUAAGAAUAAUUUUGGCAUUUUGAUGGGUUUUAUAGAGUAAAAUCUAUAUUUUCAAAUAUGAUAAUUCUUUAAUUUAAUUUGAUGUUAUGAAAAAAGGGCAUUUUAAAUAUGUUUUAAGAUAAAGUGAAAACAGUAGACUACCAAUAUACCAUUUUGGAUUGCAAUAAAGUGAAAAUGGGUUACUUUCAAAAAAGAAAAGGUAACUGUGAGUUCUCCAUUUCAUCUUGUCGGCCAAUACAUCAACUUUUUGCUGGAUUAUUAUCACCGUCAAAAAUAAAUUAUUGAAUCACAAGCAAAAAGUAAUCUGUCGUCAUCUUGAUUCCGUAAUUUGGCUGUCAAAAUACAGGGUAAAACUAAGUUCUCAUUAAAUAUAUAAUUGUAUAGUUGUAUUAAUAAAAUUUAAUGGCUAAAAAUAAUAAUGGUACUGUAUUGCUGUUGUAAUAUAAUUGGACCCCAAAAUGCAAUCCAUAAAGAUUACCAUACCUCGUUUUAAAAAAAUACUGUUUCUGAUGAAAUAAAUGAAAAUUAAACUUGCAAUCUACCACGAACACACCAUUCAAUAAGCCGUUUAUUUCUCCUUAAAUUUUUAAUCUCAAUGAAACAUAAAUCUAAUGGGAACUACACAUAUAUAAAAAUACUAUAGAUUGAAGAAGUUGAUUUUUUCUUGUGUUAAGUAUUUUUGGUUAAUACGAAAGGAUUCUAGCAAGUUAAUACAAAAGUUUCAUAAAUUCAUAGUAGCACAAGAGAUUUUUUUUUCUUUUGAUAUUAAGAGUUUUUGAGAUAAAAAAAAUAGGUGAAAGAAGAAGAUGAGAGAAGAAAAAAUAUUAAGAAUAGUUUUGGCAUUUUGAUGCGUUUUAUAGAGUAAAAUCUAUAUUUUAUAGUAUAAAAUGGUACACCCAGAAUUUAAUGAUAAAAUUUUAGAAAAAAAUUGCACUCGUCAAGAAAAAAAAAAAGCUCAGCUUAACUCAAAAUUUUUUUAUUAAUCGUCUAGUCGCUAAUGUAAUCUCUUUUUUAUGAGAUUCUUUGGCGAUUUGAUUUAGUCCAUUGUUAGCAAUCCUAAUAGCUUUUAUGUGGAUCUAUUUUUAUUUGAAAUAUGUUUCAAGCUUGAAUAAAAUCUGCGGGACAACUAGUAAGUAAUAAAGCUCAUCACUUACACUUAGCAUGAUAUUAUUUUUGAUAAGUCAUUGUUUUGGUAGAUUAUUUUUUCUGACACGCUCUUAGAUUUAGUGAAAAUAAAUUGUAUACUUUUAAUGAAGAAAAGUAAAGAUUAACAAAAUAUUUUGUUGUUUUCGGUAAUUUUUGCGCUGUCAAGUGCGCCUGGUACCUUUUUUUUUUUUUUUAACUUUUGAGGUGUUGUUUAAUUUGUAUUAAAAUUAAUUAUCAUGGACCCACGUGCCAUUGUUUUCAUUUCAAGUUUCAUAAUUUAACAGUAGAAAUAGGUUCCACAGAUAAUUUAUUUUAUAAUUUUUUUAAAAAUUACUAAAAUGUAAUAAAUAAGGUAAUAAUAAUUAAUAAAAAGUAGAUUUUAAGAUGGAAAAAUCUUUUUGUGUACUUAAUAAAAAGAUGAUAAGAAUGGGAUGUUUUUGGUUAAUUGGUUUACAUUCUCAUAGUUAUUUAUACUGAAAAAUUACAUCAAAAUUUAAUUAAUAAAUCAGUGAACUGCAGACUUAUUAAAUUUAAGCUAUUUUAAUAAGUCAUAAAUAUACUAAGUUAAAAUAGUAGUAAACCCAUUGUUACACAAUACUCUCCAUUGAGUGUUCACCAUUUUAAGAUAAUCAUAAAAUGACACCGGAAGUGCUAUUAUAGCUGUCUCAUGGAAAGCCUUCACCAAUAAAAAGGUGUUUGAUUUUAUCUUCUUUUAUAUACGCUCCUCUAACUUGUGUAAUAGUAGUAAACGGGUAAUUUUUAAAAAUUUUUCGUGAGGUUUGGGCUUGUUGCAAGUAGAUGGCGAGAAUCUAUUUAUUUGUAAAAAACUUCUUACCGUUAGUUACUUUUAACAUUGACCAUUAGUUGACUGUGUAAAGACAAUAUUACCCUUAACAACAAUUUGUAGAUGGAAUUAAUUAAAAAAAAACUAAAAUUGUUAGCUAUUUUACCCUCUUUAUAUUAUUAAUAUUUUCUUAAAAUUUCUACAAGAAUGAUAAAAUUAAAAACUUAAAUUUUUUUUUAAAUUAUUGAUAUUUCCUUAAAGUUCCUACAAGAAAGAUAAAAUUAAAAAUUUAAAAAUAAACUAGUCAUAAUCUUUCCCUAUAAUAUUAUAAAUCUUUGAAAUUGACAAGGAUAAAAUUAUCAAAAAAUAGGAAUUGUACUUUUCGCGCCAACAAUUUUAAUUUUUUUUUAAUUAUGUCAGUCUACAAACUGCUGUGAAGGGUAAUAUUAUCUUUACACAGUCAACUAAUGGUCAAUGUUAAAAUUAACUAACGAUAAGGGAUAUUUUAUAAAUAAACAAAUUCUCGCCAUCUAUUUGCAACAAACCCAAACCUCAGGGGAGGUUUUUAAAAAUUAUCCAGUAGUAAACCCCUGCCUGUUUUUAUUUCGUUUAGUAUUUUCUAAAUGGCCGAAGGAAAAUUGUUAAAAACUCAUUUAAAAAUUAAAAAAUCAAAGAAAUUCAAGAAGAAGCUUUUGUAUCUGCCAUUUGUAUUUGGGGUAUUUUUUUGGUUGUUAAGUGAAUGAGCUUAAAUCUAAAACAUUUAUUUAUAUAUUUCUUGUUGGCAAGAAUUUAAAUCUUAUUCUUAUUAGACUUAUUCUCUUUAAACAAAGGUUGAUUUUUCUCUAUGUAUUUAACGUGUAUUUUAAAAUUAAUGUUCAACAUAUCUUUAGAUUCUAUUAUAAAUAUUCAUAUCUAAAAUCUCAACAGAUUUCAUAAUAUAUAAAUGUAUAUAAAGAGAGAGAAUAACGUUUCUAAUAAGAAAUUUAUUAAGUUAAAGAAUAAUUUAAAAGAUAAAAUUGUAUUCAACCCAUUUAUAUGAUUAAUUAAGGUUUUAAACAAAUUUUGGACUUGUUCUAUUGUAGAGCUUAAAUUCAAAAUGGAAAAGUGAAGAAGGGAAAAAGAAGACGAAUAAAGAAGAAAAGAGGAGAACAACUUAUACCAAAGAGGGAGAACGAAAAAGUGAAGGACAGAAAAAGAAAAAGAAUAAAGAAGAAAUUAAUCAUCGCUGAUAUGAAAAUAAUUCCUUCUUCUUUAUUGUUCUUAGUGGUUCUACUUUUUUUUAUUGGAUUCUAAAUUUUUGUCGGAGAUGGAUUAUAAGAACUAGAAAAUUAUAAAGAUAAUUUUUUAAUUAUUCGAUUAAUUAAUUCCAGCAGAAGACAAGAAAUUGAUUCUGCUUCGUUAGAAAGCCAUCACAUUCUAUACGCAAUUGCAAAAAGUAUAUAUUUUUGUCUGUUUUAGACAAGAAUAAAAGGGAUGCCUGGUAUUGCAAAUCUAGACACGUUUUAGUGCUUUAUGUCCGAAUGAAUUCUUUCUUGCAACAAUAAACUUGGCCGAUCAGGAUUUGCCGUUUACAUAUGUAGGUCCUGUUGGUUCUGUAGUAGGACUCAUAAAUUUUUAUUUUUAAUUUACUGAAUCCAUAAAUUUAAAAUAACGGUGCAACUCCUGAGGGAUGACAAUGGGCCGGGUGAGGUCUUGGAGUCUGCAUAUUAAAAAAUGUGGAUCCGAAUAUAAAAAAUCCGCACGAAUCCGAAUGCAAGUGCAUUUGAAAAACCGGAUAUCGAGAUAUGGAUAAAAAUUUAUUUCAAAUUAAAAAUUAAAUUAAAUGUAUAUUAAAAAGUAAAUGAAAAAUUAAGAAAGUAAAUUUUAUUUGUGGAUUUAUGAUGUCAUUGUAUAUUAUUCAUGUUGAAUUAUUAAUUGUUGGAUUAUGAUUGAAUUUUAUUUGAUAUUAUUGGGCAAAUUAUUGAAUUUCAUUUUAAAUUAAAAAUUAAAUUAAAAAUAUUUAUUAAAAAUUAAAUUUUAUUUGUAGAUUUAUGAGAUUAUUGUAUGUUAUUCAUUUUAAAUUUUUAAUUAUUGAACUAUGAUUAAAUUUUAUUUGAUAUUAUUAGGUAAAUUAUUAAACUUUUAAAUUUUAUAUUAAAUUAUAAGCAGUAGGAAAUUAUGGUAUUCAGAACAUGUAUACCUUCGCACAUGAAGCUUGAGUCCAGAACAAGAUGCAGCUAGCCAAUCCUUCAACUUCCAAAACCCCACAAAACCUCUGUCAACAUAUCUGCUCUACUUCAAUAUUAAGCACAUUCAUAGCGGUAUCAACAGCUUACAGCUCCAAAAAUAGUUUGAGAUUUCAUUGAAGCUAAGUUGUGACUUGUGACUGUCCAAAUGUUCUGUCACACGAAAUGAUUAUUCUUGUAACACAAAUCCAAUAGCAUGCAAUAUAAUCUACUCUCUAACACUGUGCAUUAGUAAAAUAAAACAGAGUAAAAAGAGAAACCAUGCCUGUGAAUCUCUUCUCCUACCCCCACCACCCCUUUUUUUGGUAAAGUCUAUCAAAUGAAAAUGCAGCAUGACCACAUUGGCCACUACCACUGCCAUUACUCCUUCAACUGUGCCCUUUGUUGCAAGAAAUCCUCAAGUGAAAGAUGGAUUAUAUAAUUAAAGAUUCCAAUAGAAGCAGCAAAGGUUGCCUUCCACUAGCCUAUCAGAGAAUAUGCUUUCUAUUUUCCUAGUUUUAAUCAAAAUUUUGCAAGAUUUAUUUAUGGAAAACUUGGACAAAAUUUUAUGUAAGAUACCAUAAAGCCAAACACAAUCUUUUUAAUUCUCAGCAGCAACAUUUAAAGUAAAAAGAUGGAAGCCAUAUAAAUAUAACUAUAUUUGGUACGAGGAACAAUUAUUUCAAGCUUUCAGAAAUGCUAGCAAGAAAUUGUAAGAGAACUUUACCUAGUCACAGAAUAUGUCAAGCAUACUACCACCAACUGUCUUUAGCACAAUUGUUAUGAAGUAGCCUCUGAAUCGGAAGAUUCAAGCUUCCACCAGGCACAAUUAUUUUCAUUCUCCAUACAAUCUGCAGCAGUGGCAUGAGUUAUAUCAUCAACAUUUGCAUCCUCACUCUCAUCACCCCAAUCAAGGCUUCUUCUCCACCUCUGGAUUAUAAGUCCGCUUCGACAUCUUCAAACAUCUCGGUCCUUCCAUUUGCAAACAACCGAUAUGGCUUCUUUCCUUGCCUUCCUCAUCAUUUAUAUCCCCCCAAAAAAGGGUCUUUAGACACCUCAACUUUGCCUUCUGCAAAACCUCCACAAAAUCUGAAUUAUCCAACACAACAGCUAGACGCUUGAUCCUUCUUUUGUCCAUCAUAUCCACCGCAUGAUUCCUCAACAAACAUCUGCAGCUUGUGGCUUAUCUAACACUGUCCUGACCCAAAACCCCACUCUUGUCAACUCAUCUGCCAAACCAUAACCCACUUUUGGAGUCAAAAUUGCAAAACCCCACUCUUGUCAACUCAUCUGCCAAACCAUAACCCACUUUUGGAGUCAAAAUUGUCCUUGCAGCCCUUUUAUAUUUUUCCAUCUCCAUCGAAUACUUGCCACUCAAAUGGAAUUACCAGACAGGAAUCCCAGUAACACCUCUAGCUGAUUCUACGAUUCAACCUCUUCUUUUGUUUACACUCAUGAAUUUGGAUAAAAUAAUUAACAAGUUUGUCAUUAUUAUAAAAUCUCCUUUCACAAACACCACAUAAAUAUGGCUCAGCAGGCUUAAUUACACCCUUGCUUUCCAAUUGGUUAAACAAUUUUUCUCCUCUUUGCUCUCUUACAACUUGAGGCACAUAACUAAAUGCAUGGCUAUUGGCAUAUGCCACCAUGUAUUUAACAACCCAAGUGAAGAUAUUGAUUUGAGGGUUUGUUGUCCAAAUCCCUAAAAAUUCACACAUUGCGUUGGACAGUUUUUAGUUCUACAAUUAAUGAUACGUUAUGUGAAUUAAGCUCCAAAUUAGAACAUCUAAACAAUGAGACAAAUGGGCUCUAGGUUUCUAAUCAGUAAACAUCGUUCAGUCGCAUAAUUUAUGAAAUUUUUGAAACAUCACUACAGCUACAGGUCUUUAUGUGUCAAUGAACUGCAGAAACUAAUGAUCUACUAGUAGUAGACGUUUGUUGUCCCCACCGUUCCAGGAAGAAAAAUAAGUAGAAGAACUACUUUUAGACCAAAAUUAAAAAAUUGAAACUAUCUUGAAAGACUUUCCCUUCAACUAAGUAAAAAAGAAAAGAAAAAAGGUAUUAGACAAGCAUUUUCAAAGGAAAAAGAUCAUCCAUUUAUUGUAUGUACUCAGGAAAAAUAAAUGUACUAAUAGGUAGAAACACAGCAAUAAAACUCAAAAACUAACAUCUAUAAAGCUCAAUAACAAUUAUGAAUUAGAUAUUUUGUCCCUUCAUAAUUCCUCCUCUUGACUUCACAUUUCCCCUCAGCCCGUGAUAAUUUUACCUAUUGAAUUCACAUUUCCCCUCAUCCAUUGAACUUUCCCAAUAACAAGAUGAGUCUAAAUCAUCAAUCUCAUUAAACACUCACAUCUACUAAAUAAUAUCACAUGCAGUAACUUUAAGUAAGGAUCUAAAACUUACAAGAAAAAGAAAACUACUGUUUAUUAAUUUCAAAAUUUACACAAAAUUACAAAUGAUUUUAUAAACUGUACCAAAACAUGUUCUCUAAAAGAGAUUCAUUAUCCUGCAUUUUCAAAAACAAUAUAAACUAACACUAGAAUAGCCAUUUGAUAAUGAUGUGAAUUUGGGCAGCACCAAGAAGCAGUGAGCCCCAUUUGGUGAAAGCAAAAAGAAAAAAAAUUAAAAUAAAGCACUAUAAAUUCUAAUCAAAUUAUUAACAUUAGUUACACAUCAAGAAACCAGAAUAAAAUCGUUAUCUAAACCACAUACUGAAAAAGAAAAAACAAUGCAGUUAAAAUUCUAUCAUUUUCACUUACAAACAAAUAAAGAAAAAAUUAAGAACAAAGGUUGAAGCAAAGAAUGAUUGUACCUUGAGGUACUUGAGGUUAAUGUUUCCAUAAACGAGACCGAGCGAAAAAGCCGAAACCAGAGCAACCUAUUCUUACUACUCAAAAACCCGCCCAGAUCAGAAAAUAAAUGAUCAUUCAAUAACAAUUCAUAAAAACUCCAUCCCAUCGCGAUCAUUCAAUAACAAUUAAUAAAAACUCCAUCCCAUCGCAUUUAAAACAAAACAAAGAAAAUAUUGAUUAGAAAAAAAAUUACACAUGGAAUAAAAGAAUAUAAAAAUGGAAUUACCAGAGGGAGCUAGUGCCGGAGUAGGAACCAGAAGGCAGCGCCAUAUGCUGCUCUUGUUAUGGUUUUCCUUCUUGUGGGCCUGCGCUGAAGUCGAAGAUGAAGAAACAAGAAAAAGCCAGCAAAUUGAGAAAUCGACUACCAUCUUCGAUUCCGACUCGCAUGGCCAUUUUUCUUUGAUGAAUGAAAUAUUGUUUUACUCCCUAAUUCUUAACCAAAUUACAAGUUUUGACUUCUGUUUGUAUGUUCUUUCAUACGGGUUCUUGUUCACAGGAAUAACAAAUGGGCCGGACGUGUGGCUAAGCCCGGGCCUGGUGUCGAUAGCCAGGCCUGGGCUUUUACGAGCCCAGGCAUUUAAUUCUGAACAUAAUCCUUAUAUCACUUCACUUUUGUAAUCGUAAUUUUAUUGUACUGAAAAUUAUAUAAACGAUUAAUAUGAAUUUAAUUAAACAAACAUGUCUUUACAACUCAUGCAACCUUACUAUUUUCUAAUCCUAAUAUGUGAUAUAAUUAAUUUUACUGAUAAAAUCAAAAUAAUUUUUAAACAAUGAAGAAAUAAAUUAUAAUAACAGUAAAUUUAUUAUGAAAAAGUAUGUUUACAAAAUUUAUUUUAAAUGAUAUGAAAUCUAAUAAAAAUUCUAUUCUAAUUUUAUGUCCUUUUUUACAAUUUUAUUAAAAAGUGGGAUUUCUUAAGAUUUUAGAAGGAGUGUUGGAAUUCUAUUUUUCCAGCUUUGAAUUUUAGUGGCCUCUUUAAGGCCCCAAAAAAAAAAGCACCGGUCCUCUAUUAUUUCAAAUAAGUUCAAGCCCUAUGUCAUUAUUGGUACAAAAAUGUAUUAGAAUGGUUAAAAACUAUUUUUAUUUAACUUAUAAACUUAGGAAAUUAUCAACUGUCCGCCCUUAAAUUGCAUUGUUAUAAAAAAUAUUACAACAUUUCACCUUGAAAUUGCAUUGUUAUAAAAAAUAUUACAACAUUUUUCAGGUUGUAUCAUUCAUCUACCAUAAAUUUACAAUCUGCAUCAUUUAUCCACCAAAUCAUUAACUUCGUUAAAAAGUGAUAGACGUCACAAGGGUAAUUUAGACAUUUAACACACAAAAAAAUAAAAGAGAAAUUAUCUAAGCUUACCAUGUUAUCAAAAUUGCUACAAAAUUUUAAAUUUGUUCAAUUUUCCAAUCUAAGUUUAUGACCUCCAAGAUGUUAAUUGCAGUUUGUAAUUAAUGACUUCAUAAGGAUAAUUUAGACACUCAAUAUGCAAAAUAAAAAAUAAAAUAAUGGCUUAAAACAUUAAAACAAAAAACUACUUUUUAUAAUUGAUAUUCAAUUAAAUACACAUAAACUCUAUUUUUUCUUAAUUAAAAAUAUUCUAAUUUAUUUUCUCAAUUUAUCAUCAUAAAUUUACAUUAAUAAACUAAAUCCACAAAUUACCCUAAACCCUAAUUCAUAAAUGCCCAAUCAAUCAAAUAGUUUAAUUCGAUUUCAUAAUUAAAAAAGCUAAAUUUAUUAUAUUAGUUAUGGUGCAAAGUCAAAAAUGCCCUUAAAUUCAAGGGUAAAAUAACAUUUUAUUUAAAUUCUAUAAAUUAUUCUAACAAUGUUAACAUUUUAGUGGACGGUUAAUAUAAGUUACAAACUUAAAGUAGAAAAUCAAAUAAAUUCAAAAUUUCAAACUCAAAAAUUUCAAACUAUUUAAAAAAAAUUUAGGAUAUAUGGUUAAUAAUUUUCCUUUAUCUUUUUACGUUAAAUUGAAUUUCAAAAGUAAAAUGGUCAAUUAAUAUAAUUCUAUUAAUUUUUUAAUGGAAGCAAACGAUAUAAUGGACGAAUGAUAUAAAUUGUAAAAUUAAGGUGCAUGAAUGAUACAACUUUAAAGUAUUAUAAUAAUUUUAAUAAUAGAACAAUUUAAGGGUGGAUUGGCAAUAAUUUAAACUUUAAUGAAGCAGCUAAAAAAAUUUUUUAACAAAGAAAAAUAAUUGAAUGCUUUGUGAAACCAAAAAUAAUUGAAAUGCUUUAAGAAAAAUUAAGGAAAUUAAAUAUCUUUAUAAAAACAUAAUUGAGUAAAAUCAUUUUACAAAAUGUUAUUUCAAAUGCACAUUCCACAAGCCAAGAAGAACGGGUGGCUAACAAAAAUCUCACUUUUUAUGAGUUUAUAAAAUCUCACCUUUGCAUAAUCCAAAAAUAACAAAUACUAAUCACACAAAAAAUAAAAAUUAUUGCUGUCACGACAGUACACACUUUCUUCGCCGGUCCUCAAUACAAAAUGCGUGCUACAACUAAAUUGGCCCAAUUAAUGCCCAUCGAAAAGGCCAUCAACAAUUUUGUCAAAAUUUCAACAAUUGAAGAAAUCUUGAGAUACAUAAAACAAAGUCUUGAAACAAAUAUUAACAAUCCAUCUGCAGAGGAAGUAUGGAACAAAGCUUAUUAUUAGCUUCUUGUGUGAACUGAACACGCUGAACAAAGCAUUUUUUUUUUGGAUUUUUGGAAUUUUUUAAAGUCAUUUAUGUUCGCUGUCAUCUUUUUCUUCGCUGGCGUCUUCAUUGGCAUCUUCCUCGUCUGUAGUUUGCUGUGUCUAUAUAUCCAACCAAUAAAUUGGGCAUUAAAUACGAAUGAAUGAUGAAUAAAAUGAUAAAAAAAAAAAACAAACAGAGAAAAUUAUAAUAUAACACAUAUAUAUAUUGAAAGAGAAAUUUUGAUUUUAGGAUAGAUCAAUUAGCUAUCACAAACGAAAACAUGAACCAACUAUGUAUAGAGUCAAUUAACUAAAAGUUCUCAAGAAUUACCUCUGGUCCAGAAUUCUCGGAAUCAUCUUCUCCUUCUGAACUUGGACGAAACUUGGGACAAUUACGAACAACUUCAUCGUAUUUAGAAGAUGGAAAUGGGAUCUGAUAACCCGCAGGCCAAAAGUUGGUGAGGUUUGGUAAAUCUCUCAGUUCCAAGCUUCGAAGUUCAUUCAUAACAAUUUCAUUGUAAUCCGUGACGUCUGCUCCAUCUUUAUGCCAGAAUACUUCUUCUAAUUCAUCAUUAGCUGUUAUGCAUAGGUACUUCAGUUUUUGAAGACUUGGAGCUACGCUGAUAUGAAAUAGAUGCUUUAGUUUGGGGCACCAACAGACAUAAAUGCUUGUGAGUUUUGGGAAACAUACAGGUUGGAGAUGAUCCUCAUCCUCAUCCUCAUCAAUGAUUUGCUCUAAUCCCCGACAAUUCCAAAUAGAUAACUCCUCCAAUUGCAGCAGAUUUCGAGCAAGUGUUGAUGAGAAGAGACGUCUCAGCAUAGUGCACCCGUUUACAGUUAAUUCGGUAAGACUUUGCAGGCUAAAAUUAUGCGUGGGACCUUCAUGAUAUAAUAAUACUUGCAGUUCUCGAAGGUUUUCCAACUGCACCUCCUUCAAACAUGGGAAUAGUUUGUUUUCUUCUCCUUCAGCGAUAAUAGCUUCCAAUUGAAAUACCACCUGUACUCCCAGUCGUCUAAUACGCAAUUCUUCCAAAUUUUUUAAUCCGUGCUUCAACAGUGCUGGAAUCGUGUCACUCAAAUGGGAACAACUUUCCACAUAUAGACUUCGUAAUUUCUGAGACAAAUAAAUAAAUAACUUGAUGCAAUUAAAAUCUAUUAGCAGCUAGGAUUAUCACAUGAUAAGUGAUGAACACCGCAAAAAUAUCAUAAUACAUAUGUAAACUAAUAAAAUAAUUAAAAAGUAAUGGAUUCUUAAAAAAAAUUGAAAUUAGUUAAAAGAGAUCAUGUGAAGUGAUAUAAAUGUGACAUUAGAUUGUUUUAGAAAAAUUAUUAUUCUAUUAAUUUAUAUGGCUUGAUCAACUAUUUAAUUGAAUUUGAAUAACAUUAUAUACACUUAAGAAGUAUUUGCAUCAAUUCUUUCUAAACCAAAAUGAAAUAUGACUUUCAUUUGAAGAAUGGUUUUAGGCCCUAUAAUAAAGAAAUUUUCUUAAGAUAUCUGAGCAUUACUAUUAUCAUCACCACAUCCACCACCACCAUCAUCAUCUCCAUAGGAUCAAAUAAUUAAUGGCUGAUCAUAAAAUUUAUUGCUAAACUAUCAUUUUGAGUAAAAUUGAAUGAAAAGAAAAAAACAUGAACCCAAACAAACAUACCUCUUCAAGAUACUGCAAAUUGGCUUCAAGUUCAGUACUGUUGACAGUCAAGUUGGGACAGUCCUUAAGGCGUAUCUUUUCCAAUGCUGGCCAAAUUGAACAAUAAUUUUUUGAACAGAAGCUGACGAGUUCUGAGAGAUUUCGAAGUGUUAAUUCUCUUAACAAAGGGAGGGCGAGCAUCGUAUUUCCAUCUCCGACACUUAUUUCCCCUUCAUUAUGAUCAAACUUUGCUUCGACAAUAUAUUCCAGUCUCUCGCAUCCACUUACAUUGAGACUUUUAAGCUGCUCCAAACUUCUAGCUUGUGAUAACGUGAAGAUAUAUGUCAACUUGUUGCACAUAUGCACAUUCAAUUCUGUAAGAGUUUGGAGACUGAUCACAUGUUGGGCCGGCGCCUUCCAUAUCCACUUCAGUUCUGGUAAGUCCCACAUAGAUAACUCUGCUAAUCUUGAGAGACUCUUUCCAUGCGGCGACUUAGAGGCUUCCAUUAUGCAUUCUAAAUCUUCGCAAUCGCGGACAUCAAGACAAGUUAACUCAUUGAAGCCCCUUUCAUCUAUGCUUGGCACAAUAUUGUCACAACCUAUUAACCCACUCAAACGAAGAAAUUUCAGAUUUUGAUACAAUGCUGAAAAAAUAACGAGCGAGGUCGCCGCUUCAUGAGGGCAAUUCUCAAUGAUUAAGCUCCUUGUUUCAUCAUUCUUAAUGAUUAAGCUCCUUGUUUCAUCACCAUCUCCUUUACCUUUACAGAUGAUGUAUCUUUGCAAUUUCGGGAAUGUAAAGUGUUUUGGAAGACAUACAACAGAUCUGUCGGCUUGGGAGUUCAACUCAGCAAGCCUAGCAUUACUUUCUUCUGAACUCAUCCCUUCAACCUCCCAAUUUUUUAUCCGACCAUAAAAUUCUUCCAAUUGAGGAAAUUUUUUUAUCGUAAUGGGAGAAAUGGAGCCAGUAGCAAUAUACAGAAGUUUCAAUCUACGAUGUUCAUCCGACAAUUCUUCAAGAAUUUUAAUGGAAGACUUCUCGAGGAAAAGAAGUUCAAGCCUCUUCAACUUUCCAAGGAAAGACGCGUCACUCACCUCACAUCGAAUCAACUGCAGAACCUGGAGGUCGGUGAGGAUCUGAAGCGAUUUAAGUGAAAGAACUCCACCUAUUAUAGUGACAACUUUCAAUGCUGGCAUCCUUUCAAAAAAUUGUUCUGGAACUUGCAAUCGGUGGUCGUAUUCAGGAUUCUCCAAUCGCAAAAUAUGAAGGUUAGGGCAUGCCAAACCACUAGGAAGCUCUUCUUCUUUUUUAUUUCCCACCAAAGAGAUUCCUCUGUAUUGUUCCAGGCCUUCUUUCAUUACCCGUUCUGCCAAUCCAAUGCCAACUUUACUAAAAAAUUUCUUCUCCUCUAGAACUAUUGAGCCUAUCCAUAUGGCUACAUCACGAACUAUGUCAUGCAUUUUCACAGAUCUGUCAUUACCAGUGUCUAACAGCAGUGACGCAGCUUUGAGCGCGUUAAUUGUUCCAUGCAGUCGGCUUCUGGCAUUUUCUAUUGACGGAGCACAUUGAUACCAAAUAACCCCCACUGCGUAUCCAACCAAAUCCUCCAAAUAAAUCUCAUAAUCUUCUGGAAACAGAGAACACAACAAGAAGCAUAACUUGGACUCCUCACUAUUUAAAUUGUCGUAACUGAAUUUAAGACAACCGUAAACGUCUUGGUCAUCCUUGUCAAUACCUUCUAUUGCAUAGAGUUUUGCUUCCUUUAGGUUAUUUAGUGCUAGUUUCCAUUCAUCAGAUCCUUUUUCUCUUAGUGCACUUCCAACAGCUUCAAUAGCUAAAGGCAGCCCCUUACAUUCGUCGGCAACUUGUUUUGAAACACCAUCCAAGGAGGAGUCGUUUACAUUAAUACCGGCAUUCUUUUUUAGGAGAGUCAAUCCUUCUUCUGGUGUUAGUGUACCAAGUUCAAUCUGUGGGUAACAACCGAAAAAACCACAAAUUGACGUUUUGCGAGUGGUUAGAAGGAUUUUGCAACAAUUGUCUCUAUCACCAAUGGGAAUACCUAAUUUUUUCUCCAAGUCGAGUUGUUUCCAAACAUCAUCAAGGAUUAUGAGGAUUUUGCUGCCUUUACUCUCAGAAAACAUCAACCGCAAUCGAUCUGCUCUCUCUUUUUCAUCUGUCUCAUUUAACGCCCAGCCUAACGACUUUACCAGCUCACCUUGAACCUUUAUUAUAUCUGGAUCCUGAGACACAGUGACUAUCCCCACCUUAUCGAAAUCCUUUUGUUGCCGAAGUUGAUUGCCCACAAAUUUUGCCAGGGUUGUCUUUCCUACGCCACCGAGACCAUGCAAUCCCACCAUCUUUAUGCUCGCUUUUUUCAGGGCGUCAAUGAUCUGAUUGCGAGCUGAUUCUGUGGUCUCGAAGGUAGAAGAAAAAUAACUUGGUAAACUUAAUUCUCUCUCUAAUGUUAGAGGUUUAGGACGGGCAACUGUGCUGAAUUUGCUGCGGUCUUGUAGCAGAUCGGACAACUUGCUAGUCUUCUUUGAAGCUUUUCUACCCAGCCAGUAUCGCCAACCCCAAUUAGGACACCAUCCAUUAAGACAACUCUUCUUUUCAUCUAUCUUUGCUUUCAAAUUUCGAACGUCGGCCAUUUCUUUGUCUACAUCCUCGAGCCAUGUCUCGACAUCUUUCUCGACUACUAUAGCACGGUGUAUUUGUCGUUCUUGUUCUACUCUUUCAUUGAUGCCAUCUUUUUCCUUCUUCAAAUUGGUUUCUUUAUCCUUAAGUUCUUUAUCUAUGCUGUUGAAACAGAGCAGAUAGCGAGCUUGGUUUAUGGUUGCAUCCGCCAAUAAUUCUCCAAGCUUUGAUGCAACACCUGAUAAAAUUUCCAUGCUAUUUAUCUGCAAUUAACAAGUUGAUCUCAGUAUGCUAUAAGCAAAACAUCAAGGCUUGAUCACAAGAUCGAACGAGAAUAUUUAAUUGCUUUAAUUUUCUUGUCAUUGAAACGAUGUCUCAUACCUUCUUCCGUUUAUAUCUUCAAUUACUGCUGAAAGCUCUGGCUAGAGAGUCGCACAAGCUCGGAGAAAAUUAAAAGCUGCAUCUAGCAAUAUAAAUAAACAUGAGAUCAAAACAACAUAGGAUAUAUCUAGCUAAUUAACAUCAUAUAUAACUCCUUGUUCUCAGUCAAAUCUUUCAUUCUUAGGAGAUUAAAAAAAAAUUGAAAUAAUAACUGUUCAGUGACAUAGGAUUAGGAAGCAAAAGUAACAUACCAAAACGAGAGCAGCUAGCUCACAGAUCUGGUGACUUCCAAGAGCAUGAAAAAUGAUUGAGGUUUAAUAGCAAGGUCCGGGUCAUGUUUCAUAAGUUGCUAUUGACUUCGUGGCUUCGCUUUUAUUUAUUAUUAUUGUUUUUUUAAAUUCUAUAUCAGUGAGAAUUGAAAUGUGGAAAGUGAAAUGAUACACAUGCUUUAUCAUCUAUCAUGAGGGGUGAUUUGGUAAAACCGAUUUAAAAUAAAAAAGUUUAAAAAGAUGCUUUGUGUCUGACUGCUUGUAUUUGGGAUAUUUUUUGGGUUGUUGAGAGUGAGUUUAAUUAAAUAUAAGAUUUUUAUUUUUUUUAUAUAUUUCUUUUUAGAAUGAAUUUAAAUAUUAGUCUUGUUAAAUUCUUUCUUUUUAAAUGAAAGUAGAUUUUUCUGUAUAAAUUUUAGGUGUAUUUUAUAAUUAAUGUUCAACGAAUCUCUAGGUUAUAUUAUAAAUAUUUUUAUUUAAAAUCUCAACAGAUGUCAUAACACACAAAGAAAAAUACAUAUAUAUAUAUUGUAAUGUUUUAAUGAUAAAUCUAUAAAGUUAUUAAGUUAAAAAAUAAAUAAAUAAAUAAAUAAAUACAUAUUUUAAUGUACUCUUACCAUUUUGGAUUGCAAUAAAGUGAAAAAUGGGUUAAUUUCAAAAAAGAAAAGGUGACAGUGAGUUGUCAAUUUCAUCCUUGUCGGCCAAUAAUACAUCAACCUUUUGCUGAAUUAUUAUCACCGACAAAAACAAAUUAUUGAAUCGGGUCCCGCUGACAGACAGCUUAUGUAAAGUUACAUUCAUAAUAAAUUGAUACUUGUCUUUAUUAUAAAUUGUUCUUUUAUUUAAAUAUGCGUUCAUUUCUUCAAUUAAGUCCUCAUAUUCGUUCAAUUUAUGAUAAGAUCCUUGUAUAGGAGCAUAUCUGCAUAUGUAAUAAUUAUUCUUCUAUUUCAGAUAGUUUUUGUGAAAAAAAGACUUUUAUCAAUUAUUUAUGUUGACUAAUUCUUAUGUCUUUUUUUAUUACUUUUCAUAGCUCUAUAUAAAUGUUUGCUAUAGAAUUUGUGUUAUUUUGCUAUAAUAUAAUUUAUAUUGUAAACCUCUGUUCAUCUGUAAAUAAAAUGACAAUUUUUUUUGUUUACUCCUAAAAAAUAUGAAAAUAUUAAUUUACUCUCAUAUUUAUUUAGAAGACAAUGGCAAAUAAGGUCGCAUUGAUAAUUUUUUUAUUUACUUAUUAAUUAAUUAGAGUAAAUUAAUAUUUUCAUAAUGAGAGAUACAUUGAAGAUUGUCAUUCUUAGUAGAGGGUAAAUUAAAGUUUAUCUAAUUAAUUUAAAAUAUCAUUAAAAUUUAAAAUUCUAAUCUGGAUUAGAUUUUCNNNNNNNNNNNNNNNNNNNNNNNNNNNNNNNNNNNNNNNNNNNNNNNNGGGGGGGGGGGGGAACGUCCUUAUUCGGAUUAGACUCAGCUGGAAGAGGCACAUCCUUAGCUGGAUCAAUUUGUUCAAGAUUGGAUGCAUCCAUCGGUUUCAAAUUUGUCUCUUGUAAGUAUCAUCGGAUUUCUUUACUAAAAUUUAGAUUAUCAAUCACAUCUAAAACUUAUUGAAUGAUACAUUUCAUUUCUAUAAAAUUGAGUUACUAUUACCACCUCAAAUCUUAUAAAUUCUAGAAAAUAAUCAAGGCUUGACAUACUUUUAUUUAUGCAAAAGCAUAAGAAAAUAAUUCAAAGUACUAAUUAGUGCACUAUUACUCAAAAUUCUAGAAUAGAUUUGCUAGUUCUCUUUAGCCAUAGAUUGGUCCAUGAUUGGCACCGCAAUAGCUCAGAAUCACCUCAACGAUUGUUCCACACAGCCCAACAUGACACACUGUAAACUAGUCUAACAUGAACUUUCUGAGUGGCUUUCUAACAAUAGUCUUAGAGAAAGUGUUUAGUAGUAUGAAGUCUUCUUUUUUUAACAUAAAUGUUGGCAUGAUAUUCUUAAUAUAUUUCUAAAAUCAAAAUAAGAUGCAUAGAGGACGAUGAUAAUUUUAUUUCAUAAUUGAAUUUUUUGCAAAGAAAGUUUGAACAUGAGAGUGAUGAGAGAUGAGAAUAUUGAUGAUGGUGUGUACUUUAGAUGGAAAAAUAGAUUGGAAAUAUAUAUAGACAUAUUAAAAGAAAAAAAUUUGGUCUAUUUCUUAAAAGAAACAAAAAAUUAUAAACGCGGGUGUUAAAAUGUAUUCAGAAUUUAUAAAUUUUUAUAAAUAUGAUAAUCAUUAGACCCUUAUAAAAGUAUAGCAAAAAGUUUAAAAUUUUUUAAUAAAUGUCGAAGAGAUGGACGAAGAAACCAUCCACCAGUUCAGAAUUAAUAAUCAAAGAUAUGAGGACUUGAUUGAAGAAAUGGUGAAAAAUAAAAGGACACUGGGUUGCUAUCAAUUUCUACCGUGUAGGUUCAUAGCCGGGGAAAUAAUUGGGCACAAAUAUCUCGGAUGAGAAAUAACCAUUUUAUCCCGCAACCAUAUGUUUAUGGCCUCUAAAAAUUUUCACCUCUUUCACAAUCUGGAACCCGUGCUUACUGGCACAUGCACAAUACUUGGUUGCUACUUAUAGAGCGUUUUUAGAAUUGCAACGACAUGGUGCUCUUUGAUAAUUCAAAAAUCCAAUAUAAUUUAUAGAGAAUUACAGAAUUGUUUGUGGUACGUGAUAAUUUGCUGAUGCAAUGAGGCGCCGAAAUUCUUAUACAUGUGAUUUAAGUUAUAUAUGUAUAAUUAAGUAAUUAGAAUAUACUAGUUGGGGGUAUUUGUGUCCAUGAAAAUUUACAAAAAAGUUUAAAAUACUAGUUGGGGGUAUUUGUGUCCAUUUUAAUUAGAAAAAAAUGCUGUUUCUGAUGAAAUAAAUGAAAAUUGAACGUACAAUCUGCCACGAACACUAUUUAAUUAACCGUUUAUUUCCCCUUAAAUUUUUAAUCUCAAUGAAACAUAGAUCUAAUGGGAACUACAUAUAUAUAAAAAUACUAUAGAUUGAAGAAGUUGAAUUUUUCUUGUGUGUUGAGUAUUUUUAGUUAAUACGAAAGGAUUCUAGCAAGUUAAUACAAAAGUAUAUCAUAAAUUCAUUGUAGUACAAGAGAUUUUUUUUUUCCUUUGAUGUUAAUAGUUUUCGAGAUAAAAAAAAAUUAGGUGAAAGAAGAAGAUGAGAGAAGAAAAAAUGUUAAGAAUAGUUUUGGCAUUUUGAUGCGUUUUAUAGUGUAAAAUCUAUAUUUUAUAGUAUAAAGUGGUACACCCAAAAUUUAAUGAUAAAAUUUUAGGAAAAAAUUGCACUCGUCAAAAAAAAAAAAAGGCUCAACUUAGCCCAAAAUUUUUUUAUUAAUCGUCUAGUCGCUAAUGUAAUCUCCUUUUUAUGAGAUUCUUUGGCGUUUUAAUUUAGUCCAUUGUUAGCAAUCCUAAUAGCUUUUAUGUGCAUCUAUUUUUAUUUGAAAUAUGUUUCAAGCUUGAAUAAAAUCUGCGGGACAACUGGUAAGUAAUAAAGCUCAUCAUUUUUUUAUUUUGAAAAUAAAGGGAAUCACUUACACUUAGCAUAAUAAAUUACACUUAGCAUAAUCACUUACACUUACACUUACACUAUUCAAUUACCCUUUUUUUUUUUUGAACUUUUGAGUUGUUGUUUAAUUUGUAUUAUAAUUAAUUAUCAUGGGCCCACGUGCCAUUGUUUCCAUUUCAAGUUUCAUAAUUUAUCAGUAGAAAUGGAUUCCACAGACAAUUUAUUUUAUAAUUUUUUAAAAAAUUACCAAAAUAUAAUAAAUAAGGUAAUAAUAAUUAAUAAAAAAGUAGAUUUUAAGAUGGAAAAAUCUUUUUGUGUACUUAAUAAAAAGAUGAUAAGAAUGGGAUGCUUUUGGUUAAUUGGUUUACAUUCUCAUAUCUAUUUAUACUGAAAAAUUACAUCAAAAUUUAAUUAAUAAAUCAGUGAACUGCAGACUUAUUAAAUUUAAGCUAUUUUAAUAAGUCAUAAAUAUACUAAAUUAAAAUAGUAAUAAACCCAUUGUUACACAAUACUCUCUAUUAUAGCUGUCUCAUGGAAAGCCUUCACCAAUAAAAAGGAGGAUAGAGCACAUACAUCCAGUUUUUAUACCCUUUGAUGCUCAGUCGACACGUGCCAAUGCUAUAGACUAGCUUAUAAUCUACUAAGGUGACGCAUGCCAAUGCUAUAGACUAGCUUUUCAAAGGUUGAAGUGGGUGUACAUUUAGUAAAAAGACCUGCACAAUUAUAGUGUAUCUAUUUGACAUCAACUUUUUUUAUCUGCUGGAGCUUAUGAUUAUAGAAGAUCUUCGGUAAGAUGUGUUUGAUUUUAGAAAAUCUCCUUUUAUAUAUCCUCCUCUAACUUGUGUAAUAGUAGUAAACCCCUGCCCCCUUUUUAUGUCGUUUAGUAUUUUCUAAAUGGCCGAAGGAAAAUUGGUAAAAACUCAUUUAAAAAUAAAAAUAAAAAUCAAAGAAAUUCAAGAAGAAGCUUUGUAUCGGCCAUUUGUAUUUGGGGUAUUUUUUUGGUUGUUAAGUGAAUGAGCUUAAAUCUAAAACAUUUAUUUAUAUAUUUCUUGUUGGAAAAAAUUUAAAAUUUAUUCUUAUUAGACUUAUUCUCUUUAAAUAAAGGUAGAUUUUUCUCUAUGUGUUUAACGUGUAUUUUAAAAUUAAUGUUCAACAUAUCUUUAGAUUCUAUUAUAAAUAUUCAUAUCUAAAAUCUCAACAUAUUUCAUAAUAUAUAAAUAUAUAUAAAGAGAGAGAAUAACGACUAUAUAUAUAUAUAGAGAGAGAGAGAGAAAUGUUUGCGGGAAAUAGUUUUAAAGGUUUAAACUGUAAGCUUUGAAAGCCGUGAAGUUUUAAAAGUUUCCCGAAUUUUCCCACACUUUAAAAUUACUGACCGGAAAACUAUUAUAUAUAUAUAUAGUUUUUUUAAAAAUAGACAAUUUAUGAGUUAAACAACGGACAUUUUUGUCGGCCAAUACAUCAACUUUUUAGCUGGAUUAUUACCACCAUCAAAACUAAAUUAUUGCAAGCACUAGCAAAAAGCAAUCAAUGAUUUCGCAAUUUGGCUGUCAAAAAGCAAACUAGAUCACGAUUCCUCAAUUAAAAAUGGUGCUUUUUUUUAUUAAAUAAGUGAAAAUUAAACCAACAAUUCAAAAUAUAGGAUUGUAGAUGCGUAUAAACUGAAGAAUAAACUGAAGAAGGUAAAAUUUUUCGCGUGUGUAAAUAUUUUAGUUAACAUGAAAGAAUUCUAACAAAGUUAAUAUAAGAGUAUCAUAGCAGUACAAGAGUAAAUAUAUAUAUGUGUGUGUGAGUGAAGGAAGAAAAAAAAAUUAAGAAUAAUUUUGGCAUUUUGAUGGGUUUUAUAGAGUAAAAUCUAUAUGUUCAAAUAUGAUAAUUCUUUAAUUUAAUUUGGUGUUAUGAAAUAAAGGGCAUUUUAAAUAUGUUUUAAGUUAUAAAUAACUCCAUCCAAAAUUUAAAAAUGAAAUCUUAGGGGGUAAACAAUUUCACCCGAACUAACAAAAGCCCUAGCCCGGAGGCCCAGAGUAGCCGCGGCUUUUUUCACCAAUCUAAUUAUUUACGAGGAAUAUGAGACUGAGAUUCUCUACCACUCCAAUUUAUCGCAUUGUUAGCAAUCCUAAUAGCUGUUAUAUAUCCUAUUUUUAUUAAAAAAUGUGGAUCCGAAUAUAGAAAUUUGGGAUCCGCACAAAUCUAGAUGCAAGUGCAUUCGGAAAACCAGAUAUCGAGAUCCGAAUAAAUUUUAUUUUAAAUUAAAAAUUAAAUGAAAAAUUAAGAAAGUAAAUUUUAUUUAUGGAUUAAUGAUGUCGUUGUAUAUUAUUCAUGUUGAAUUAUCAAUUGUUGGAUUAUGAUUGAAUUUUAUUUGAUAUUAUUGGGCAAAUUAUUGAAUUUUAUUUUAAAUUAAAUAAAAAUAAAAAAUUAAAUUUUAUUUGUAGAUUUAUGAGAUUAUUGUAUGUUAUUCAUUUUGGAUUGUUAAUUGUUGAAUUAUGAUUAAAUUUUAUUUGAUAUUAUUAGGUAAAUUAUUAAACUUUUAAAUUAUAUAUUAAAUUAUUUAAUUUUAAUUUUUGCGGAUCUGAAUAUUCAGAAUAUCCACCUGCAUCGGUUACGGAUAAUACCCGCAUCUGGAUCCACAUCUUUUUCUACGAAUCCAAAUAUAGAAAUAUGAAUGCGGAUCUAAAUUCGGAUUUUGCUGACCCUAAACCUAAGAAUGAAUGUGCCUAAAGUUUUUACAACGAACAUGGAUCAUUCAAUGACAUGACAUGUUUUGCAGCUUUCAUUAGUAUAAUUGAAUAAUUAAUUCAUCUCUAUAUUCAGCUUACACCGUCUCAAAUUACAUGCAAAUACGAAAGUACACUUCUGAAUCGUUCACUUGAGGAAAAUUAAUUUUAACUCAAUAAGUCGUAAUUCUCCACGUAGAAUUUUAAUUCAAACCAUAGCAAAUUAGACAUAAUUCUAAUUUAUAUGGGAAAUAUAAUUAGCGAAGACACUCUUUAUAUAAACAUUAUUGUCAUAGGAUGCCAAACCUAAUAAGAUUCAAGGUCUUAACAUACUUCAUAUGAAAUUUGAUCUUGGCGCGUACCGACACGCAUAACAUCAAGACUCUACUUCAUAUAUUAUAAUGUAACUUCAUGGAUUUUUCGCUCUCUUGUGAAAUUGACAAUUAUAGGCGCUGUGUGGCAGUGGUACAUAAUAAAAUAAACGUUUAUUUUUAGAAUAUUAUUAUUUAUCUCAAUUUUUUAUUUAAUAGUUAAUUUUAAUCAAUUCUUAAACUGUCAUAAUCAAUUAAUUUUUUACAUUAUGGCAUCUUAAAUAAAUUUUGGAUCUGUAAUAAAUAAAAACUGGUAACGUUUGUUCUUUUAAAGCAUAAAACAACCGUAACAUUGGUUUUUACAUUUUGAAUUUUUCUUGCAUCACUAUUUAGAAAAAUGAUGUUAAAUCAACUCACAAAAUAUAUCAAGCCAUCUAAAAUCCAAAUAUUAUUACAUUUGUAUUUGCAUUGUUAAAUUGUUGGAACGACGGCAAAGCAAUUGAAAAGAUAUUAACAAAAAAGUAAAGAUUGGCCAAGGAUUAUUCAUGUUUAGGAAAUGCCUUAACUUUUGAUAUAAUCAUUGUUAUAAUUAUAUUGUAGAAAUAAUCAAUUACCUAAUGUUUGUGGUGGUAAAAAUUAUUAACUUGUUUUAGUAUACCCGUGUUUAUGGUGGUCUCCUUUUUGUCCAAUUCUGUACAACAAAAUAUUUGCAUGUUUUGAUAGAAAUUGGUUUAAAUGACAUUUGAAAUAGUAUAUCCCCAAACAAUUAACGAAAUAUUUGGAUGGUAGGAUGAAGUAAUAUAGUUUUACAAAUUACCAUAUUAGAGGUUAAAAAAAAUCAAGAGGUUACUAACUACAAAUUUUAACACAAAAAGUUUAAUUAACUUUUCUUUUUGAGAUAACAAAAUCUCUGGUGUUGAAAACAAUGAGGUUUGAGGUUCAAGCUUGAAUAUCAAGUUACAAUUAGUAGAUGGUCUUAGGACAAAUCAAAGAUUUCUUUAAAGACAAAAUAAUAAUUACAAGCAAUAGGAAUUUAUGGUAUUCAGAACAUGUAACCUUCGCACAUGAAGCUUGAAUCCAGAACAAGAAUCACAAGAUGCAGCUAGCCAAUCCUUCCAACUUCCAAAACCCCACAAAAUCUCUGUCAACAUGUCUGCUCUACUUCAAUAUUAAGCACAUUCAUAGCGGUAUCAACAGCUUACAGCUCCAAAAUAUUUUCCCCAAAAAGAGUGAGAGAUUUCACUGAAGCUAAGUUGUGACUUGUGACUUGUGAGGCCAUCUUUUUUUAUAGUAAUCGUACGCCUCUAAUGCUUUGCCAAGUGUCCAUUGAUAAUAUCACAAGGGCAAUUAAAUUGGUGUAUGUGUAUUACACCUCCUAAAGUCAUGUUAAGAUAGUUAGUGAGCCGAUAAAGUUUGUUGCACGUGUGAGUUGGUUAAGUCUGCUAGAAUUGUAAACAUGUAAAGCUGAGUCAGCAAGUUAGUUAAGGUUAUUAUGAAUGCUUAGAUUCAGCUAGUUAGUUAAGGUUAUUAUGAAUGCUUAGAUUCAGCAAGUUAUGGUGUUGAAAAUGCUGUUGGUGAAAGCUCAGCUGAUAGAUGUCAGGAGAAUCCAGCCUUUGUUGCUUGGAAAAGGUAGGAUCAAUUGUUAUUAAGUUGGCUCAUGUCCUCCAUCAGUGUUGAGAUACUUAGUCUUGUGGUAAAUUCUGAUUCUUCUCAUAAACUUUGGACUAAUCUUGAAGAAAAUUUUUGGAUUAGAAACUAUGGCUAAGAAAGCACACUUAAAAAUGAUGUUAAGCAAUCUCAGAAAGGGAUCAAUGACAAUAACUGAGUAUUUUGCCAAACUUAGAGCUGUAACUAAUAAACUUGCUCUAACUGGUAGCCCUGUUUCUACUCUAGACUUUAUUACUCAUCUAAUCUCUAGAUUAGGCCAGCCAUACUACCCUGUUGUUUUGUAUAUUGAAGCUAAUAUGAUGAAAAUAUUUGUCAAUGAAGCCUACUCUAUGCUUUUAACUCAUGAAGCAAGAAUUAAAUUUAAUCAUCCGAGUGCAAAUAAAGAAGCAAAGUUGAAUUAUGCUGCUAACAUAGCUUAGGCUGGACCUAGUAAUAACAAUAAGAAGUCUAGUAAUCAAGCUAAUUACUAUCAGGGCAACCAAGGUAACUGGAAUAGAAAUGCUAAUUGGUGUGGUAACAAUGGAGGAAGAGGUGGCUUUGGCAGAGGUUUUUCAGGGCAAGGAAGGAGUAAUUAGAAUAAUGGUGGUCAUUGGAACAAUGGACCUUGGAGUAGUAGUCGAGCAGGUUAUAAUUGUUCUGAUAUAAACAUUAUGACAUGGUUGUUGGUGAACCUGUAAACAUAACCACAAAAGUAAGAAGACAUAAUCUUUUUAUAAGAAACUCAAAAAUGUAUUAAUGAUGAAAAUUUUAAAACAGAUAGUGGACCAGCUGUUCACUAAGAAAACAAAAAAUUGAAUAUUAGUGCUAUAAAAAGGCACACCCAAUCUCACCCCUAUAAAAGGCUAGAAUCAGCUACAAAUCCCUAUCUCAAAACCCCAUCCCAGUUUUAGAUGAAUGAAGAAAAAAGAUGAAUCUUGAAACUCCUUAGAAACUGAAGCCCAAAGUGAAGCAAGAAGAUGAACUCUAUCCCAAGCAAGCAAUAUGGCAUAUUUCUCCAUUAAUGGUUCAAAUAAAGUGAAUGGCUUUCUCUGAUGAAUGGGAAUUGUCAAGAUCAAUAGUCAAACUCACGCAAAGUAAACGGACUUAAUUCUCAGAGGCUACUCAUUCUAAGUCUUAAGUCUUAAAGAAAAUUUUUCUAAUUUCUAAAGAUUAUAUGGGGAAAAAUCAUUAUUUUCUAACAUGGAAAAUUUGAUACGGUGUUUAAUGUCCGAUCACAAUCAUAAUAUGAGUACUAACAAAAACAUCUUUAAUCGGCAUGGUGCGAGUAAAACACCAUCACUUCAUCUUUGAUGGAAAGAUGAUAAUAUAAGGAGAUGGUGAAAUGGUUUUAGUCCCUGGUAGCUUGUAAUUAAAAGAAAACAAAAAACUACACUAUUAUUAAUGAUUACCGAAGCUACAGAAGUAUCAAAAUCGGAAAGCAAACAAUUGCAAAACACAUCAAUGACUGGAGGUUAGGUUCUAAAACUUCCGCAUUUAAUUUUCAGAGCAUGUUAUGUAUUAUUCAAAAAUAUGCUUUCACUUCAGGCACUUGACCAAGACGCAUUAAACAUAAAACGCGGCGUUUUCAUGGACUAGUACAUUCCAUGCUUCGAAAGUUUAUGUUUUAGACUGAUUGGUUUGAUACAUUAUUUGUUUAUUGCGUUUUUCUUGCUUUAAAUAUUAUGUUGGAUUGAUAAGUUUUGUACACAUUUUAUAUUGCUCGCACUAAAUAAUUUAUGACAUUUAAAAAACUAUCAACCGUCUAUCAAAAGAUUUCUACUAUAAAUAUAUAUACACAAAAAACUUUUAAUUUGGUCAAUUUGUUCUCUUAUUUAUUUUUGUUCUAUUUCUCUUUUCCUUUCCUUUCAUUUUAUUGUUUUACGGUACAAAAUAAAAAAAAUAACCUUAAAAUUUAAGAGUAAAAUACUCAUUUUACUAAAAUUCCAUUUAAUAUUAUAAAGCUGUCAAAUGUCAAUGGCGUAGAACACGAGUGAUACAAAUUAAAAACAAUAAAUUGAAAGUUUUUAUGCAUUUUCCUUUUAUUUUUUUUUAUAGUCGAUUGAGAUUUCCCUUUAUAUUUUUAAAUUCAAUAGGUUUAGACCGUUUAAAAAAUCUUAAAUUAAAAAAACCCGCAGUGUAAUAACAAACUCACAUCAAACCCUGUACACUGUCAUCCCUAAUUAUAUUUACCACUUCAUACUCACAGUGAUAAUAACUGUGUAUCACAAUUGAUUUUGCAUACGGGUAAAAGUUCCAAGUCCGGAUAUUUAGUUAAUGAAAUUUGAUGAAAAGGGCAUGAAAGAAAAUAAGAAAUUAAAUAAUACAGGAGGAAUUAAUCAUUACAUCUUUAGUUAAUGAAAAUUGAUGAAAAUAUUUCUGCAGACGUGAGCCGUAAUUAUAUUACCGCUAAGAAUGAAGCAGAAGAGUUUCCCCAAACAAGCUAAAACACAGCACUUUAAUUUAAAGAAUUUUUAUAUCACAGUACCGGUGCAAAAAGUUUAAUGCAACAACAUACAUUAAGUUAAUUCCAUAAUCUAUCCCCAAAGAAAGACAAACACAAGCUUAUAAGAUUAAAACUUUGGAAAACAUUAAAGAGUGAGACAAAAUUGUGUAAUCUUCAGAGUUUGGAGCCUAGUUCAUCCAGGAAAGCAAAAGAAAUAAUAAUAAUAAUAAUAGUGGUGGUUUGAUCUCAAAAGGUGGCAUCAAAGUGGUAACUUUGAGGUAUUGGAAGCAAUAACGUCUUCAACUUUGUCCUGAUUUCAAAGUCCCUUAAACCCAUCCGCCAUCAAUGGAUUGAAUGCUUCCAUUCAACCCAUCAUCCACAAAAUCACCAACCCGUUUCACCUUCAUCUCCUUGGGCUUAACAGGGUACUUUCCAGAGAAGCAAGCAAAACAAAAAUUCCGAGAAUCAUCGCCUAACAACUAGUUCAAGCUGUCAAUCGGCAGAAAAGCAAGCGAAUCACACCCAAUAAACUCCCUGAUUUCCUCAACGCUCAUCCUGUUGGAAAUAAACUCCUCAGUACUUGUCUACUCCGUAGUAACAAGAAGCUAUGAUUGGUGGGCUUGCAAUUCUCAUGUGAACCUCUUUAGCUCCAGCCUCCUUAAGCAACCUAACAAUUUUUGAUGAAGUUGUUUCUCACACUAUCGAAUCAUCCACAACCACAACUCUCUUUCCCUCCAACCACAACCUUACAGGAGAGAGCUUAAGCUUGACACCAAAGUCCCUAAUUUUCUGGGAAGGCUCAAUGAAAGUUCUCCCAACAUAAUGUGACCUUAUCAACCCUUGUUGAAAUGGCACCCCGGCUUUCGCAGCGUACUCAAGUGCAGCCACCACUCCAGAAUCUGGUACUGCAAUCACAACAUCACACUCAACAGGAGCCUGGGUAGCAAGUACUUCCCCAAAAUGAUACCUCGAUUCAUAAACAGACCUUCCAAAAACAACAGAAUUAGGCAAAGCAAAAUAAAUAUGCUCAAAGAUGCACUGCUUAGGUUCAGGGUGAGGCAUCAAACAAGGUGAUUGAACCCCAUCUUCAUCCACCAUCAAAACUUCACCGGGAUAUACCUCUCUCUCUCUCUCUCUCUCGUAUGUGGCCUCAAUCAAAUAGUGCACAAGUCUCUGACGCAAAAACCAGAGCACCAUUACUCCUCCUACCCAUCACCAAUGGCAUAAACCCAUACGGGUCACGAACCGCAACAAGCUUAUCCUCAGUAACAAACACCAUUGAAUAAGCACCCUCAAGCUUCUCACAAACAUCCAAAAUCCUCAAAAAGAACGGCCUAGCUUUCGAUAUCGGAAUCAAAUGGAGAACAACCACAGUAUCAGAACUAGUAUUGAAAAUGGAUCCAUUAUCUUCAAGCUUAGCCCUCAAAGUAUUAUAAUUAACUAAUGUGCAACACCAACAGAACCAAACCUGUACCCAGCAACAAAAGGCUGCACAUUCUUAAGCAUAGAACUACCCGCUCAAAGAAAAAACAGAGGAGGUGUGUGGAGGGAGACAGUGGCGAAGGGUACUUUAAGUAGAGGGGAACUUGUUCUAGGUUUUUUUCUGGAAUUGUGAGGAAAUCUGAUCCUGUGUUCAUGCAUAUGAUUCAAUUACUUAUAGGUGAUAUUGUUGUGUCACCACAAAAUCUAAUUGGGAAGCUUCAGCUGUCAAUUCUUUUCUGAAAGAAAUUGAGAGAAAAUAUUGUUUGGUUGCUGAGAAAAUAUCUCAGAAAAUUCUCUAACAGCCCCCCUCAAACUCAAAGGACAAGAGUGAACAUUGAGUUUGGCCCUCAAGUAAUUAAACUGUAUGAAGGAAAGAGGUUUAGUCAUUAUGUCUGCAACUUGAUCUGCACUUGCUAUAUAUUGAAUGCUGAGCUCCUUAUUAAGAACCUUGUUGCGAAUAAAGUGUAUGUCAAUCUCAAUGUGUUUUGUUCUGGAAUGGUAAACUGGGUUCUUGGCCAAUUCAGCUGUACUAAUGUUAUCACACCAAAUAAUAGGUUUAGCUGUGCAGCAUACUCCAACUUCAGCAAACAAGGACUACAACCAAGUUAAUUCUGCACUAGCUGAUGCUAAUGCCCUGUACUCACUCUCGGCACUUGACCUAGCUAUUACUCCUUGCUUUUUAGAAGACCAUGAUAUAAGAUUAUUACCCAGGUAGAUACAAUAUGCACUCACUGAUUUCCUGUCAUCUAAAUCACAUGCCCAAUCAGCAUCUGUAAAUCCAGUAAGCUCCAUAUUGCCUUCUUUGAUGAACUUUAAACCAUAGUCCUGAGUGGCCUUUAGAUAUCUUAAAACCCUUUUACAUGCCAUGAGAUGCUGUAGUGUAGGAGCAGAUACAUACUGACUGAGUUUGUUAACUGCAAAAGCAAUCUCAGGUCUUGUCAAAACCAGAUACUGCAUGCUUCCAACAAUGCUUCUAUCUGCUGUACCGUACAUCCGCCUUGGCCGUACAGCAGGAACUGAACACGCUGAACAAAGCAUUUUUUUUUUUUUUGGAUUUUUGGAAUUUUCCAAGAUAUCAUCCACAUAUAUCAACACAAGAAUCAUGGAAGUAUGACUCCUUUUCAAAAACAGAGAUGUAUCAGAAGUAGUAUUAGUGAAUCCCCACUGCAGCAAGCAACUCUUAAGUUUAUCAUACCAAGCUCGAGGAGCUUGUUUAAGUCCAUAAAGAUACUUGUGCAAUUUACACACAUAACCAGGCUUUGUGUUGUCAAUAAAACCUGUUGGCUGAGACAUAUAAACUUCUUCUGUCAAAUCCCCAUUGAGAAAUGCAUUAUUGACAUCAACUUGUCUAAUUUUCCAUUUGUUCAUCACUGCUAAGCUUAAUACCACUCUGAUAGUUGCUGGUUUAAUAACUGGACUAAAAGUUUCAAAGUAGUUUACCCCUGCAAUUUGUUGAAAACCUUUGGCAACAAGCCUAGCUUUGUAUUUGGCUACACUCCCAUCAGUGUUGUAUUUAAUCCUAUACACCCACUUAUUAUCCACAAUCUGUUGAUCAGUCUCUUUAGGAACCAGAGACCAAGUAUUAUUGUGAACUAAGGCAUCAUACUCAUCUUGCAUAGCCUUCACCCAUCUGGAAUCACUCAAAGCUUCUUGCACUGAAUCUGUUUCUUUGUGAGUGAGAAUGGCUGCAUACACUUUUGGUUUAAAAAUGCCAGAUUUGCUUCUGGUGGUCAUAGGAUGAAUGUUGGAUUGUAUUUGAGGUAAGUCAACAGUAGGAGUUAAUGAUGUUGUAUUAUCAGAAGCAGAGGCAGAUAAGAAAUGUUGUGUAUUAACAGGUAGAUGAGUUUGAGAACUUACUUGCUGUGAAUUUUGAUCAUUUGUUGGUUGUGCAGGAUUUUCUAAGUGAGUUGAGUUGCUGCUGUCAGGGUUUGCAGAUAAGGAAUAACCAGUGCUAUUUUCAGUAAAUGAUUGAACAACAGGCAAAGUGGAAAGAUGAUAUAUUUGCUGAGGAGAAAAGGAAGUAGAAGAAAGAGGUGAUGAUGAUGACUCAGUGAAACAAUGAAAGCUAGAAUCAGUAGAGUAAGGAAAAGUGAGUUCAUCAAAUGUGACAUGUCUUGCUAUGUAAAGAUGACCUGAAGGAUGUAAGCACUUGUAACCUUUGUGUGAUGAACUAUAUCCUAGAAAGAUACAUUUGCUGGAAUGAUAGUCAAAUUUGUGUUGGUUAUAAUCCCUCAAGUAAGGAUAGAAUGCACAACCAAAACACUUAAGCAUAUCAUAGUUGGGUUGGUGUUUGAAAAGUUUCUCAUAGGGAGACAAAAGUUUGAGAACAACAGAAGGCAAUCUAUUUAUGAUGUACACAGCUGUAUGAAAUGCUUCCCACCAAAAUUUAAAAGGUAAUUUAGAUUGAGCUAGCAGUGUAAGUCCCAUUUCAACAAUAUGCCUAUGUUUUCUUUCAACCAAUCCAUUUUGAUGAUGAGUGUAUGGGCAUGAGUGUCUAAAAAUGAUACCACACUGAUUUAAGAACUCAGUGAAAGGUCUGUACUCACCCCCCCCAAUCAGAUUGUAACUGCUUAAUGGUGGUUUGAAACUGAUUUUCAACCUGUGUUUUGAAAAGCUUAAAGACACUUAGAGCUUCAGACUUAAACUUUAGAGGGUAGAUCCAGGUAAACCUGCUAAAAUCAUCCACAAAACUGAUAUAAUAGUGAUAUCCAUCUCUAGUGUAGACAGGUGAAGGACCCCAGAGAUCUGUAUGUAUCAGUUCUAAAAACUUAGUUGUUUUGGUUGUGGAUGAAGGGAAAUGAAGCUUAUGGCCUUUGCCCAUUUGACAAGCUUCACAGAUGUAUUGCAGUGCUUGUGUUAUUUGAUUAUCAGAAAAAUUUGCAGACUUGAUGUUUUUGAGAACAUGCUUUAAGAUAUAUUGAUUGGGAUGACCAAAUCUAUUAUGAAACAAAGCAAUCUUAUUCACUGAUGUUGUACAAGAUAAUGCAGUAGAUGAAUAACAAGAUUUUGAAUUAAAAUGAAAACAUGACAGCAUUGACAUUGGCUUAUUUGAACUGAUCUGAGAUAGAAAAGAUGAUUUAGAGAAUGAGUAUGGUUUGAAUAACAGCCUGUAUAAUCCUCUUUCAGCAAUACCCUGCAGCAGAACUUCCCCCUUCAGAGCAUCCUUCACAUAACAUAUAUUUCCAAGAAAUUCAACAGACAAAUGGUUAUCAGAUGUGAGUUUAGAAAUACUCAAUAAAUUUUUGGUAAUUGAAGGGACAAGAAGAAUAUCUUUCAGUACUAUGUGUGGGUAUUUGUGUUGAGCAAAUGAAGUUUUAAAAAAAAAUUUUGCAUCACCAACAUGAGUUAUGGGCAAACCUUGUCCAUUUCCAAUGAUAAGCUGAUCAGAACCAUUGAAUUCCUCUCUGACCUGCAUAUUAGCCAUGUUGUUGGUUAAGUGAUGAGUUGCUCCACUAUCAAGAUACCACCCUUCAUCAGCAGGCCCUUCAAAAUUUCCAAGAUAAGCAGCUCCAGUAGCUCCAGGUGCAGAAGACAUUUCAGAUGAACAAUGAGGCAUAGAAGAAUAUGUCACUGGAUCCAGAUUGUAAGACUGAUAAUUUGAGCAGUUCAUAGCAUAAGGAUCAUCAAAAUAUGGUGCAAACUCAGCAUGUGAGUCACAUGUAGUCAUAUAAGCUGACUUAGGUCCUCUUCCUCUGCCAAAAUGCCUUGACUGUGGCACAUAAUUCUCAAUAUAUCUAUGCCAACAAGCAUCAGCUGUGUGCCCUGACUUAUGACAUAUCUGACAAACAGGAAUGUUAUCAUCUGAUUCAGCUCCAGCUGACACAAAACCUUGACCAUGAAGCUUAGGAUGUGAUAAGACUUUGUGAAACUGCAUUGGCAUAGAGUUGCCUCUUCCAAAAUUAUGACCAAUGUUAUUAAAGCCUCUAGGAUAUGUAUUAAACAUCAUUCCUCUUCCAGCAUUUCUGUUUCCAUUAUGAAUUUGUCCACGAUAUCCUCCAUAACCAAAACCUCAUCUUCUAUUAUUCCCUCUGACUUGAGAAUAAUUGGAAUUCAUCACUCCAUAGUUAGCAUUGAACAUGACUUUAGUAUUCUGAGUGGUCUGACUUUGUUCUAAUCGUGCCUCAUGUGUUAACAGUAAGGCAUAAGCAUCAUCAUAAGACAUCUUAUUAGCUGUGAUAAUAGAUGCAAGAUCUAGAUAACCAGUCCCUAAUCCAUUUAGAACUUGCAUUAACAGAUCCCUUUCUGACAUAGGACUACCAGCACAGGCAAGUUUAUCAGCUAAUAUUUUGACUUUUAAGCAAUAUUCUUCAACAGACAUGGAUUCCUUUCCAAGUACAUUCAAUUCAUAACGAAGUUGCAUUAUUUUAGCUUCAGACUGAGCUCCAAAUUGUUUCUCAAUAGAUCUCCAAGCAUCUCGUGAAUUGUCACAAUUAAGAAUAGAACUGAGAAUAUCUUCAUUAACUGAUGAUAACAGCCAGCCAAGUAGUAUUUGAUCCUGAGCUCUCCAAUUUAUGUAUGCUGGAUUAUCUACUUUCUGCACUGAUCCAUCAACUGUUGUUUGAAUGAUAUGUUGCUCUGGUAUGAUCUGAUUUUCAGAUAUGAAAUCUUCAAGCCGAUUUCCUCUGAUUGAUGUAAGAACUUGUUUUCUCCAGAUUAGGAAAUUAGAUCGAUCUAGUUUUAUUGGAUUACUAAAUGAGAAUGAGAUCUGUGAAGUUUGAUUUGCAUUUGUUGAAUUUGAAAGUGUUGUUAUGUUGCUGGAACUAGCCAUAUUGGCUCUGAUACCAUGAAAGAAAUUGAGAGAAAAUAUUGUUUGGUUGCUGAGAAAAUAUCUCAGAAAAUUUCCAGAGAACUUUCGGAUUUCUUGUAUUUAUUUUUCUUAGAAAGAAAUGUUAUGAUUACAACUUAUUUAUACUUAAAGCUCAAGGAGUACUAAAGCUAAUGACUAACUAAUUCAGUAGGAUCUACACAUGCAUAACCACAGCUCGAUAUACAGAGUAAUCACACCAGACUGUUAACUACUUAAGCUGAGGUGGCAGCUGAGCUGUCAUUCUGCUUACAUUCAUCUGACGUCACCAGCUUGCUGGUUUUCCUUAGCUUGUGCAGCUUCCUCUUUUCUGCACAAUGAGCAUCUCUAACAUUUUCCAAGGGUUAAUUAGGUAGAACUUUCAUGUCGUCGAAUUUAUUUGGAGAUACUUUAGAUUUUUUUUCCUUGUGGGACAUGAAAAUUGAUGCAUGUUCCAAUGCAUUGCUCCUACCAUAUUUGGAAUUAAACUUAGUUUGUGUUCUCCUAUUCCGAAAGCAAAACUUAUACUUACUGUAUAAGUGAUAUUCUAAUAAGUAGAAAUUAAGAACCAUAACAAACUUGAUGAUUCUAAUUUGCUAGAAAUAUUGCAAUCCAAAACUAAGAAAGUUCAAACCAAUUAUUAGAAGAAAAAAGUAGGACGGAAGCUCCCAUAAUAUUGUUAUGUGUUGUAUGUUUUCAGUUUGUAUUUCCCAAUCAAUAAGGAAAAGUAAGUACACAUGUUACAAAAAUUUAAUAAAAAAGAUUGGAGGUGACAAAACCUUCAAUCUUCUAAUUAACUUUCUCUGCAUUGGAAUUUCCUUAGUUUGGUAGAGAUUGCUUAAUUGGUGUAUCUAUUAUAAACACUGUAAGUCAAAGUUACUGUUUUAAUUGUUAAGAAAAGUUAGAAGAAGAAAUUUUUGCAUAAGAGAAUUGGGUUUAAAUUGAGAAUUCUUUAGGAGGAAAUGAGUCUAAAUUCUAACACGAUAAUUUAGCACUAUAUAUAUAUCAUUAAUUGGGUGAAAAAUUAGGGUACCCGUAUGCCUAUGUUGUAACAGUUGUAAGGUACCACUAAUUUUUGUCUUUUGUGAUGUCAAAUUUCAUUUAAUCUCUUUUUUUUAUUUAUAGUUUAUUUAUAACGUUACGUGUUUUGGCAUGUGACUUUUAAAAUAUAAUUUUAUUUUAUUUAAAAUUAUUUAUUUUUUUAUAAUUUAUUUAUAAGUUUAUGUGGUUUGGCUGAUGAUCUAUUCAAAUGUAAUUUUAUUUCAUUUAAUAUUAUUUAACUUCUAAAAGAACAAAUAUAACAAUAAGCCUUUAACUAGAUAAUAUUAACUAAUAUUUUUAAUAAAAUAAAAUAUUAAAAAUAUAUUCUUUUAAAUAAAAUAAAUAAUAUUAAAAAAUAAUAUUUAUUUUUUAGGACUCACAAUUGCUUAUUCUAUUUUAUUUAAUAUUAUUUAAUUUUGAAAAAUAAAUAUAAUAAUAAGCUAUGACUAAAUAAUAUUAAAUAAAAUAAAAUAAAUAUUAUUAAAAAUAAUAUUGAUUUUUUGAGACUCAUUACUGAUUAUUUCAUUUUAUUUAAAAUUAUUUAGUUUCAUGAAAGAAUAAAUAUAAUAAUAAGUCUAUGACUAUAUAACGUUAAAUAAAAUCAUAUAAAUAAUAUUAAAAAAUAUUCUGCUGUACGGCCAAGGCGGAUGUACGGUACAGCAGUUUUUUUUUCCUGCAAUCGCCGAAUNNNNNNNNNNNNNNNNNNNNNNNNNNNNNNNNNNNNNNNNNNNNNNNNNNNNNNNNNNNNNNNNNNNNNNNNNNNNNNNNNNNNNNNNNNNNNNNNNNNNNNNNNNNNNNNNNNNNNNNNNNNNNNNNNNNNNNNNNNNNNNNNNNACCGUACAUCCGCCUUGGCCGUACAGCAGAUAUUAAGUACAACAAUAAGUUUAUGUACGGUACAGCAGAAAUGAAAUGAGAAUAAAUAAUAUUAAAUAAUAUUUUUAAUAAAUAAAUGAUAUUAAAAAUUAAUUUUUUAAAUAAAAUAUAUAAUAUUAAAAUAAAAUUUAUUUUUUAAGACUCACUACUAAUUAAUCAACAUAAAAUUUUAAACAAUUUGGACUUAUGUGAUAAAAGUUUUAAUUCUUUAGCUCUUUUGCGUUUUUGAUAAAAAGCAGGGAGCAUAAUGUUAAUAUUCAAAUAAACAAAUCUCUACCCUUCAAUCUAUCUUUUCAUUAAAUCCAAUGAUCAAGAAUUGAAAUCAUAAAAAAUAAAAUUAGGUGGUACCUUGCAACUGUUGCAAGGUAGUUAAGUCCGAAAAAUUAAUUUCCCUCCUUUGAUGUGAUUUUGAUCGUUUAUUUUUAUAUGAUGGUAAUUUCUUGUUUAGAGUGAAGCUAAGGGUGGGUAAGGUUCGGUUCGGAUCGAAAUUAAGUAGAACCGAUUUAAAUCUGUUAUUUUAUAAAAAGAACCGAAUAAGAACUGAAUUCAAUAAGAACCGAACUCAAACGAAUCUUGUUAAAUCGGUUCGGUUCGGUUUUUUCGGUUUUGGGCCUAUUAGGCCUAUUUUGAAUUUCUAAAUUUUUAGCUCAUUUGGCCUCAUGAAUGUCAUAAUUGUUUUCAACAAUUAAUUCAUCCUAAUUUCAUUACAAAUAUUAACAAUAAAUACAAAGUAUUCAAAACACAUUUUAUCACUAAUAUCUUACUAACUACUAAUUAGAUACUGACUACUCACAAAAUAUGAAAUAUUAAGAUUUCAAAAUACAUAACCAAACUCUAAUACUCCAUCUACAUAAACAUAAUGUUGUAAAGACAAAUAAAAAUAACAACAGUGAUUUUGUUCUUCGGUUCGGUUCUUCGGUUCAGUUGAGUGAAUCGAAUACCGAACCAGUAUUUCGUUUUUUUAUAAAUAAUAUAUUUCAGUUUUUUUUUAAAUUAAAACCGAACCAAAUUAGAACCGAAUUGUCGGUUUGGUUCGUUUUUUUAAGAAUACAGUUUUUUUGUCCAGUCCUAAGUGAAGCUAUUGGCACCAUUUCGCUAUAUUUAUAAAAUUCUACUUCAACUAAAAUUACACUUAAAGACAAUAGAAUUAAACAAACAUGUUUUUUUUUUCCAAACAAAUUACUUACAUUCAUAAUUAUUUUUCUUCUAAUUUUCUUCAUGUUGCUUCGUAUCUAAGUAAAAUAAAUUGUAUAAAUUUAGAAUAAUCUAUUAUUCUUUUUAAAUUUCUUAUUGAUUAAAUACUUUUGUGCUUAAGAUUGCUUUAAAAUUAUAAGAUAAAAUAUGUGUAAUUUAAGCCAAUGAUUAACAUUCAAAAUUUUAUCUCUCAGAAACGUUUUUAAUUUGUGUACAGGGUAACAAUAAAAUCGUAAAAGAAAUAAAAAAUAGCAUAACACUACUUUGAGUUUAGAAAACAAGGUUUCAUGAGGGGUGCAAUAGUUCAACUCUUUUGUGUAAAGUUUUAAGAUGAUGGUAUCCGUAGCUUAGUUUUUCCCUAAUUAUUAUAUUAAAAUGUAAUAACAAUGCUGAUCACGCCAAUCUCAUGGAGGUCAAAGAUUUUGGUCAUGCCGCAUGAAUUAGUGCUUUUGGUUGGCAAAUACUUGUAUAAAUUUAUUUACAUUAAAUAAUUUGACCAAGACUACGUAAGGCGCCGCCUGGAGACUGGAGUCAUCGUAUUUUAUACGUCAAAAGCGCGUUUCAGUUCAAUAAGCCAUAAAUGUCGUUUAAUAUGCUCAUUUUGUACUUUUUUUUAAUAAAAAAAUUAUUUAUUUUUUAAAAAUAUUGUUUAUUUUUUUUUAAAGGUAAAGAGGUGGGUAAAAUCUAAAUUCAAUUUUUAUCCCUAAGAUUUGAACUCAGGUGAAUAGCCAAAUGUAUAAUAACAUGUAUUUCGAAUUUAAUUUUAAAUGAUAUGCAAUUCGUUAAGUGAUUGUUAAUUUUUUAUAAGAUCAAAAUGAAUUAAUUGUAUUAUCUCAUUAACUAAUUGAUAAGUGCCCUAUUAUUUGGGAUAACUUUUGAAUAAAAAAAUUGUGAUGGAUGAAAUAUUCUUUUGAGAAUUUAUUGACUUAUCUCAUUUAUGACUUAUUGUUGCAUUUAAGUGAUUUUGCAAAUAAUAUUAUUGUUUUGACAAGUAAGUUUGGAGUAAAUAAUACAUAUGGCAAGUGUUAGGUUUGUUAUUGCAUAUAUUUUGUGGAUCCAUUUUAAAGCCAAAAAAAAGGCAUUUCUAUUCAUUAUGAUCCCAGAUAAUUUCAAGCCAUAUGUCAUUAUUGGGAUAAAAAUAAAGUAAAAUGGUUAAAACUAUUUUUAUGUAAUUUAUAAAAAUUAAUGAAGCAACUACAAAAAUUUUUAACCGAAAAACAAUUGAAAUGUGUGUGGAAAAAGAAGAAAAAAAUAAGGCAUUUAAAUAUCUUCUUAAAAAAUACGAUUGAGUAAAAUCAUUUUAACAGAAUGCUCUUCCAAAUACAAUUCCACAUUUUUUUUUAUUGCAGUGGGAUAUUCCAAAAUUGGCACAACUCAUUAAGAAUUCGGCAACUCAAAUUUUAUUUAUCACUCUAUGCAUUUGAGAAAUUAAAAAGAAAAAAAAUUCAUAUAUCUUCUGUUCAAAAGAAACCUUGGUAAAUAUUGUAAAACAAAUUACCAAUUUUUUUAAUUUAUGCCAUUAUAUCGUCGCUAUUUUCUCGCCCACUUUCUUAAAAUAGAAUCAAUAUUCAUUGAUGGGUUGGGUUCCAGAGUAAGCACCAAUUCAGUAAAAUGGUUUUAUAGCAGAAAAAGCACUUGUAAGACAUUCAGGACACAUUUUUCAAUUUUGUCUUUUGAAAAUGAGUCUUGAGUUUCCGCAAGCCAAGAAGAAUGGCUAAAAAAUGUAUGGUAUCAAAGAAAGAGAAACACACACACAUAGAAACACACACACACACAGAGAUUAGUGGGGAGAUAUAUAUAUAUAUGUGUGUAAUUUGUAUAUAUAUCCCCAUUAAUUGUUGAUAGUCCAACGGGUGAGUAUAUGCAAAAGGAAAAAAUUGGCUGUCCUUUAAGACAAGAUUGACUGUCACAUGAAAAUGUUAGCACACUUGCCACGCAACAAAAAUAAAGAUUCCAAGAACAACUUUAUGGUCCCCUUUCUAAUGACGGGAUUAGUAGUAGCUGCAAAUUCAUAAAUUUCAUUUAUGAGUUUAUAAAAUCUCACUUCACAAAAUCCAAAAAUAACCAAUACUAUCACACCAAAAGUAAAAAUUAUUGCUGUCACGACAUUACACACUUUCUUUGCUAUCUAGAAAGCUAUAACAUUUGGAAGUUCUUCAAUACAAAAUGCAUACUACUACUAAAUUGGCCCAAUUAGUGCCCAUCGAAAAGGCCAUCAAUUUAGCCACCAAAUUUGCCAAAGUUUUAACAAUUGAAGAAACAAUGAACGCAAAAGGAAUAGGUAAAUUUUAAAGUUGAACAAACCUUGAAAUACAUACAACAAAACCUUGAAACUUUAGUCUUCACAAUUUAAGCACGCAAUAAUAUUAAGUAUCCACCUGGAAAACAAGUAUAGAACAAAGCUUGUUAGCUUCUUGGGCAUUAACUAUGAAUGAUGAGUAAAAUUAAAAAAGCAAACAGAGAAAAUUAUGACAAGAAGAAAAGCAAACAUUUAAAAAAAAAAUACUAGUAGGAAAAUUUUGGUAAAACUCCAUGGCUUAUCUGCAAAAUUAAUGUUAAUGUGUAUUUUUAUGCAAACAGGGUCUCUUGAUUUGAGGAUGAAUCAAUCCGCUAUCACAAACGAAAACAUGAACCAACCAUAUAUAGAGUCAAUUAAUUAAAGUUCUCAAGAGCUUACCUCUGCUCUAGAAUUCUCGGAAUCAUCUAACUCCUUCUGAAUUUGCACGAAACUUUGGACAAUCAUGAACUUCUUUAUAGAAUCCAGAUGGAAAUGGGAUCUGAUAACCUGCAGGCCAAAAGUUGGUGAGGUUUGGUAAAUCUCUCAGUGUCAAGUCCCGAAGUUCAUUCAUAACAAUUUCAUAGUAAUCCGUGACAUCUGCUCCACCUUUAUGCCAAAAUACUUCUUUUAUUUCAUCAUUAGCUUCUAUGGAUAUGUACUUCAGUUUUUGAAGACUUGGAGCUAUGCUGAUAUGAAAUAGAUGCCUUAGUUUGUGGCAAUAACGGACAUAGAUCGAUUUGAGUUUUGGGAAACAUACAGGUUGGAGAUUAUUCUCAUCCUCAUCCUCAUCAAUGAUUUGCUCUAAUUCCCAGCAACGCCAAAUACGUAACACCUCCAAUUGCAACAGAUUUCGAGCAAGUGUUGAUGAGAGGAGACAUCUCAGCGUAGAGCACCCGUUCACGAUUAAAUGGGUAAGAUUUUGCAGGCUAAAAUUAUGCGUGGGACCUUCGUGAUAUAAUACUUGCAGUUCUUGAAGAUCUUCCAAUUCCAACAUCUUCAAACAUGGGAAUAAUUUGUUUUCUUGUACCUCAGCGAUAAUAGCUUCCAAUUGAAAUACCACCUGUACUCCAAGUUGGCUAAUACCCAAAUAUUCCAAAUUUUUUAAGCCGUGCUUCAAUAGUGCUAGAAUCGUGUCACUUAAAUGGAAACAAUCGUCCACAUUUAGAACUUUUAAGUUCUGAUACAAACAAAUAGGUUAGUUGAUAUAAUUAAAAUCUAUUAGCAGCUAGGAUUAUCACAUGAUAAGUGAUGAACCCCGCAAAAAAAAAAAAAAACAGAGACAAAAUCCAUGCAAAAAUAUAAUAAUACAUAUGUAAACAAAUAAAAUAAUUAAAAAGUAAUGGAAUUUUUUUUAAAUGAAAUUAGUUAAAAGAGAUCAUGUGAAGUGAUAUAAAGGUGACAUUAGAUUGUUUGAGAAAAAUUAGUAUUCUAUUAAUUUCUAUGGCUUGAUCAACUAAUUAAUUGAAUUUGAGUAAUAUUAUAUACACUUCAGAAGUGUUUACGUCAAUUCUUUCUAAACCAAAAUGAGAUAUAACUUUCAUUUGAAGAAUAAUUUUAGGCCCUAUAAUAAAGAAAUUUCCCUAAGAUAUCUGAGCAUUAUUAUUAUCAUUACCACAUCCACCACCACCAUCAUCAUCUCCAUAGGAUCAAAUAAUUAAUGGCUGGUAUAAAAUUUAUUGCUAAACUAUCAUUUUGACUAAAAAUUGAAGGAAAAGAAGAAACAUGAACCCAAACAAACAUACCUCUUCAAGAUACUGCAAAUUGGCUUCAAGUUCAGUACUGUUGACGGUCAAGUUGGGACAGUGCUCAAGGUAUAACUCCUCCAACGCUGGCCAAAUUGAAAAAUAAUCUUCUGAACAAAAGCUGAUGAGUUCUGGGAGAUCAUCAAGUAUUAAUUUCUCAACAAAGGGAGGGCAAGCAUCGUAUUUCCAUCUCCGACACUUAUUUCCCCUUCAUUGUGAUCAAACUUUGCUUCGACAAUACAUUCUAGUCUUUCGCAUUCCCUUACAUAGAGACGUUUAAGCUGCUCCAAACUUCGAGCUUGUGACAACGUGAAGAUAUAUGUCAAAGUAUUGCAGCUAUGCACAUUCAAUUCUGUAAGAGUUUGGAGGCUGAUAACAUGGAGAGCGGGCGCCUUCCAUAUCCACUUCAGUUCUGGUAAUUGCUGCAUAGAUAACUCCACUAAUCUUGAGAGCACCUCAUGAUUCCCACUCUUUCCAUGCAGCGACUGAGAGGCAUCCACUAUGCAUUCUAAAUUCUCACAAUUGUUGACAAAUAGACGAGUCAACUCAUUUAAGCCCCUUUCAUCUAUGCUUGGCACAAUAUUAUGACAACCUAUUAACCCCCUCAAACGAAGAAAUUCCAGAUUUUGAUACAAUGCUGAAAAAAUAACGAGCGAGGUCGCUUCAGGAGGGUCAUUCUCAAUGAUUAAUCUCCUUGUCUCAUCACCAUCUUCCAUUUCAUCAUCAACUCCUUCACCUUUACGGAUGAUGUAUCUUUGCAAUUUCGGAAAUGUAAAGUCUUUUGGAAGACAUACAACAGAUCUGUCGGCUUGGGAGUUCAACUCAGCAAGCCUAGCAUUACUUUCUUCUGAACUCAUCUCUUCAACCUCCCAAUUUUUUAUCCGACCAUAAAAUUCUUCCAAUUGAGGAAAUUUUUUUAUCGUAAUGGGAGAAACAGAACCGGUAUCAAUAUAUAGAAGUUUCAAUCUACGAAGUUCAUCCGACAAUUCUUCAAGAAUUUCAAUGGGAGACCGCUGGAGAUAAAGAAGUUCAAGUCUCUUCAACUUUCCACGAAAAGACACAUCACUCACAUCACACCGAAUCAACUGCAGAACUCGGAGGUUUUUGGCUAGGAAUCGAAGUGAUUUUAGUGAAAGGACUCCAUUUAUUAUAGUAACAACUUUCAAUGCUGGCAUCCCUUUAAAAAAAUUUUCUGGAACUUGCAAUUUGUAGUCACAUAGAGUGUUGUCCAGUCGCAAAAUAUGAAGGUCAGGGCAUGCAAAACUACUAGGAAGCUCUUCUUCUUUAUUUCCCAUUACAGAGAUUCCUUUGCACUGUUCCAGGCCUUUUUCCACCGCCCGUUCCAGCAAUCUGAUGCCAUUUAUACUAAACAAUCUCUCCUCCUUCUCCUUCUUCUCUGUGCUUAUCCAUAUGGCUACAUCACGAACUACGUCAUGCAUUUUCACAGAUCUGUCAUUACCAGUGUCUAACAGCAGUGAAGCAGCUUUGAGUCCGUCAAUUGUUCCAUGCAGUAGGCUUCUGGUGUUCUCUAUUGACUCAGCUUGAUACCAAGUCAACCCUACUGCAUAUCCAACCAAAUCCUCCAAAUUAAUCUCAUAAUCUUCUGGAAAUAGCGAACACAGCAAGAAGCAUAACUUGGAAUUGUCAUCAUUCAAUUUGUCGUAACUAAAUUUGAGACAACCGUAAACAUCUAAGUUCUCCUCAUCAAUACCUUCUAUUGCAUAGAGUUUUGCAGCCUUUAGGUUAUGUAGAGCUAGGUUCCAUUCAUUAAAUCCUUUUCCUCUUAGUGCACUUCCAACAGCUUCAAUAGCUAAAGGCAGCCCCUUACAUUCUCCAGCAACUUCUUUGGAAACAUCAUUCAAGGUGGAGUCAUUUACAUCAAUGCCGGCAUUCCUUUUUAGUAGAGCCAAUCCUUCUUCUGGCGUUAGUGUACCCAGUGGAAUCUGCGAGUCACAAUGCAUGCGUUCACAAACUGACUGCAGGCGAGUAGUUAGAAGGAUUUUGCAGCGAUUGUCUCUAUCACCAAUGGGAAUACCAAAUUUUUCAUUCAAGUUGAGUUCAUUCCAGACAUCAUCGAGGAUUAUGAGGAUCUCAGUGCUUUUACUCGCAGAAAACAUCGAGCGCAGUUGGUCUGCUCCAUCUUUUUCAUCUUUCUGCUCCAAUUCCCAACCUAAUGAAUUUACCAACUCAUUUUGAACAUUUAUUAUGUUUGGAUGCCGAGAUACAGUGGCUAGCCCCACCUUAUCGAAAAUCUUUUGUUGCCGAAGUUGACUGCCCACAAAUUUUGCCAAGGUCGUCUUUCCUACACCACCGAGGCCAUGCAAUCCCACCUUCUUUGUGCUCUCUUUUUUCAGCGCGUCAAUGAUCAGAUUGUAAGCUGAUUCUGUGGUCUUGUAAGUAGAAGAAAAAUAACUUGGUAAACUUAAUUCUCUUUCUAACGGUGGAGGUUUAGCAAGGGCAGCUGUGUUGAUUUGCCUGUAGUAUUGUAGCAGAUCAAACAACUUCCUAGUCUUCUCUAAUGUUUUUCCGCCCAGACUAUAUCGGCAACACCAAUCAGGACACAAUCCAUGAAGACUACUAUCCUUUUCAUCUAUCUCUUCUUUCAACUUUCGAAUAUCGUCCAAUUCCCUGUCUACAUCCUCCAGCCACUCCGUUACAUUUUGAUCGACUACUAUGUCGGGGCGUUUUUGUCGUUUAUCUUCUAUUGUCUUAUUGAUGACAUCUAGUGCCUUCUUCAACUCAGUUUUUUCAUCCUCAAGUUUUUUCACAAUGCGGUCGAAACAGAAUAGAUAGGAAGCUGGUUCUUUGAUUGCAUUCACCAAACAUUUUCCAAUCGGUUCUAAAAGUGGUUUAAAAAUUUCUUUUAAACAGUCUAUUAAACAGUCUUUUAAACAGCCUAUUAUAAUUCCCAUGCUAUUUAUCUGCAAAUAAAAAAGUUGAUCUCAAUACGCUAUAAGCAAAAGAACGAGGCUUGAUCACAAGAUCGAAUGAGGACGUUUAAUUACCUUUUUCUGUUAUGUGAAUGCACGUUUAUUAACACCAGCUUUGAUCAAUAAGAGCAAAAUGCAAACGCCGGGCUUCAAGAGUUUUAAGUGGCCUUUAGCUGCAGAAUAGAAGAUGACAAAUAAGGUAAAACGUUCCCAGCAAACGUGACAUGUGGUGGACUUAAAAUGAUACCUUAUUUGGGAUGAUAAAGAUUGGGGUAAAUUCUCUUUUAUUCUCAAAAUUUUGAACCUAUUAUCAGUUGUAGUAUUUGUAUUUUUAAAAAUUACCUAAAACAUGCAUGUCAUUACUUUCAUAGCUAUUGAACAUAUCAUUUCAAAUAUAAAAUACUAUAAAUUAAAAAUCAAACAAAUCUAUCAUGCAACAAACGAAAGGUAAUUACUAAUAAUUAGGUUUUAAUGGAAACUAAUAUAAAACAUAGAGGUUUUGAGUAAUUUUUGUGAUUUCUUUUAAUGUUCGAUUUAGAAUUGAAUAAUUUGUAUAAGGAAAAUAGACUGCAAAAUAAGUUUAUAUGCCGAACUUAAAAUAGUUUUAUAUUCGUAAUCAUAUAAUUAUCAAAUUUUUUUAAUAAAAUUUAUUUAAAAAUUGACCAAUUGCGUUUCAUGAGGAAACCAGAGAGCAUAAUGGACUUAUGUUGCGACUUGGGAUUGAAAGGCCAGAAGGUAGGACGAUAGGAAAAUUAGUUUUAUUUUUAAAGUAUGGUCAACUGAAGUGACUUGGAGGUGAUUGCCGUUAAUCAAUUAUCUUUAACUUAAGAAUUAUUACAAAUAAAUGGCAAAAAUAAUUUAAUAAAAAUUAGUGUAAAAGGUUACUUUUGACAGACAGGGUUGGAUUAAACUAAUUACUAGGAUUUAACUGAAUUAGAUUGGAUUGAAUUAAACUUGAUUGCAUUAUAUAGUCUUAUAUUUGCUACAGUACCGGAUUAGACUAUGUUAAAUUAUAUUUAAAUAAUAUUAAAUAGCAUUUAAAUUGAUAUUUGAAUAUAAAUAUCAAUUAUUUAUGAAAUUUUAUAAUCGCAAUUAAAAUAAAUUUAAAAAACAAUUAAUAAGAAAAUUAAAAAUAUUGUAAAUAAGUUAUUGGAUCGUCAUAAUAUGAUAAACAAACAAAAUUAAAUAAAACAAAUUAAAUAUUUUAUUAAUUUUUAUAAAAUAUUUAUAAAAUAUUUUAUAAAAUCAAUUAAUUCAUGGUAUUAUUAAUUUUCAUGAUUAUUUUAAUAUUAUAUUAGUGAUUAUCAAAUCUAAUACAGUCAAAUAAUGCAAUAAAUUAUUAAAUGGUUAAUUUUAUUGAAAAAUUAUUAAAUUACAAGUAAUGAAAAUUUAAUCUCAAGAGUUAGUAGAAGUAAAAGUACCAAUUUAAUUAGAUCAUAGAUAAUACAUAAAAAAAUAAAUUUUAAGUAAAUCAUAAUAAAAAAUAAUUAUUCAAUCAAUUAAUAUUAGGUGUAAAUUAAAAAAAUGACAUAAAUAAAAGUGUCAUAAAUUGACAACUUUUUUCUUUAAUCUUAUCGCAGCUAAACCCAUGUGUAAAUUAGGAUUAUUAAUCUCAUAAUUUUAAGAUUAAACUCAAAUUUAGUCCCCCUUAAUCCAAUUAAACUAAACUUGCCAAAUAUGGGAUAAAUAUUUAAUUCCAAAAUUAGUCCAAUCCCAUGCUUAGGGCCAGUCUAGGAAUGUUGUAGCUUUUAAAAUAAUUGUUAUUAGCUGUGCUGUAGAAAUAAUCAACUGUAAAGAGAAUCAGAUAAGUGUUUGAUAAAUUUUGUUUUCAGAAGUACGUUGAGUUUUGAAAUCAGUUAUGAGCAUUUGGUAAAUUUUACUGUUAAAUUACUGAGAGAAAAUAAAUGACUAAAAUGCACAUUAUGUAGGAUAAAAUUUACUUAUACUAAAAAUAUGUACGUAUAAUAUUUUUAAUUGUGUACUAUAAUAAUUUUUACUAAAAAUAAAAUUUAUAAUAUAUUGAUUUUAUUUUUUAUUUCUUUAUCUGAAAACAAUUGAUAAUUAAAUUUAUAAUAUAGUGAAACAAAUUUAAUAAUAAUUCGACCAACAAAUUUAUAUUGAUGAAUUAUAAUAAAAAUUUAUUAAAACAUUGAUUUUGUUUCCAAUUUGAAUAAGGAUAAUUUAGGGUUUAUAUAAUAAUUUUAAGGAUAUUUAUAGAAUUGUAUUAAAAGAUAAAAUUGAUUUUCAAAAUCAGAAUCUAAAAAUUACUCCUUCUCUACUUUUCAAAAUCAAUUGUGUGAGGAGUUAAUUUUGAAAAAAAAAUGAUUUUAAUUUUUUUCACCAAAUACUAAAAUUAACUUUAAAAUUUUUUAAAUUACUUUUAAGCCUCUAAAAAACAAUCCCAAAUGGGCGCUUAAUCCAAGCAUCCAAAAUCGGUCUAAAAAGUUGCACUAAAAACAAGCUCGUAUAGCCAUUGGAAUUAGGUAAAACAAAAAUAAAAUUAAGAGCCUAUGAAACAAUAAUAUCUCAUACCUUCUUCGUUAUAUAUCCUCAAUCACUGCUGAAAGCUCCAGUUAGAGAGUUGCACAAGUUCGGAGAAAACUAAAAGCUGCAUCUAGCAAUAUAAAUAAACAUGAGAUCAAAACAACAUAGGAUAUAUCUAGCUAAUUAACAUCAUAUAUAACUCCUUGUUCUCAGUCAAAUCUUUCAUUCUUAGGAGAUAAAAAAAAAAUUGAAAUAAUAACUGUAAGUGAAAUAGGAUGCAAAAGUAACAUACCAAAACGAGAGCAGCUAGCUCACAUAUCUGGUGACUUCCAAGAGCAUGAAAAAUGAUUGAGGUUUAAUAGCAAGGUCCGAGUCAUGUUUCAUAAGUUGCUAUUGACUUAGUGGCUUCGCUUUUCUUUGUUUUUUUUUUUUUGUUUAUAUAUAUCUUACCCCCUUUACCAAACACCAUUUUAGUAUUUUCUUUAGCAGUCCCUGUAAUUAUCUGUAAAUAAUAAAAACUAUAAGUUUUAAAAAUUUUAUACUAUAAGCCCCAAUUAAAAUAUAAUAAUUUCAAAAUUCUAAAAAGUUUAUUUGGCAUUUUCUUCAACAAUCCCUAUUGUUUUCUAUAAAUAAUAAAAACUAUAAGUUUUAAUACUUUUAUGUAAUAAACCCAAUUAAAAUAUAAUAAUUUUAAAAUUCUAAAAACUUUAUUCUCUCUAUCUCCUUCUCAAUCAAUUUUAAAUUUAAGUUUCAUUCUUUAUAAUUUUAAAUUUAAGUAAUAGAAUAAAUAUUAUAUAAUUUAUUUUUUUAUAUCAAACAAAUAAUAGAUCGGCUUCAUACGUGGGAUAAAGUAUAAGUAAUUUUACAUAAUACAAAAUAGUAUUAUUAAAAUAUAAUUGGAUUUUUUAGUAAAUGGAAGUGGAGAGUAUUUUACCAAGUUAAAAUAAUCCAUCCAUAUUUUUAAUAUAUAAAUAUGUUGUUUACCAAAUUACUUUUGAUAAUAAAAUAUUAAACGGAUCAAUGUGUCAAAAUUUUGACAUUUAAGUUUUUCUUAUUCUUUUAGUAAAAAUAAAGGACCACAUCGUUAAUAAUCAAAUGAUUACAUCGAAGCCUUUACAACUCUUGGGUUGGAAUAGUCUUUACAACUCUUGGUUUGGAUCCAACGGUUGGAUCACAAAAAGACAAAAAUAUAGGUAUAAAAAAACAAUUGCAUUGUAGCUGAACCCAUAUUCUAUAUUAGUGUGAAUUGAAAGGUGGAAAGUGAAAUGGUGCACUUGCCUUCUCACCUAUGAUGAGGGGGUAAUUUUUAGAAACCUUUCGUGAGGUUUAAGGUCACUCGGAUAGACUAUAUUUCGGUACUACCAAAUACCUCCCUGCCCAUUUGUACUCCGUUUAGCAUCUUUUGGUUGGUUGAGGGUAAUUUGGUAAAACUCGUUUAAAAAUAAAAAAUUUCAAAGAAAUUCUAAAAGAAGCUUUGUAUCUGGGGUAUCUCUGGAGUUGUCGUGGCAAUGAGUUUGAAUCUAAAGAUUUUGAUUCUCUUAUUUUAUUUAUUUCCCCUAGGAAUGAAUUUAAGCCUUAUUUUUAUCAGACUCAUUCUUUUUAAAUAAAGGUAGAUAUCUCCCCACAUAUUUGAGGUAUAUUUUUAAAAUUAAUGUUCAAUAUAUCUGUGGAUUGUAUUAUAUUUAUGUCUAAAAUCUCAACAGAUUUCACAAUAUAUAUAUAUAUAUAUAGUAACGUAAUUGAUGAGGGAUCUGUUAAGUUAUCAAAUUAAGCAGGAUUAGCAAAACGAUAAAAAAAAAAAACACAUUAUGAUUGGAAAUAUGGAACUGGAAUUGUGAUUAUAAUAGGAACUUUAAUUGAAAUUGUAAUUGUAAUUGCAACUGGAAUUGUAAUUGCGAUCGGAUAUGUAAUUAUCAAUGUAAUAGAAGUUGUUCUUGUAAUUGUUACGGCUAUUGCAAUUGUUCUUGUAUAAUUGCAACUGUGUUUUUAAUUUUAAUAACAAUUAAUAAUACAAUUAUAAUUGUGAUCAUAAUUGCCAUUGUAAUUACAAUUGUAUCUUUAAAAAAAUUGUAAAUACAGUUGCUAUUCUAUUUAUUAUUACAAUUACAAUUUUAUUAUCGUUAUUCUUAUUGUAAUUGUUGUUAAAUAUUAUUAAAAUAAAGUACAAUUGUUAUUGUAAUUAUUAUUGUAAUUGGGAUUAAAAUUGUAAUUGUAACAAAGUAAUUGGAAUUACAAUUGAAAUUAAAGUUGUAAUAGUUGUUUAAAUUAAAUUUGGAAUUAAUAAUAAAAAAAUGAAAUUGAAAUUGUUGAUGUAGUUAUUGUAAUUGCAAUUGUAAUUUUAAUUGUAAAAAGUGCAACUGAAAUUAUCAAUCGUAAAUAUAAUUAAAAUUGUAAUUAGAAUUGUUCAACAAACAAUUACCGAAACAUUUGUCCAAGUUAUUUUUUAUUUUUGAAAAAGAAAGAGAAGCAACAGUAACCAAUUUUUUAGAGUAGUAUUAAUGUUGCAUUUAAUUGUUAAUAAUCUGAAUGGGUUGGAAUGUGAAUGAGUUAGAAUGAGAAUGAGCUGGAAUAGAAACGGGGAAUGGAAAUCGGAAUAAGUUGUUUACUUUAGUUGUAGGAAUCAGAAUCGGAAUGGGCUGGAAUUCUAUUGAUGUGUUUAUUUUAUCUGGGAGUAAGAAUCAGAAUAAGUUAAAUUAUUUCAAGUUACCAAAAUGUUGUUAGUUAAUAAUAAUAUAACUAUUAUUAUUAUCAUCGUUGUCGUCGUCGUUAUCAUCAUUAUCAUUAUUAUUAUUUGUGAUUUUUAUUAUUAUAAAAAUGAUUGUUAAUAAUAAUAUUAUUAAAAAUAAUAUCAUUAAUAAUUUUUUAAAAUACCUUUUGUUAAUUAUUGUCAUUUGAUGGUGAUGGUGGUGGUGGUGAUGACGACGACGAUGAUAAAUAAUAAUAAAUAAAUAAACUAAUAAUAGUAAUAAUUAAUAUAUUAAUAACAAUAACGACAACAACAAAUAUAAAUAAUAAAAUAACAACAACAACAACAAUAAUAAUAACAACAAUAACUAAAUUCCAUAAUAAUAAUAAUAAAAUUUCAGUUUUUUUUAAUUUAUAUUUUUUAAUUUCCAAAAAGGAUAUUUUGGGUAUAUUUAAAAUACAGUAGGGAUAAUUUUGUUAUUCUAGGAAAUGAGAUUUCCAUUCCCAACUCCUCUUAAGGAAUCGCAACUCUAGCAAUCAAUCUAAAAUUUAUGAGGGGACAUGAAUAUGAUUAUUUGUUCAAACAAUAUUAUUUUAAUUUAAAAAAACAAAAGAAAUGGGCCUCACAUUAUUAUUUAUUCAAACAAUAUUAUUUUAACACAAAUGACCAAAAUAAAUUUUAUAGUCAAUAAAACUGCUGUACGGCCAAGGCGGAUGUACGGUACAGCAGCUAAGUUAUCAACAUANNNNNNNNNNNNNNNNNNNNNNNNNNNUAUAUAUAUAUAUAUAUAUAUAUUAUAACAUAAAUAUGAAGACAACAUUUGUUGUACAGCAUUAGAACAAUAUUUGUCGUAAGUCUUUCUUUUGCAUUUAAAAUUUCGUAAUAAUUUAAAUAAGACAAAAGAAGUGGGUCUCACAUUAAUUUAUUGUAUAAUUUUUUCAAACAAUAUUAUUUUAAUACAAACGCCCAAAAUAAACUUCAUAUUCACUAAAAAUUAAUCAUAUUUAUUAUAACAAAAAUAUGAAAACAACAUUUGAAAAAAAUACAAAGGCAAUGUACAACACUACAACGAUCUUUGCUGUAGGUCCCUUCUUUUGCAUUUAAAAUUUCGUAAUAACUUAAAUAAGACAAAAGCAGUGGGUUUCACAUACAAUUUAUUAUAUAAUAUUUUCAAACAAUAUUAUUUUAAUACAAAUGACGAAAUACAAAAACACCUUUAAAUUUGUUAUAGAGCACUCGAUCAAUCUUUGUCGUAGGAUUUAAAAUUUCAUAAUAAUUUAUAUAAGACAAAAGAAAUGGACCUUACACAUAAUUUAUUGUAUAAUUUUUUCAAACAAUAUUAUUUUAAAAUUUCAUAAUAAUUUAAAUGAGACAAAAGAAAUGGGUCUCACAUAUAAUUUAAAUGAGACAAUAUUAUUUUAAUAUAUAUGUGUAUAUAUAUAUGUAUGUAUACAUAUUAUAACAUAAAUAUGAAAAUAACAUUUGAAAAAAAUACAAAGACACCUUUAAAUUUGUUGUAGAGCACUCGAUCAAUCUUUGUCGUAGGUCCCUUCUUCUACAUUUAAAAUUUCAUAAUAAUUUAUAUAAGACAAAAGAAAUGGACCUGACACAUAAUUUAUUGUAUAAUUUUUUUUCAAACAAUAUUAUUUUAAAUGAGACAAAAGAAAUGGGUCUCACAUAUAAUUUAUUGUAAAUUUUGUUUUCAAACAAUAUUAUUUUAAUACAGACGACCAAGACAAAUUUCAUAUUCACUAAAAAUUAAUCAUAUUUACAUUAUAACAUAAGCCAAUUCCUAAGUUACGUUUUGUGUAACUUACGGCCUGGCAAAUCUUGAGUGUCAAAUGUGCUUGUAUCCAAUCCAACGGACGACAUCAAAUUUAUCAUAAAGUAGUAACGAAUGAUAACCGGACUGAACUGGUUGUUUCAAUUGAUGGGCUACCUGUCCUUGCCUUUCUCUUAAGAAUCUAAGCAGCGAAGAACUUGAAUUGGAAAUUGGUGAGGAAGGACUGUUCAUCAGAGAUGAGUCUAGAGGCGGCGACCUCCCAAGCGGCGUCGGUCCGUUGAAGCUGAACGAGCCACUAAUUCGCUGCCACACCGGUGCAUAAUUAGUUCUUGUGAUUCAAGACAAGAACAACUUGCUCCACCUGAAUUUGCAAGUCCAUCUGCAUAAAAUGACAAAUUCGGUGGUGGAUUUUGAGGAGGAUGGUCUUGGAGGAGAUGAAACUCCUCUUGCUUAACAUUUGGGCCUUCCUAAUUUUUGUUUCUUCAGACAAAUGCAAACAUUUGUGAUUCAUUUCACUGAGAUCCACUAGAAAGUCCUCAAAUCUCUAAUACUCGCUUCUUUAGGAAGAUCUUUCACUUAACCAAUCACAAAAAAGAUGUCUUUACUUAAAAGUUCAGGAAAAGGCACAAAGGAACAUUAAACAUAACCGACCACAGAAAAAAUCCAAUUUUUAGUUAAAUGGUUAAAAUUCAAUAAAGUUAAGAAAGCAUGUUUCACUCUUUCAGGGAUUGCAUCCCUUGUCAAUCAAUCUUUUCUUCGUCCAUGGUUCAACCUGAAUAUGGCAUUCAACACGUAAAAGCUUCCCUGAAGUUUUGGCAUCAAAUGGAUCAUCUGCUGAACCCACAAGUUGGAGAUUAUCGGAGACAAAAAUAAGCACGCUGCCAGCGGGACUACAGAGCUGGCAAUUGAUGGUGGUGAUGGAGUGUUGGCACUGCAGGAAGGGAUGGCUAGUGAACUCAGCAACGAUAUUUUGCGAGUCUACGCCUCCCUCUCUUUUUUAAUUUCGCAUUUACUGUUUCCGCUGGAGACUCACGUGACCGCGAGAGAGAGAGAGAGAGAGAGAGGAGUCUUCUUAAUUUAAUGUUUAGAAUUUAAUCGUGAAACGACCUCGUUUUUAUUUAUCGCCACGGACUAUAGAAGGUAAUCUUUUACGCUACGUUUGGAAGAUAGAAUUGGAUUGAAUUAGCUUUUAAGAUUAAAUUGGAUUAAAUUAGAGUAGAUUAUAUAAUAUUAUCUUUUGUUCGGUACAAUAUUGGACAAGACUAUGCUAAUUUAAUUUAAUAAAACUAAAUAACUAUUUAAAUAAUAUAAUAUUUUUAAAUUAUAUUGAUAAUUGUUUACUUUAUUAUUUAAUAUCCAAUACUAGUUUAAGUAAAUUAAUGAAUAAAAUUUUGAUAUUCUAUAUAAAAUAAAAUUACAUGCUGAAAAAAUUAUGAAAUUAACUUCUAUGUUUAAUUUUUUUCUAAAUAUUAGGUUAAAUGAAAAAUAAAAUAGUGAAAAAAGGACACAUUCUUCAUUUAAUUUUAUCCCACCUAAAUCCAUAUAAAUAUGAGGACUAAUAAUUCCAAUUUUUUUAACUAAAUUUUAGUCUAUCCUAUUAGUUCAUGACACCUAAACAUACCUUAGGAUUAAACUAUUGGGUCCGGCUACGAUGCAACGGUGAUACGGUAUCACCGUUGCAUUCAGCCGUUGGAUCCACUUGGAUGAAUGGAUCCAGUAGGAUCCAACGGCUGGAUGCAAUGGUGGUACUGUACCACCGUUGCACCAUAGUUUUCUCCUAAACUAUUUUAUUAAUCUUAAAAUAUAAUCCAAUCGCACAAUUUAUAUUAGGGAUGGCAAUGGGGUGGGGUGGGGGUGGGGAGGCCUACCCCAUUCCCCACCCCGUUAGAAAUUUUUACCUCCAUUCCCCACCCCAUUCCCCAAUAAAUUUAGUGGGGUGGGGAUGGAGAAUCCCCAUGUGGGGAAUGAUUUCCCGAUCCCCACCCCAUUCCCCAUUUAUCUAUUUUAUAAUAUGUAUAAAUAUAUUAUUUUAGUAAGUUAAAAAUUAGAGACUUAAAAUAAAAUCAUCAUCAUAUUAUAAAGUAUUUAAAUUCUUUUUAAAAAAUAUCUAAAAGUUUGAAACAAUAUCUUAAAAUGAUAUUAAAAGUGAAAAAUAUUUAAAGAGCGAUUGGGGUGGGGGUGAGGUGUGGAGUACAAAACCAAAUCCCACCCCAUUAAGAAUUUGGGGAUUAUUUUCCCCAUACUUCCCACCCAAUUCCCCAAAAAUUAUUCAAAAUUUUUCCUAUUUGGGGUGGGGCUCCAUGGGACCCCAAACCCGUGGAGAAUUUUGCCAUCCCUUUAUUUAUCCAACCUUCCAAACAUAACCUUAAUUGACUCUUUUACCAUCGAUCUCCAACCGUUUCAACCAAUUACAAUUUCCUUAAUGUUACAUACAUGUGGCAUAUUUUUACUGGUUGACUAAUUAAAUCACGGGCUGUAACAUACAGUAAAACGUAACUUAGGGUGACCCCAUAACAUAAAUAUGAAAACGACAUUUGAAAAGAAAAAUACAAAGGCACCUUUUUAUUUGAUGUACAUUACUAGAACAAUUUUUGACAAAGAUGUUACAACCUAAAGAAUGAAAAGGUCUAAAGUUUUAGGGUGAACAUGGACCAAUUGAUGACACGACAUGUUUUACAGCCCAAUGUCGUUAAUUAAUAUAUAUAAUUGAGUAAUUUCAUCUCUAUAUUAAGCACGCACCGCCUCAAAUUGCAUGCAAAUACAAAAACAAACUUCUGAAUUUUUUUUUGAAUUUUUAGGUUAACAAUUGAUUUUUUAUUUAAAUUUUUUUUGUUUUUAUUUAACAAUUAAUUUUAAUCAAAUCUUAAACUGUCGUAAUCAAUUAAGAUUUUUCAUUAUGACUCCUUAACUAGAUUUUGGAUCUGUAAUAAAUAAAAAAUUGGUAACAUUUGUUUCUUUAAGAUAUAAAAUAACCGUAACAUUGGUUUUUACAUUUUGAAUUUUUCUUGAAUUACUAUUUAAAAAAAUGAUGUUAAAUAAAUCUCACAAAAUAUACAAAGCCAUCUAACAUCCAAAUAUUGAUUACAUUUAUUUUGUAUUGUUGGAAUGACGCCAAAGCAAUUGAAAAGAUAUCAAAAAUAAAUAAUAAUGAUGAAGAUUGGCUACGGGAUUUCACUGAAGCUAAGUUGUGACUUGUGACCAUCUAAAUGUCCGUAACAACUUAUGAUUAUUCUCGCAGCACAAAUCCAAUAGCAUGCAACAAAAUCCACUCUCUAACACUUGCCUCUGAAGAAAAUAAAACAGAGUAAAAAGAGCAACCAUGCCUGUGAAUCUCUUUACUUUUCUCCUUAUAAUUUGGGUAAACUCUAUCAAAUGAAAAUGCAGCAUGACCACAUUGGUCACUGCCACUACCAUUUACUUCUUCAACUGUGCCACUUGCUUCAACAAAUCUUUAACUGAAAGAUGGAUUAUAUAAUUCAAGAUAAAAAAAUACACCUGAGCUGCAAAGGCUACCAUCCACUAGCCUAUCAACGACUAUGCUUUAUAUUUUUCUAGUUUUUGAAUCAAAAUUCUGCAAGAUUUAGUUUGGAAAACUUCGACACAAUAACCAAAAACUCAGUCCUUUUGUGCAUUAUAUCCACCGAAUGAUUCCUUAACAAAACAUCGGUAGCCUGUGGCUUUUCUGACACUGUCCUGACCCAAAGCCCCGCUCUUUUCAACUCAUCUGUCAAACCAUUACCCACUUUUGGAGUCAAAAACUGCCCUUGCAGGCCUUUAAUACUUCUCCAUCUUCAUUGAAUACGUGCCAACCAAAUGCACUCUCUUCCCUCUGGCUGAUUCUGUUUGAUUCAACCUCUUUUCUUGUUUACACUCAUGAAUUUGCCGAAUCUAAAUAACAAGUUUGUCAUCAUCAUAAAAUCCUUCCACAAUCACCGCAUACAUUCUGCUGAGCAGGACUCAUUACACCCUUGUUUUAAACAAUUCUUUCUCCAAUUGGUUAAACAAUUUUUUCUCUUCUCUUUGCUCCCUUAUACAACUUGAGGCAUAUAAUUAAAUGCGUAGCAAUUAGCAUAUGCCAUGAUGUAUUUAACAACCCCAAAUGAAGAUACUGAUUUUUUUUCGGCUUAAUGGCUGCUUCAAAUGGGGGAACUGAAUUUGGGGGUUUGUUGUCUAAAUCCCAAAAAAUUCCACAUUAUGUUGGACAGUUUUUGGUUCUACAGAUGAUGAUCGGUUUUCCGAACGAGGGUUCAAAAGGAAACAUCUAAACAAUGAGACAAAUGGGUUCUGGAUUUCUAAUCCUGUAAACGUUGUUCUGUCGCAUAAGUUAUGAAAUUUCUGAAGCAUCACUAUUCCUGUCGUUCCUGGGAGAAAAAAAGUCGAAGAACUGCUCGUGGAACAAAAUUAAAAAAUUUAAACUAUGUUGAGAGACUUUCCCUUCAACUAACAGUUAAAAGGAAAAAAAAAGUAUUCGAUAAGCAUUUUCAAAGGAAAAUGAUCAUCCCUUUGUUGUACUUAGGCAGGAAAAAUAAAUAUAUCAACCCCAUUAAACCCUCACAUCUGCUAACUAAUAAUGCAUGGACUAACUUUAAAGUAAGGAUAUAAAACUUACAAGAACAAGAAAACUACUGUUUAUUAAUUUCAAAUUUUACACAAAAUUACGAAUAAUUCUAUAAGCUGCACCAAAACAUGUUCUCUAAAAGAGAUUCAGUAUCCCGCAUUUUUGGAAGCAAAAAAAUAUUUCUGGAUAGUAUAAGCUAAUACUAGAAUAACCAUUCGUUAAUGAUGUGAGUUUGGGCAGCACCAUGAAGCGGUGAGCCUCGUUUGGUGAAAACGAAAAAUAAUUAAAAUAAAGCACUAUGAAUUCUGAUCAAAUUAUUAACAUUAGCUAAAUACACAGCAAGAAACCAGAAUAAAUUUGUUAUCUAAACCAAAUACUAAAAAAAAAAAAAAAAAAAAAAGGCAGUUAAAUCCCUAUCAUUUUCAGUUAGAAACAAACUAAAGCACAAAUUAAGAACAAAGGUUGAAGCAAAGCAUGAUUGUACCUUGAGGUACUUGAGCUUAGUGUUCCCAUAAACGAGACCGAGCGAAAUGCCGAAACCAGAGCAACCUAUUAUUAUUACUCAAAAACCCAGAUCACAAAAUAAAUGAUCUUUCAAUAACAAUUCAUAAAAAUUCCGUCCCAUCAUAUAUAGAACGAAACAAAACAAUGAAAAUAUUGAUUAGAAAGGAAAUUACAAAAAUGGACAAAAAGCAGAUAAAAAUAUGAUGCUUUGCUAUGCUUUCCUUUCUUGUGGGUGGCAGAUAAAGAAACAAGAAAGAGCCAGCAAAUUGAAAAAUCGACAAAUAUAUUCAUUCGAUUCCGACUCGUAUGGCUCUUUUUCUUUGAUGAAUGAAAUAUUAUUUCACUCUCUAAUUCGUAACAAAAUUACAAGUUUCGACUUCUGUUUGUAUGUUAUUUCAUACGGGUUCCCAUUCUAGCAUUAAUAACAAAUGGGCCCGACGUGUGGCUAAGCCCGGGCGUGCUGUUGAUGGCCAGGCCUGGGCUUUUACGAGCCCAGGAAGUGUAAUCGUAAUUUUAUUGUGCUGAAAAUUAUAUAAACGUUAAAUACGAAUUUAAUUAAACUAACACAUCUUUACAACUCAUGCAACCUUACUAUUUUCUAAAGAUAUAAUUAAUUUUACUAAUAAAAUCAAAAUAAUUUUUAAACAACGAAGAAAGAAAUUAUAAUAACAAUAAAUUAAUUAUGAAAAAAUAGGUUUACAAUCAAAUACUUUUUCUCAAGACUACAUAAGUGUACUUAAAAAAGAGGCGAGAUUUGUUCUUGCCUAUUAGUUAAUAUAUACAUAUUAAUUCAUCAUUGGCGCCCUUUGACACGAAGCCAUUCAUUAGUGUAGAAGACGAAGGAGAAGAAAAUAUUAAUGUAGAAAACACACAAGUUUAUUCAUAAUGCAGUCCCUCCCAACUCCCAACAUGGGCACAAGCACUGAAGCAAACACACUGACACAACAUAUAUAUUACAGAGAAGAAAAGAAAUUAGUAGCCAGCUAGCAGCACAUUCAACAUACAUAUAUACAGAACUUGAACAUAAUUGACAACAUCUGGAGGGAGAGGGAUAUAUUUCGAUGCUGCAGCCUGCAAUUCAUAGCAUAUCAUCGAUCAUUUAAUUGCUUAUCAAAUGGUGUCCUUGAAUGUUUUGAUCAAGAAAAUGGUGAUGAUGAUCAUUCUGAUGCUGAUCAUUUAAUUUAUAACAUGACGAUAGAGAAUAAAGUGGCUGUCCAAAUUCACACAUUCACCAAACUUUUACCAUGAAAUUAUAUGUUGCAUAUGGCAGCUACCAGGCACAUAAAUCAUCGCCAACCAAAAGCCCACGUUUUGCAUGCAACCACUUGUCGACAACCAUUCACCAGCCACAAAUUACCCAAGUAAGUACUCGUAUCGUCAACACUUACCCUUCACUUCAUCUACGCAAACAAGAAUUCAAAUCGCUUAUUAGCUAGUGCUCGAGCGAAAGCCAAAAUAAAUUAAAUAUCUGUGUGUGUGUGUGUGUGUGUUAAAGAGAAACGGUGGCAAAGUCAUUAUACAAUAAAGCAAACCAAAAUAAAUUCUACACUCAUGUGGGUGUUUCGCUCGCAAAAUCUGGACAAGAAAAAAUAAUAUUGAUACAAUCUCCAAAUAAAGAGCAUUCUUCUUGGUAAAAUAGACAAAGCCUAUAAAUUUUGAUUAAUGGUGCCAAAUGAAAGAGUUGUAAUUUCAUGUACAUUUUGUUAACAUGAAUAAGGGUACAAAAUAGAUAACAAAGUGACAAAAACAAAGCUAAUCACAAUGAAUGAUAAGGUUUAGAGUAAACAAAAAGUUAUAAUCUUGAACAUAAGUGGCGCUCAAAGCCAUGAAUUUGAUAUCAUCCAUGAGGGGAGUUCAAACAACAGCAUGUAAGAAGCAACAAGUGUUGAGAAAAAAAAAAAAAAAUCAUUCUAACACAACAGAAUAAAUUGUAAAGAAAUCCCAGUUUGUAUAAAAGAAAGAAAACAAAAUUAAGGAAAACAUAAGCACAACAAAAUUUGACUGAUUAUUAAAAAUGAGAAAUGAGUUAUGAUGAGAAUUUUGGCUUUGUGGUGAAAUAAAUUGGGAAGUAUCCAAAGUUCGCAUGUAAAUAAUAUAAAUGAUAAGAAGACGAAGGGAACAAAAUGAUAAUAAGCAAGCCAAAUAUUAAAAUGCAGAUUCUACGCUUCCGCCACCCCCCCUGAUGGGUGUCGAAGCCAACAAAAAUAAAUUCCUACUCUAAAUAAAUUGUGUAUAGUGAUUGAGCAGGGUCGUGUCCACAGAGAUCGGUAAUUAUUUAAAUCCUUUUGAAACGUAAAACGUAAAAUGGGGGAAUUGUUGACAAUAAUAAAAAUCAAAUUAAAAAAAUAAAUUAAAUAUCUGUGUGUGUGUGUGUGUGUGUUAAAGAGAAACGGUGGCAAAGUCAUUAUACAAUAAAGCAAACCAAAAUAAAUUCUACACUCAUGUGGGUGUUUCGCUCGCAAAAUCUGGACAAGAAAAAAUAAUAUUGAUACAAUCUCCAAAUAAAGAGCAUUCUUCUUGGUAAAAUAGACAAAGCCUAUAAAUUUUGAUUAAUGGUGCCAAAUGAAAGAGUUGUAAUUUCAUGUACAUUUUGUUAACAUGAAUAAGGGUACAAAAUAGAUAACAAAGUGACAAAAACAAAGCUAAUCACAAUGAAUGAUAAGGUUUAGAGUAAACAAAAAGUUAUAAUCUUGAACAUAAGUGGCGCUCAAAGCCAUGAAUUUGAUAUCAUCCAUGAGGGGAGUUCAAACAACAGCAUGUAAGAAGCAACAAGUGUUGAGAAAAAAAAAAAAAAAUCAUUCUAACACAACAGAAUAAAUUGUAAAGAAAUCCCAGUUUGUAUAAAAGAAAGAAAACAAAAUUAAGGAAAACAUAAGCACAACAAAAUUUGACUGAUUAUUAAAAAUGAGAAAUGAGUUAUGAUGAGAAUUUUGGCUUUGUGGUGAAAUAAAUUGGGAAGUAUCCAAAGUUCGCAUGUAAAUAAUAUAAAUGAUAAGAAGACGAAGGGAACAAAAUGAUAAUAAGCAAGCCAAAUAUUAAAAUGCAGAUUCUACGCUUCCGCCACCCCCCCUGAUGGGUGUCGAAGCCAACAAAAAUAAAUUCCUACUCUAAAUAAAUUGUGUAUAGUGAUUGAGCAGGGUCGUGUCCACAGAGAUCGGUAAUUAUUUAAAUCCUUUUGAAACGUAAAACGUAAAAUGGGGGAAUUGUUGACAAUAAUAAAAAUCAAAUUAAAAUAACAAGAAUGCAAAUUAAAGUUGUAAUUCAAAUUGGAGAAAGCUCUGGUUGAAGGAAUUAACUCAGCUUGAUUCGACUACUGAUCAUUGAUUCAAAUAUAAAUUAUUAUUACUUAUGAAUAGACCGGUUAUAGCUACUGAGACCCUCUAAUAGCCAAUCUCUCCUUAACUAGUCGAUAACCAAGGUACGACCGUUGGAUAUUCCCUAAUCAAUAGACAACCCUAGAUACGAUCAUAGAAUUUAAUCAAUUGACAGCCUGAAAAACCAGAGAGACCAAAAUCCUAAUCAACACAUAUGAUGAUUUAUUUAAAUUAGAUUGUUUAUUCUCACAACACAACUCUCUGCUAUGUCAUUUGUCACAAACAUUAAAUUCUUCAUACGAUGAAUCCUUUAAUUAAUAAUAAAUUAAGUUGAUAAUUAAAUAGUGGCCAAUUUUUUUUUUCUCCAAUCCAAAAUCCCCCCUUUUUCACAAUAGAUUCCUCCCUUAAAUACUCUCUCUCUCUUCUCUUUUAGAAUUCUCUGCUGUACCGUACAUCAAUAAAAUACUAAUAUCUGAAAUAUUAAAUUCGUAAUUACAAAAAUAACCAAAAAUACAAAACACGUUAAACUAAAAAAAACUGCAGGUCCGCAGUUGACAGCACGCGCCCACGCCUUAUCAACAAAGUUCUUCUGACGCUCAGAAAUUUCUCCAAGAGAACAAUCCUCCUUAAACAUCAUCUUUUAGCUCAAUUUUAUCAUCAAUCAAUAGAAUUGCACCUACAAAAGUAAAACACGAGUAAAACAUUAUUAUUAAAUGCAAAACAUCGAUAUUAAGGGAAGUAAAUAAUGCAAAACUAGUGCAUAAAUUGCACUCUAACACCCCCCAUACUUCAAGUUAGUGUCUCGGGAUGGCAAAUAUUUAAUUAUGGAUGGAUAAUAUCCAUUCAAAAAUAAAUCUAUAAUUAUUCAUAAUAGAUAUAUUCAUAUUCAUAUUCAGUAUUUAAUAUUGGACAUUGAUAUAGAUUUUAUCCAUAAAACUAUGGAGAUCCAUGGAUAUUUUAUUUUUAUUAUAUAAAAAUAAUAAUAUAAAAUAGUUAAAAUUCCAAUAUUAAAUUUGGUUAUUAAUGCCAAGGCGGAUGUACGGUACAGCAGUAAAAUAAUAAUUAUUAAUAGUAUUAAAUAAGUUAAAAAAUUAAAGGAUAAUUUUGAAAACUUUAGUUUUUAAUAUAAGAGGAAUUUAAAAUUUUCACUAGUUAAUAUAAUAUUUUUACAAUUGUUUGUUUAUUAUAUUUUUUAUUUUUAAUUUUAUAAAAUUAAAAUUUUUUAAACUUGUGUUGGGUUAAACGGAUAUUCAUUGGGUAAAAAUAAUUAUUCAUAUCCAUCUGAAUAUAAUUUUAAAAUAUCCAUUUCAAAAUCCAAAAUUUUUUGAAUAGAUAUUAUCCGAUCCAAUUAGAUGGAUAUUGUGAAUAUCUAUUAUGGAGCGGUCCAGUUGCCAUCCCUAGACUCUCGCUAAUCAUUUUAGAUGUAUCAAUUACAAAGGGAGGCCAUCUUUUUUUAUAGUAAGCGUACGCCUCUAAUGCUUUGCCAAGUGUCCAUUGAUAAUAUCACAAGGGAAAUUAAAUUGGUGUAUGUGUAUUACACCUCCUAAAGUCAUGUUAAGUUAGUUAGUGAGCUGAUAAAGUUUGUUGCACGUGUGAGUUGGUUAAGUAUGCUAGAAUUGCAAACGUGUAAAGCUGAGUCAGCAAGUUAGUUAAGGUUAUUAUGAAUGCUUAGAUUCAGCUCACGUGUAUUGUAUGUAAUACUUAGAUUCAGGUCAUGUAGAUUGUGUAUACAACUUUCUAAUAUUAUUUAGAUCUCAAUAUAAAUACUUGUAAUCAACAAAUACAAUAAUAAGAGUCAUCAUUCUUCAUUUUCUCUCAUAUUUUCUCUGCAUCCAAACACAAUAUUCUCAGUUCUUGACUUGGUAUCAGAUUUGCAGUUUAAUUGUCAUGGCUUCCUUAAGCACAAAUUUAAAACAAAUCAGUCUCCUUCAUCCUUUACCUUCACAAAUCCGAUCAAACUGGACAGAUCUAACUAUACGAUCUGGAAAUCUCAGAUCCUCUCUUCAGUGCGUGCCAAUGGACUUGAAGAUUUUCUUAAUGGAACUAAAAUUUGUCCAGAUCAGUUACUUACUCAAGAGAUUGAAAGUUAUGGUGUUGAAAAUGCUGUUGGUGAAAGCUCAGCUGAUAGAUCUCAAGAGAAUCCAGCCUUUGUUGCUUGGAAAAGGUAGGAUCAAUUGUUAUUAAGUUGGCUCAUGUCCUCCAUCAGUGUUGAGAUACUUAGUCUUGUGGUAAAUUCUGAUUCUUCUCAUAAACUUUGGACUAAUCUUGAAGAAAAAUUUUGGAUUAGAAACUAUGGCUAAGAAAGCACACUUAAAAAUGAUGUUAAGCAAUCCCAGAAAGGGAUCAAUGACAAUAACUGAGUAUUUUACCAAACUUAGAGCUGUGACUAAUAAACUUGCUCUAACUAGUAGCCCUGUUUCUACUCUAGACUUUAUUACUCAUCUAAUCUCUAGAUUAGGCCAGCCAUACUACCCUGUUGUUUUGUAUAUUGAAGCUAAUAUGAUGAAAAUAUUUGUCAAUGAAGCCUAUUCUAUGCUUUCAACUCAUGAAGCAAGAAUUAAAUUUAAUCAUCCGAGUGCAAAUAAAGAAGCAAAGUUGAAUUAUGCUGCUAACAUAGCUUAGGCUGGACCUAGUAAUAACAAUAAGAAGUCUAGUAAUCAAGCUAAUUACUAUCAGGGCAACCAAGGUAACUGGAAAAGAAAUGCUCAUUGGUGUGGUAACAAUAGAGGAAGAGGUGGCUUUGGCAGAGGUUUUUCAGGGCAAGGAAGGGGUAAUUAGAAUAAUGGUGGUCAUUGGAACAAUGGACCUUGGAGUAGUAGUCGAGCAUGUUAUAAUUGUUCUGAUAUAAACAUUAUGACAUGGUUGCUGGUGAACCUGUAAACAUAACCACAAAAGUAAGAAGGCAUAAUCUUUUUAUAAGAAACUCAAAAAUGUAUUAAUGAUGAAAAUUUUAAAACAGAUAAUGGACCAGCUGUUCAUUAAGAAAACAAAAAACUGAAUAUUUGUGCCAUAAAAAGGCACACCCAAUCUCACCCCUAUAAAAGGCUAGAAUCAGCUACAAAUCCCUAUCUCAAAACCCCAUCCUAGUUCAGAUGAAUGAAGAAAAAAGAUGAAUCUUGAAACUCCUUAGAAACUGAAGCCCAAAGUGAAGCAAGAAGAUGAACUCUAUCCCAAGCAAGCAAUAUGGCAUAUUUCUCCAUUAAUGGUUCAAAUAAAGUGAAUGGCUUUCUCUGAUGAAUGGGAAAUUGUCAAGAUCAAUAGUCAAACUCACGCAAAGUUAACGGACUUAAUUCUCAGAGGCUACUCAUUCUAAGUCUUAAAGAAAAAUUUUCUAAUUUCUAAAGAUUAUAUGGGGAAAAAUCAUUAUUUUCUAACAUGGAAAAUUUGAUACGGUGUUUAAUGUCUUAUCACAAUCAUAAUAUGAGUACUAACAAAAACAUCUUUAAUCGGCAUGGUGCGAGUAAAACACCAUCACUUCAUCUUUGAUGGAAAGAUGAUAAUAUAAGGAAAUGGUGAAAUGGUUUUGGUCCCUGACAGCUUGUAAUCAAAAGAAAACAAAAAACUACACUAUUUUAAUGAUUACCGAAGCUACAGAAGUAUCAAAAUCGGAAAGCAAACAAUUGCAAAACACAUCAAUGACUGAAGGUUAGGUUCUAAAACUUCCGUAUUUAAUUUUCAGAGCAUGUUAUGUAUUAUUCAGAAAUAUGCUUUCACUUCAGGCACUUGACCAAGACACAUUAAACAUAAAACGCGGCGUUUUCAUGGACUAGUACAUUCCAUGCUUCGAAAGUUUAUGUUUUAGACUGAUUGGUUUGAUACAUUAUUUGUUUAUUGCGUUUUUCUUGCUUUAAAUAUUAUGUUGGAUUGAUAAGUUUUGUACACAUUUAUAUUGCUCGCAGUAAAUAAUUUAUGACAUUUAAAAAACUAUCAGCCGUCUAUCAAAAGAUUUCUACUAUAAAUAUAUAUACACAAAAAACUUUUAAUUUGGUCAAUUUUUUCUCUUAUUUAUUUUUGUUCUAUUUCUCUUUUCCUUCCCUUUCAUUUUAUUGUUUUAUGGUACAAAAUAAAAAAAUAACCUUAAAAUUUAAGGGUAAAAUACUCAUUUUACUAAAAUUCCGUUUAAUAUUAUAAAACUGUCAAAUGUCAAUGGCAUAGUACACGAGUGAUACAAAUUAAAAACAAUAAAUUAAAAGUUUUUAUGCAUUUUCGUUUUAUUUUUUUUAUAGCCGAUACAAAUUAAAAACAAUAGGUUUAGACCGUUUAACAAAUCUUAAAUUAAAAAAACCCGUGGUGUAAUAACAAACUCACAUCAAACCCUGUCCACUGUCAUCCCUAAUUAUAUUUACCACUUCAUACUCACAGUGAUAAUUAUAUUACCGUUAUGAAUGAAGCAGAAGAGUUUCCCCAAACAAGCUAAAACACCGCACUUCAAUUUAAAGAAUUUUUAUAUCACAGUACCGGGACAAAAAGUUUAAUGCAACUUGUUCAAGCUGUCAAUCGGCAGAAAAGCAAGCGAAUCACACCCAAUAAACUCCCUGAUUUCCUCAACGCUCAUCCUGUUGGAAAUCAACUCCUCAGUACUUGGAGUGUCUACUCCGUAGUAACAAGAAGCUAUGAUCGGUGGGCUUGCAAUUCUCAUGUGAACCUCUUUAGCUCCAGCCUCCUUAAGCAACCUAACAAUUUUUGAUGAAGUUGUUUCUCACACUAUCGAAUCAUCCACAACCACAACUCUCUUUCCCACCAACCACAACCUUACAGGAGAGAGCUUAAGCUUGACACCAAAGUCCCUAAUUUUCUGGGAAGGCUCAAUGAAAGUUCUCCCAACAUAAUGUGACCUUAUCAACCCUUGUUGAAAUGGCACCCCGGCUUUCGCAGUGUACCCAAGUGCAGCCACCACUCCAGAAUCUGGUACUGCAAUCACAACAUCACACUCAACAGGAGCCUGGGUAGCAAGUACUUCCCCAAAAUGAUACCUCGACUCAUAAACAGACCUUCCAAAAACAACAGAAUUAGGCAAAGCAAAAUAAAUAUGCUCAAAGAUGCACUGCUUAGGUUCAGGGUGAGGCAUCAAACAAGGUGAUUGAACCCCAUCUUCAUCCACCAUCAAAACUUCACCGGGAUAUACCUCUCUCUCGUAUGUGGCCUCAAUCAAAUAGUGCACAAUCCUCAAAAAGAACGGCCUAGCUUUUGAUAUCGGAAUCAAAUGGAGAACAACCACAGUAUCAGAACUAGUAUUACAAAAUGGAUCCAUUAUCUUCAAGCUUAGCCCUCAAAGUAUUAUAAUUAACUAAUGUGCAACACCAACAGAACCAAACCUGUACCCAGCAACAAAAGGCUGCACAUUCUUAAGCAUAGAACUACCCGCAGUCGAAUAUCUAACAUGACCAAUGGCCAUAUCACCCGGCAAUUGAUCAAGUUUAGACUGAUUAAACACAUCAGAGACUAAACCAACACCAGUAAUAGACUGAAGAACUUUGUUAUUCACAGCAACUAUACCUGCAUCUUCUUGGCCGCGAUGCUGCAUCGCGUGUAGCGCCAAAUAGCACAAACGCGAGGCCUCUGGGUCACCAUAGAUGCCCACAACACCACACUCCUCACGGGGCUUAUCGUCGUCAUCAUCAUCAAAACUGCCAAAACCGUCAUCUGGGUAUUCUUUAUUUGUGGUGAAAAACUCAGAGAUGGGGUUUUUUGAUAGAACAGUGAAGUUUUUUUUUGUGGGUUAAAGAUUGUUGUUUCCGAGGAAAAAAAGGGUUUUUUUGCAGGGUUUUGGAGAAAAGAAAAAGAUGGGUUUUUUUGCGACGGCUUAGGGUUAACAGAUGGAGAUGGGUUUGAGAGAGGGCAGAUAUUGGCGGUGCCUGUGGUUGUGGCUGCCAUUAAUGGCUGAAUUUAUUUUAUUUUAUUUGUUUUGGGUUGCCUUGCUCAAAGAAAAAACAGAGGAGGUGUGUGGAGGGAGACAGUGGCGAAGGGUACUUUAAGUAGGGGGGAACUUGUUCUAGGUUUUUUUCUGGAAUUGUGAGGGAAUCUGAUCCUGUGUUUGUGCAUAUGAUUCAAUUACUUAUAGGUUUAUUGUUGUGUCACCACAAAUUCUAAUUGGGAAGCUUCAGCUGUCAAAUUUUUUCCAAGGGUUUAUUAGGUAGAACUUUCAUGUCGUCGAAUUUAUUUAGAGAUUCUAAAAGUAGUUUCCAAAUAAAGAGAUGGACCAAAAUGAACAAUGUGAAACAGAUACUUUAGAAUUUUUUUCCUAUUCCGAAAGCAAUAGGAAUGUUCCAAUGCAUUGCUCCUACCAGAUUUGGAAUUAAACUUAGUUUGUGUUUUCCUAUUCCGAAAGCAAAACUUAUACUUACUGUAUAAGUGAUAUUCUAAUAAGUAGAAAUUAAGAACCAUAACAAAUUUGAUGAUUCUAAUUUGCUAGAAAUAUUGUAAUCCAAAACUAAGAAAGUUAAAACCAAUUAUUAGAAGAAAAAAGCAAGACGGAAGCUCCCAGAAUAUUGUUAUGUGUUGUGUGUUUUCAGUGUGUAUUUCUCAAUCAAUAAUGAAAAGUAAGUACACAUGUUACAAAAAUUUAAUAAAAAAGAUUGGAGGUGACAAAACCUUCAAUCUUCUAAUUAACUUUCUCUGCAUUGGAAUUUCCUUAGUUUGGUAGAGAUUGCUUAAUUGGUGUAUCUAUUAUAAACACCGUAAGUCAAAGUUAAUGUUUUAAUUGUUAAGAAAAGUUAGAAGAAGAAAUUUUUGCAUAAGAGAAUUGGGUUUAAAUUGAGAAUUCUUUAGGAGGAAAUGAGUCUAAAUUCUAACACGAUAAUUUAGCACUAUAUAUAUAUCAUUAAUUGGGUGAAAAAUUAGGGUACCCGUAUGCCUAUGUUGUAACAGUUGUAAGGUACCACUAAUUUUUGUCUUUUGUGAUGUCAAAUUUCAUUUAAUCUCUUUUUUUUAUUUAUAGUUUAUUUAUAACGUUACGUGUUUUGGCAUGUGACUUUUAAAAUAUAAUUUUAUUUUAUUUAAAAUUAUUUAUUUUUUUAUAAUUUAUUUAUAAGUUUAUGUGGUUUGGCUGAUGAUCUAUUCAAAUGUAAUUUUAUUUCAUUUAAUAUUAUUUAACUUCUAAAAGAACAAAUAUAACAAUAAGCCUUUAACUAGAUAAUAUUAACUAAUAUUUUUAAUAAAAUAAAAAUAUUAAAAAUAUAUUCUUUUAAAUAAAAUAAAUAAUAUUAAAAAAUAAUAUUUAUUUUUUAGGACUCACAAUUGCUUAUUCUAUUUUAUUUAAUAUUAUUUAAUUUUGAAAAAUAAAUAUAAUAAUAAGCUAUGACUAAAUAAUAUUAAAUAAAAUAAAAUAAAUAUUAUUAAAAAUAAUAUUGAUUUUUUGAGACUCAUUACUGAUUAUUUCAUUUUAUUUAAAAUUAUUUAGUUUCAUGAAAGAAUAAAUAUAAUAAUAAGUCUAUGACUAUAUAACGUUAAAUAAAAUCAUAUAAAUAAUAUUAAAAAAUAUUCUGCUGUACGGCCAAGGCGGAUGUACGGUACAGCAGUUUUUUUUUCCUGCAAUCGCCGAAUAUAAAAUAUAUAAUAUUAAAAUAAAAUUUAUUUUUUAAGACUCACUACUAAUUAAACAACAUAAAAUUUUAAACAAUUUGGACUUAUGUGAUAAAAGUUUUAAUUCUUUAGCUCUUUUGCCUUUUUGAUAAAUAGCAGGGAGCAUAAUGUUAAUAUUCAAAUAAACAAAUCUCUACCCUUCAAUCUAUCUUUUCAUUAAAUCCAAUGAUGAAGAAUUGAAACCAUAAAAAAUAAAAUUAGGUGGUACCUUGCAACUGUUGCAAGGUAGUUAAGUCCAAAAAAUUACAUUUGAUGUGAUUUUGAUCGUUUAUUUUUAUAUGAUGGUAAUUUCUUGUUCAGAGUGAAACUAGGGGUUGGUACGGUUCGGUUCGGAUCGAAAUUAAGAAGAAUCGACUUAAAUCGGUUAUUUUAUAAAAAGAACCGAAUAAGAACUGAAUUCAAUAAGAACCGAUUUAACAAGAUUCGUUUGAGUUCGGUUCGGUUUGGUUCGGUUUUUUCGGUUCUGGGCCUAUUGGCCCUAUUUUGAAUUUCUAAAUUUUUAGCUCAUUGGGCCUCAUGAAUGUCAUAAUUUUUUUCAACAAUUAAUUCAUCCUAAUUUCAUUACAAAUAUUAACAAUAAAUACAAAGUAUUCAAAACACAUUUGAUCACUAAUAUCUUACUAACUACUAAUAAGGUACUCACUACUCACAAAAUAUGAAAUAUUAAGAUUUCAAAAUACAUAACCAAACUCUAAUACUCCAUCUACAUAAACAUAAUGUUGUAAAGACAAAUAAAAAUAACAACAGUAAUUCGGUUCUUCGGUUCGUUUUUUCGGUUCAGUUGAGUGAACCGAAUAUCGAACCAGUAUUUCGGUUUUUUUAUAAAUAAUAUAUUUCAGUUUUUUUUAACAAUUAAAACCAAACCAAAUUAGAACCAAACUGUCGGUUUGGUUCUUUUUUUAAGAAUACAGUUUUUUUGUCCAGUCCUAAGUGAAGCUAUUGGCACCCUUUCGCUAUAUUUAUAAAAUCCUACUUCAAAUAAAAUUACACUUAAAGACAAUAGAAUUAAACAAACAUGUUUUUUUUCCCCAAACAAAUUACUUACAUUCAUAAUUAUUUUUCUUCUAAUUUUCUACAUGUUGCUUCAUAUCUAAGUAAAAUAAAUUGUAUAAAUUUAGAAUAAUCUAUUAUUCUUUUUAAAUUUCGUAUUGAUUAAAUACUUUUGUGCUUAAGAUUGCUUUAAAAUUAUAAGAUAAAAUAUGUGUAAUUUAAGCCAAUGAUUAACAUUCAAAAUUUUAUCUCUCAGAAACAUUUUUAAUUUGUGUGCAGGGUAAUAAUAAAAUCGUAAAAGAAAUAAAAAAUAGCAUAACACUACUUUGAGUUUAGAAAAUAAAAAAAUUAAACAGAAAAUUAGAAGUGUAAUCUAAAAAAAGGAUAUUUUGUAAAAUAAAAUAAAUAUAAUUAAAACAAGGUUUCAUGAGGGGUGCAAUAGUUCAACUCUUUUGUGUAAAGUUUUAAGAUGUUAGUAUCCGUAGCUUAGUUUUUCCCUAAUUAUUAUAUGAAAAUGUAAUAACAAUGCUGAUCACCCCAAUCUCAUGGAGGUCAAAGAUUUUGGUCAUACCGCAUGAAUUAGUGCUUUUGGUUGGCAAAUACUUGUAUAUAUUUAUUAACAUUAAAUAAUUUGACCAAGACUACGUAAUGCGCCGCCUGAAGACUGGAGUCAUCGUAUUUUAUACGUCAAAAGCGCGUUUCAGUUCAAUAAGCCAUACAUGUAGUUUAAUAUGACCAUUUUGUACUUUUUUUAUAAAAAAAAAUUAUUUAUUUUAUUAAAAUAUUGUUUAUUUAUUUAUUUUUUUUAAAGGUAAAGAGGUGUGUAAAAUCUAAAUUCAAUUUUUAUCCCUUAUGUCCUGGCCCUAAGAUUUGAACUCAGGUGAACAGCCAAAUGUAUAAUAACAUGUAUUUCGAAUUUCAUUUUAAAUGAUAUGCAAUUCGUUAAGUGAUUGUUAAUUUUUUAUAAGAUACGAGUGAAAGAAUUAUAUUAUCUCACUAAUUAAUUGAUGAGUGUCAUAUCAUUAUGAUUCCAGAUAAUUUCAAGCCAUGUCAUUAUUAGGAUAAAAAUAAAGUAAAAUGGUUAAAACUAUUUUUAUGUAAUUUAUAAAAAUUAAUGAAGCAACUACAUAAUUUUUUAAACGAAAAACAAUUGAAAUGUGUGAGGAAAAAGAAGAAAAAAAAUAAGGCAUUUAAAUAUCUUCUUAAAAAAUACGAUUGAGUAAAAUCAUUUUAACAGAAUGCCUUCCAAAUACAAUUCCAGAUUUUUUUUUAUUGCAGUGGGAUAUUCCAAAAUUGGCACAACUCAUUAAGAAUUCGGCAACUCAAACUUUUUUAUCUCUCUACGCAUUUGACAAAUUAAAAAGAAAAAAAAAUUCAUAUAUCUUCUGUUCAAAAGAAACCUUGGUAAAUAUUGUAAAACAAAUUACCAAUUUUUUUAAUUUAUGCCAUUAUAUCGUCGCUAUUUUCUCGCCCACUUUCUUAAAAUAGAAUCAAUAUUUAUUGAUGGGUUGGGUUCCAGAGUAAGCACCAAUUCAGCAAAACGGUUUUAUAGCAGAAAAAACACUUGUAAGACAUUCAGAACACAUUUUUCAAUUUUGUCUUUUGAAAAUGAGUCUUGAGUUUCCACAAGCCAAGUAGAAUGGCUAAAAAAUGUAUGGUAUCAAAGAAAGAGAAACACACACACACACAUAGAUUAGUGGGGAGAUAUAUGAGUGUGUAAUUUGUAUAUAUAUCCCCAUUAAUUGUUGAUAGUCCAAUGGGUAUAUGCAAAAGGAAAAAAAUUGGCUGUCCUUAAAGACAAAAUUGACUGUCACAUGAAAAUGUUAGCACACUUGCCACGCAACAAAAAUAAAGAUUCCAAGAACAACUUUAUGGUCCCCUUUCUGUCCAAACAUAUGCGAUAGAAAUUAGUGUAAACGACACUUGAAAUAUAUAUGUAGAUCCUCACACAAUUGAUUAAAUAUUUAUAGUAGGGUGGAGUGAUAAAUAGUUUCACAAAAUUAUUGGAAUUAACUGCUUAAUACAUGAGAUCUAUCUCAUUAAGUAUAAAAGAUUGAGUGCUGCUUCAAAAGCAUGACGUUGCUGGCAACAAAUUUAACACAAAAGUUUAAUUAAUUAUCCUAGUUGAGAAGAUAAAAUCUCGUAUUAAGAACAAAAGGUUUGAGGUUCGAACAUUCUCAUUCAAGAAAAUCAAGUCAAAAUAUUACAUCUUCCAGCACAUAUCAAAGAUUUUUUCAAUUUCCAAAACCCAACAAAAUCUUUGUCAAAAUAUAUGAUCUAGUCCCAUAUUAAGCACAUUCAUAGCUGUAUCAACAGGUUCAAAAUAUUUUCCCCAAAAAGAGAUAGAGAUUCCAUUGAGUUGCGAUUGUCCAAACGUCUUGUAAUUAUAUGGUUCAGGAUACCAUGCCUGUGAAUCGUUUUUUUUUUUUUUUUUUCAUGUUUCGAAGUCUAUCAAAUAAAAAUGUAAUUAUAUGGUUCAGGAUAUCAAUGUGCCGGAGCUGCAAAAGUUGACUUAUACUAUCCUAUCAAUGUCUAUACUUUCUAUUGAAUUUCCUUGUUUUUUUUUAAAUUGCGAGAUUUAUUUUUGGAAAUCUUUGACACAUUUUAUGUAAAAUACCAUAAAGCCAAAUACAACCUUUUUUAUUCUCAGCAGCAACUUUUUUUUUUCCUUUUAAAAAAAGGAAGCCAUAUAAAUAAUGCUUAAAACAUUAUUUGCAGCAAGGAACAAUUAUUUCAUGCUUUCAUGUAUUAGAAACUUUCCAAAAACGCUAGCAAGAAAAUGAAAUGGAACUUUACCUAGUCACAGAAUAUGUACUGUUGUUAGCACAAUUGUUAUGAAGUGGCUUCUGCAUUAGAAGAUUCCAGCUCCCACCAAGCAUUGUUAUCUCUCUUCUGAAUAUAAUCUACAUCGCUGGGCAUGAGUUAUAUCAUUAAUGUCUGGUUCCUCACUUACAUCAUCCCAAUCAAGUGCUUUUUCUCCACAUUUGGAUUAUAGGUCCAAUCUCUUCAAAACAUCCUAGUCCUUCCAUCCCAACUGAUACGACUUCCUUCCUAAUUACUUUCCCAUUAAUAAAUCGCUCCAAGAAAAAAAAGCAUUAGCAAUUCUCUUCAACGCCCCAUCACUCAUAUCCCCCACAACAACCAUCUUCAGCCACCUCAACGUUGCCUCUUGAAAGACCUCCACAAAAUCCGAAUCAUCCGACACAACCACCAAACACCCAAACCUUCUUUUGUCCACCAUAGCCACCAUAUAAUUUCUCAACAAAACAUCGGCAUCUUGUGGCUUAACUAACACCAUCCUGACCCAAAACCAUGCUCUUUUUAACUCAUCUGCAAAACCAUAACCCACUUUUGGAGUCAAAAUUGCGCUUGCAGCCAUUUUAUUUUUUUCCAUCUUUAUUGAAUAGUUGCCGACCAAAAGCACUCUCACCUUCCCUCUAGCUGAUUCUAUUUGAUUCGACCUUUUCUUUUGUUCACCCUCAUGAAUUUGCCUAAAAUGAUUAACAAGUUUGUCAUUAUUAUAAAAUCUCCUUCCAUAAUCACCAAUACAUACGGCUUAGCAGACCUAAUUACACCCUUGAUUUCUAAUUGGUAAACAAUUCUCUUUCUUUCUUUGCUCUCUUACAACUUGAGGCACAUAACCAAACGCGUGGCUAUUUGGAUUUUGUUAUCCAAAUACCAAAAAUUUCUCACAUUGUGUUGGACAGUUUUUGGUUCUAAAGUUGAUGACUGGUUUUGCGAAUCAGGCUUCAAAUGAGAACUUCUAAACAAUAAGACAAAUGGGUUUUUAGUUUAUAAUCUUGUAAACUUUGUUCUAUUGUAUAAGUUAUGAAAUCGCUGAAACAUCACUACAGCUACAGGUCUUUAUGUGUCAAUGAACUGCAAAAGCUAAUGAUCUACUUGUAGUAGACUUCUAUUGCCCCUGCCGUUCUAGGAAGACAAACAAGUUCAGGAACUACUUCUGGACCAAACUCAUAAUAUUGCCACUGCUUUGUGCCAAUCUCAGAGGGAAAGAAGAUUGAAGUUCCUAAAUAAGGCACAUCAUGAUUUGAUAGAAGUACCACUAUAAGGAAAAAUUGAUUUCAGGAAAGCACUAAAUUAUGACAUAAUCUCCCCCUAAUGGUCUAAAGUAGUCAAGAAAUGAUAUUAACCAAGUAAAAACACAUAAACUAGUUGAGAUACAAAGUUAUCAUAAAAGUCAAUUUUGACCACAAAUCCAUUAAAAUUAAAAGUCAUCAGAAACUUAGAGAACAUUAUAAUUUAGGACUCAGCUAAGUUGCAGAUUCUGUAACUAACAGCUGAGUCCACAUUGGUCUUGCAUCAGCUGAGUUUAGGUUGCUUUUCCUCUCUCCUGCAACGAGUACGUGGAAGCGCCCCAUUUGCUGUGUUAUAGAACGAGUCGGUACCGUAACAAGCUCCUAUAAUUUAAGUUUGAUUACUGUAGACAAUAGUCUGCCUCUGCUCAAAAGCUAUGCUGCAAGAUAUAACAUCUUUGCAAUGUUAUACUUUCUAAAAGUAAUAAGAAAUGAAACCAAGGGGUAAAUCGAACACCAAAAGAAAUUUAGUCGGCCAACCACAUUAUGUUCCCACACAGUCCACUAAUUAAGUUAAUAAUUAAAGGGAAUCAAAAUCUAAGAAAUCUCAUCGUCAAGCAUAAUACAAACACACCGGGAUUGAAAACCACAAAAUCAUAAAAAGAAGCUGAUUUGAAAAGCUCAAAUAUACGUUCAUCAGCCUCUCAACUUAUAUCUAAGAACAAAUGCCUGCAGCCUGUGAAGACAUAGAUAAUUGAAGCUGAGGAGGCAUAUUUAACAGAUGAUUAAACUCAUGCGAUUAAAAUUAUAAUUCAAUAAUCGAGCACAUAAAAUAACAAGAAUCUAGUUGUAUAUAUACCAAGCAACUUUAUGAAGUUAAAUAUACCAACGCCAAUACUCUUAUUAUUAUCCAAAUAUAGAAGACCAAUGCAUCAAACAAGGAAAAUGAAAUAUUGUUAAUAACUCAAAAACCACUAGUGUCAAGAACUAAACUAAUAAGUAAAACCCAUAAUCAGACACAACCACAUCAAAAUCUCUAAAAAUUGAGGUCUAAACAUUGAAAACAAUUAGACAUAUAUAACAGUCAAUCGAAACAAAGCCUCAAAAUAAUAAUGAACUACAAUAAGACAUAAACUAAAUUGUAAACAAGCGCAUACUCAGUAACAGUAAUCAAGUAACAAGUCAAAACCAAAAUCAAACGUAGAAUUUUGAAAUCCAUACGAACUCUAACGUAUUAGAAUGAAAGAAUAAGGACGAUCGAUAAACUAGAAUCAAACAAAACAUGCCCAGUUAAAAAACGAAGGUAAAUAAAUAAAAAUGAUAUAAAACUGAGAAAAAAAUUAAUGAAAUGAAGAGAAAAUCACAGGAAUCCUAUGAAGAGGAAGGUAAACAAAACCUUCGAGAGCCGAGAAGAUGCCUUUUUUUGUUCACUUUUGUGCCUAUACAUACAUUUUUUUUUUUUUGUAAUUUUGAAGAAAGUAUUGGUUAAAUAUUGUCAGAACGAAAUAUUAAUAAUAGAUCCUGGCAAUUUCAACAAGGACAAUCUUCGAUUCAAAUGUACCCCUAUGAUAAAGAAAAAGCCAGCUUGGCUAAAUUUUGAGCACCACAUUACAAAAUCUAGGUGCAUGUUUAACUAUGCAAAAUGAAACCUCUAUUAAUUGUAAGUCCCUUGACCUCUGGAACCAGCCAACCAGUAUCUUUCCUGUUAGACAAACUUCCAUCGAUCAGACUAAUAAUAUUUACUGAAUCAUGUUCUACAGUUAAUGGAGUUGGACCCAAGGCAAUUGUUAGAAGUCCGCCUAGACAUAGAGUGCGCUUAGAAGUGGGAUGCUUAGAAAUGGGCCGCCAACACAACCAGCCAACCGUAGUGUGCUUAGCAAAUCACUGAAACCCGGCCCAAGAUCUAGAACUAUCUACAAAUUGUAAAUAAGCUAAAAGUUUCUAAGUUUCUCUACAUAGGUCCCUAGGAUAUUUAUGGAAGUUGCUAGGAAGUUUCCUCCCCUAGAACUCUAAUACCUAUACCCUCUCAUUUGCCCACCAACCACACCACACAGACAAACACUCCAGCACACACACAAGCUCUCUAGCUUUUGUAAAAAACUCUCUUGUAUAUUCUCUCUUUGUGAGUAAUAAAAUCAUAUUCAGCCAUAUUGCUACACUUCUCUCUAGCAUUUUCUACAAGUGUUCUUGCUUCGCUAGUUUGAGGAGUGUUCUAGGCUUGCUUAACAACUUGUUCGCUAUAAUGACAUCUUGGUCACAAAGCAUGGACAUGCAAGAAAAAAAAAAUAUUGAUACGUUAUAAAAAUAAUACGCGUUCUUCUACAGUGAACCAAAAAAUUUAGGCUAAUGGUAGCAAGUGAAGGAAUUGUGAUUUCACGUGCAUUUUGUUGACAUGAACGUAAAGGACUUUUUUUUAUAGUUUAUAUUGUUUAAUAUAACAUUUGAAUUGCAAAAUAGAUACACGAAGUGAUAAAACUAAGCUGAUUAUAAUAAAUAUUGAAUUAUAAGAUUUAGGUUUAAUCAUAAAGACAUAAGUGGUGCACAAAGUCACGAAUUGAUAUCAUCCACGAUGCAAGUUCAAACAACUGCAUAAUAAGUUGCCCCAAGCUAAACUAUUAAUCUAGUAACUAUUCCAGUCGAUGUGGGAUAAUUUUCCUAUCACCAUCUAUCAUGUGCAAGCCGAAUUUUUUGCUUGGUCCUUACAUGUGGUAAGGUCAUAUGAAUCCACUUGUGCAUAAAUUUGGCUCCGAUACUAUAUAGAAGCCUAUGACCCAAAAUUAUACUUAAAGGUUAUCUCAAGAUUUGAGGAUUGACUCAAGCUAAUAUUAUUAUUAGUCUGGUAACCUUUUUUGUUUGUUGAUAUGUGAUAUUUUACCUAUAACUUUUAUUAAUCUUUAUGCUUAUGUUUUUUCAUUUAUCCCAAAAUAUAACAUUAACAAAAGUUCCAAAAUUUCCUUCAAGAGAUAUAUUUGAGACAAGUAAUUUGUGCAAUAACUUUGUAAAUUGAUGAGCAAAUUCAGAGAAAAGAAUGAAACCCGGCCCAAGAUCUAGAACUAUCUACAAAUUGUAAAUAAGCUAAAAGUUUCUAAGUUUCUCUACAUAGGUCCCUAGGAUAUUUAUGGAAGUUGCUAGGAAGUUUCCUCCCCUAGAACUCUAAUACCUAUACCCUCUCAUUUGCCCACCAACCACACCACACAGACAAACACUCCAGCACACACACAAGCUCUCUAGCUUUUGUAAAAAACUCUCUUGUAUAUUCUCUCUUUGUGAGUAAUAAAAUCAUAUUCAGCCAUAUUGCUACACUUCUCUCUAGCAUUUUCUACAAGUGUUCUUGCUUCGCUAGUUUGAGGAGUGUUCUAGGCUUGCUUAACAACUUGUUCGCUAUAAUGACAUCUUGGUCACAAAGCAUGGACAUGCAAGAAAAAAAAAAUAUUGAUACGUUAUAAAAAUAAUACGCGUUCUUCUACAGUGAACCAAAAAAUUUAGGCUAAUGGUAGCAAGUGAAGGAAUUGUGAUUUCACGUGCAUUUUGUUGACAUGAACGUAAAGGACUUUUUUUUAUAGUUUAUAUUGUUUAAUAUAACAUUUGAAUUGCAAAAUAGAUACACGAAGUGAUAAAACUAAGCUGAUUAUAAUAAAUAUUGAAUUAUAAGAUUUAGGUUUAAUCAUAAAGACAUAAGUGGUGCACAAAGUCACGAAUUGAUAUCAUCCACGAUGCAAGUUCAAACAACUGCAUAAUAAGUUGCCCCAAGCUAAACUAUUAAUCUAGUAACUAUUCCAGUCGAUGUGGGAUAAUUUUCCUAUCACCAUCUAUCACGUGCAAGCCGAAUUUUUUGCUUGGUCCUUACAUGUGGUAAGGUCAUAUGAAUCCACUUGUGCAUAAAUUUGGCUCCGAUACUAUAUAGAAGCCUAUGACCCAAAAUUAUACUUAAAGGUUAUCUCAAGAUUUGAGGAUUGACUCAAGCUAAUAUUAUUAUUAGUCUGGUAACCUUUUUUGUUUGUUGAUAUGUGAUAUUUUACCUAUAACUUUUAUUAAUCUUUAUGCUUAUGUUUUUUCAUUUAUCCCAAAAUAUAACAUUAACAAAAGUUCCAAAAUUUCCUUCAAGAGAUAUAUUUGAGACAAGUAAUUUGUGCAAUAACUUUGUAAAUUGAUGAGCAAAUUCAGAGAAAAGAAUAUAUGUGCCAAACAUAACGUUUAUUAUUGUGUUUAUUUGUAGAGCUAUUUAAAGCCCAAAAAAAAAAAGCACCAGUCCGCUAUGAUUUCAAAUAAGUUCAAGCUCUAUGUCAUUAUUGGUACAAUAUCAGAAAGGUUAAAAACUAUUUUUAAAGGUUAAAAACUAUUUUUAUUUAACUUAUAAACUUAGGAAAUUAUCAAAUGUCCGCCCUUAAAUUGCGCUAUUAUAAAAAAUAUUACAACAUUUUCAGGUUGGAUCAUUCAUCUACCAUAAAUUUACAAUCUGCAUAAUUUAUCCACCAAAUCAUUAACUUCGUCAAAAAGUGAUAGACGUCACAAGGGUAAUUUAGACAUUUAACACAAAAAAAUAAAAGAGAAAUUAUCUAAGCUUACCAUGUUAUCAAAAUUGCUACAAAAUUUUAAAUUUGUUCAAUUUUCCAAUCUAAGUUUAUGACCUCCAAGAUGUUAAUUGCAGUUUGUAAUUAAUGACUUCAUAAGGAUAAUUUAGACACUCAAUAUGCAAAAUAAAAAAUAAAAUAAUGGCUUAAAAGAUUAAAACAAAAAACUACUUUUUAUAAUUGAUAUUCAAUUAAAUAAACAUAAACUCUAUUUUUUCUUAAUUAAAAAUAUUCUAAUUUAUUUUCUCAAUUUAUCAUCAUAAAUUUACAUUAAUAAACUAAAUCCACAAAUUACCCUAAACCCUAAUUCAUAAAUGCCCAAUCAAUCAAAUAGUUUAAUUCGAUUUCAUAAUUAAAAAAGCUAAAUUUAUUAUAUUAGUUAUGGUGCAAAGUAAAAAAUGUCCUUAAAUCCAAGGGUAAAAUAGCAUUUUAUUUAAAUUCUAUAAAUUAUUCUAACAAUGUUAACAUUUUGGUGGACGGUUAAUAUAAGUUACAAACUUAAAAUAGAAAAUCAAAUAAAUUCAAAAUUUCAAACUAUUUAGGGCAAAUUUAGGAUAUAUGGUUAAUAAUUUUCCUAUGUCUUUUUACAUAAGUUGAUAGAAGUUACAAACUUAAAAUAGAAAUAAAAUAAAUUUAAAUUUUCAAAUCAUUUAGGGCAAACUUAGGGCAUAUGGUUAAUAAUUUUCCUAUUUUUUUAACGUUAAAUUGAGUUUCAAAGACAUAAUGGUCAAUUUAUUAUAAUUCUAUUAAAUUUUUUAAUGGAAGCAAGCGAUAUAAUGGAUGAAUGAUAUAAAUUGUAAAAUUAAGGUGCAUGAACGAUAUAAUUUUAAAGUAUUGUAGUACUUUUAAUAAUAAAACAAUUUAAAGGUGGAUUGGCGAUAAUUUAAACUUUAAUGAAGCAACUAAAAAAAAUUUUUAACAAAGAAAAAUAAUUGAAUGCUUUGUGAAACCAAAAAUAUUUGAAAUGCUUUAAGAAAAAUAAAGGAAAUUAAAUAUCUUUUUAAAAAACAUAAUUGAGUAAAAUCAUUUUACAAAAUGCUCUUUCAAAUGCACAUUCCACAAGCGCACAUUCCACAAGCCAAGAAGAACGGGUGGCUAACAAAAAUCUCACUUUUUAUGAGUUUAUAAAAUCUCACUUUCACAAAAUCCAAAAAUAACCAAUACUAUCACACAAAAAAUAAAAAGUAUUGCUGUCACGACAUUACACACUUUCUUCGCCGUCUAGAAAGGUAGAACAUUUUGAAGUUCCUCAAUACAAAAUGCGUGCUAUUACUAAAUUGGCCCAAUUAGUGCCCAUCGAAAGGCCAUCGAUUUAGCCACCAAAUUUGCCAAAGUUUUAACAAUUGAAGAAAUAGUGAACUCAAAAGGAACAGGUAAAUUUUGAAGUUGAACAAACCUUAAGGUACGGGAAAUUUGCAACCUACCCCCAAAUAAAUUGAUAUUUUGCACCGUGUCCCCAACAAAUUUGACUUAUUGCACCGCGCACCCAAAAAAAUUGACAUUUUGCACCACGCCCGCAAUUCCGUUACUUUUUCAGUUAUUUCUAACGGCUCCGUCUAACUUUUGAUUGAAUGACAAAAAUGCCCCUCUAUAUAAAAAAAAAUUUUUUAGCUCAUUUAAUUUUUUUAAGGUUUUUUUUCAAUUGCAAUAAAAAAAAAUUCUUCUUACAUGUUCAUUGUCACCACUAUUAUUUUUCCUUUAAUUUUUUUAAGAUUUUUUUAAAGAUUUUUAUUUUAAUUGCAAUAAAAAAAUUUCUUGUUACACGUACAUUGUCACCACUAUUAUUUUUUCUUUAAUUUUUUAAAGAUUUGUAUUUCAAUUUUAAUAAAAAAAACUCUUGUUACAUGUACAUUUGUCACCACUAUUAUUUUCCUUUAAAUUUUUAAAGAUUUUUAUUUUAAUUGCAAUAAAAAAAUUUCUUGUUACAUGUACAUUGUCACCACUAUUAUUUUUCCUUUAAUUUUUUAAAGAUUUUUAUUUUAAUUGCAAUAAAGAGAAUUCCCAUUAAAAUUAAUUUAAGGAAUAAACUUCAAAUUUUACCCCUCCACCGUUAAACUUAACUGAGAAAAUAACGGAAUUGGGGGCGAGGUGCAAAAUGUCAAUUUAUUUGGGGGUAGGUUACAAAUUACCCCUUAAGGUACAUACAACAAAGCCUUGAAACUUUAGUCUUCACAAUUUAAUCACGCAAUAAUAUUAAGUAUCCACCUAAAAAAACAAGUAUAGAACAAAGCUUGUUAGCUUCUUGGGCAUUAACUAUGAAUGAUGAGUAAAAUUAAAAAAGCAAACAGAGAAAAUUAUAAGAAGAAGAAAAGCAAACAUUUAAAAAAAAAAUUAUGAGAAGGAAAAUUUUGGUAGAACUCCGUGGCUCAUCUGUGAAAUUAAUGUCAAUAUGUAAUUUUAUGUAAAUAGGGUCUCUGGAUUUUAGGAUGAAUCAAUCAGCUACCACAAACGAAAACAUGAACCAACUAUAUAUAGAGUCAAUUAAUUAAAGUUCUCAAGAGCUUACCUCUGCUCCAGAAUUCUCGGAAUCAUCAAUCUCCUUCUGAAUUUGCGCGAAGCUUGGGACAACCAAGAAAGCGUCCAGGUGGAACUGGGUUUGGAUAACCCGCAGGCCAAAAGUUGGUGAGGUUUGGUAAAUUUAUCAGUUCUAUGCCCUGAAGUUCAUUCGUAACAAUUUCAUUGUAAUCCGUGACGUCUGCUCCACCUUUAUGCCAGAAUACUUCUUCUAAUUCAUCAUUACCUACUACGAAUAGGUACUUCAGUUUUGGAAGACUUGGAGCUACGCUGAUAUGAAAUAGAUGCUUUAGCUUGGGGCAAAAACAGACAGUGAUCCUUGUGAGUUUUUGGAAACAUACAGGUUGGAGAUGAUCCUCAUCCUCAUCCUCAUCAAUGAUUUGCUCUAAUUCCAAGCAAUUCGAAACAGAUAACUCCUCCAAUUGCAACAGAUUUCGAGCAAGUGUUGAUGAGAGGAGCCGUCUCAGCAUAGUGCACCGCUCUACUGUUAAUCGGGUAAGAUUUUGCAGGCUAAAAUUAUGCGCGGGACCUUCAUGAUAUAAUACUCGCAGUUCUCGAAGAUCUUCCAAUCCCAACCCUUUCAAACAUGGGAAUGGUUUGUUUGCUUGUCCCUCAGCGAUAAUAGCUUCCGACUGAAACACCACCAGUACUCCAAUUUUGCUAAUAUUCAAUUCUUCCAAAUUUUUUAAGCCGUGCUUCAACAAUACUGGAAUCGUGUCGCUCAAAUGGGAACAAUUGUCCACAUUUAGAAUUUUAAAGUUCUGAGACAAAUAAAUAAAUAACUUGAUGUAAUUAAAAUCUAUUAGCAGCUAGGAUUAUCACAUGAUAAGUGACGAACACCGCAAAAAACAAAAAUAGAAACAAAAUCCAUACAAAAAUAUAAUAAUACAUAUGUAAACUAAUAAAAUAAUUAAAAAGUAAUAUGGAUUGAUAAUGUGAAGUGACAUAAAGGUGACAUUAGAUUGUUUGAGAAAAAUUAGUAUUUUAUUAAUUUUUAUGGAUUGAUCAACUAAUUAAUUGAAUUUGAGUAAUAUUAUAUACACUUUAGUAAGUGUUUGCAUCAAUUCUUUCUAAACCAAAAUGAGAUAAGACUUCCAUUUGAACAAUGAUUUUAGGCCCUAAAAUAAAGAAAUUUCCCUAAGAUACCAAGGCGGAUGUACGGUACAGCAGAUUGAAUGACAAAAAUGCCCCUCUAUAUAAAAAAAAAUAAAUUUUGAUCAUAAAAUUAAUUACUAAAUUAUCAUUUUGAGUAAAAUUGAAGGAAAAGAAAAAACGUAAACACAAACAAACAUACCUCUUCAAGAUACUGCAAAUUGGCUUCAAGUUCAGUACUGCUGACGGUCAAGUUAGAACAGCGAAUAAGGUCUAACUCUUCCAAUGCUGUCCAAAUUGAACAAUAAUUUUCUGAACAGAAGCUCUUGAGUUUUGGGAGAUUGCAAAGUGUUAAUUUUCUCAACAAAGGGAGGGCAAGCAUCAUAUUUCCAUCUCCGACACUUAUUUCCCCUUCAUUGUAAUCAAACUUUGCUUCGACAAUACAUUCCAUUCUCUGGCAUCCACUUACAAAGAGACUUUUAAGCUGCUUCAAACUUCUAGCUUGUGACAACGUGAAGAUAUAUGUCAAAUUGUUGCACCCAUACACACUCAAUUUUGUAAGAGCUUGGAGGCUGAUCACAUGUUGGGCGGGCGCCUUCCAUAUCCACUUCAGUUCUGGUAAUUGCCACAUAGAUAACUCUGCUAAUCUUGAGAGCAUCACAGGAUUCCCACUCUUUCCAUACGGCGACUUAGAGGCAUCCAUUAUGCAUUCUAAUUCUUUGCACUCCUUGGCAGAAAGACAAGGCAACUCAUUUAAGCCCUUUGGAUCUAUGCUUGGCACAAUAUUGUGACAACCUAUAAUCGUUCUUAAAUUAAGAAUUUCCAGUUCUUGAAACAAUGCCGAAAAAAUACCGAGCGAGGUCGCUUCACAAUUAUUAAUCUUUAAGCACCUUCUCUGUCCAAAAAUUUCAUCUUCUUCGUCCAUUAGAAAUUCAAGUUUGUUACCGUUACUGACGUAGUGCCUUUGCAAUUUCGGGAAUGUAAAGUCUUUUGGAAGAUGUGCAAUGUUUUUGUCAGUAUGUACAGUCUUUCCGUCGUCAUUUUCUUCUGAACUUAUCCCUUCAGCCUCCCAAUCUUUUAUCCGACCAUAAAAUUCUUCUAAUUGAGGAAAUUUUUUUAUCGUAAUGGGAGAAAUACGACCAGAGUUAAUGAAUAUAAGAAGUUUCAAUGUACUUAGUUGAUCGCCAAAUUCUUCAGGAAUUUCAAUGGGAGACCCCUUGACACAAAGGAUUUGAAGUCUCUUCAACUUUCCAAGGAAAGACGCGUCACUCACGUUACAUCGAAUCAACUGCAGAACUUGGAGGUUGGUGAGGAAUUGAAGCGAUUUAAGUGAAAUGACUCCUCCUAUUAUAGUAACAACUUUCAAUGCUGGCAUCCCUUCGAAAAAAUGUUCUGGAAUAUGCAAUUGAUAGUCAUAUUCAAUAUUCUCCAGUCGCAAAAUAUGAAGGUUAGGGCAUACCAAACCACUUGGAAGCUCUUCUUUUUCAUUUCCCAUCAAAGAGAUUCCUCUGUAUUGUUCCAUUGCCCGUUCUGCCAAUCCAAUGCCAACUUUACUAGUAAAAUAUUUUUUCUCCAUUGAGCCUAUCCAUAAGGCUACGUCACGUACAAUGUCAUGCAUUUUUACAAAUCUGUCAUUACCAGCGUCUAAUAGCAGUGAAGAAGCUUUGAGCUCUUUAAUCGUUCCACUCACUAGGCUCCUGGCAUCUUCGAUUGACUCAGCUUGAUACCAAUCCAACGCCACUGCAUAUCCAACCAAAUCCUCCAAAUCUAUCUCAUAAUCUUCUGGAAAUAGCGAACACAACAAGAAGCAUGACCUUGAAUCCUCACCAUUCAAAUAAUCGUAACUAAAUUUGAGACAAUGGUAAACGUCUUGGUCCUCCUUGCCAAUACCUUCUAUUGUAUUAAGUUUUGCAUUUUGUAGUUUAUGUAGAGCUACUUUCCAUUGACCAAAUCCUUUACCUCUUAGCGCACUUCCAACAGCCUUAAUAGCUAAAGGCAACCCCUUACAUUCAUUAGCAAUUUGUUCUGAAACACCAAUCAAGGUUGAAUCAGCAUCAAUGCCGGCAUGCUUUCUUAGUAAAGCCAAUCCUUCUUCUCGCUUUAGAACACCUAGUUGAAUCCGCGUGUCACAACCCAUGCGAUCACAAACUGGCUGAAGGCGAGUGGUUAGAAGGAUUUUGCAACAAUUGUCUAUAUCACCAACAGGAAUACCUACUGUCUCCAAGUCAAGUUCAUUCCAGACAUCGUCAAGGAUUAUGAGGAUCUUGCGGCUUUUACUCUCACAGAACAUCAAGCGCAAUCGGUCUGCUCUAUCAUUUUCAUCUUUCUCCGUUAAUGCCCAACCUAACGACUUUACCAGCUCACUUUGAACAUUUAUUAUAUUUGGAUCCCGAGAUAUAGUGGCUAUCCCUACGUCAUCGAAAAUCUUUUGUUGCCGAAGUUGAUUGCCCGCAAAUUUUGCCAAGGUCGUCUUUCCUACACCACCGAGGCCAUGUAGUCCCACCAUUUUUGUGCUUUCUCUUUUCAGUGAUUCAAUGAUCUGAUUGCAAGCCAGUUCUGUAGUCUCGAAAGACGUAAAAUGUCUUGGUGCGGGCAAUUCUUUGCUUGAAGGUAGAGGUUUAGGACGGGCAACUGUGCUGAAUUUGUCGUAUUUCUUUUGUAGAUCGGACAACUUGCGAGUCUCCUUUGAUGCUUUUCUACCCAGCCAAUAUAGGCAACGCCAAUUAGGACACCAUCCAUUAAGACAACUUUUGUUUUCAUCUAUCUUUGCUUUCAAAUUUUGAACAUUGGCCAUUUCUUUGACUACAUCCGCCAGCCACUUCUCUACAUCUUUCUCGACAACUAUGGCGCGGUGUUUUUGUCGAUCUUGUUCUACUUUUUCAUUGACGCCAUCUUGUGCCUCCUUCAAAUUAGUUUCUUUAUCCCCAAGUUCUUUAAUAAUGCUGUUGAAGCAGAACAUAUAGCGAGCUUGGUUUAUGGUUGCGUCCGCCAAUAAUUCUCCAAGCUUUGAUGCAACGCCUGAUAAAAUUUCCAUGCUAUUUAUCUGCAAUUAAUGAAAUUGAUCUCAGUAUGCUAUAAGCAAUUAAAACAACAAGGCUUGGUCGCAAGAUCGAACGUGAACGUUUAAUUACUUUAAUUUUUUUUUUGGCUUAUUAACGCCAGCAUUGAAAUUAGAUUACUUUAGAAAUUUUUAAAUAAAAAUAUCAAACAACAAAUUUAAUAGAAUCCAGAUAAACCUAAGAAUUUGUUGUGCAUUGCGAGUGAAGACAGGCAGUUGCAUGGGGAAUAUGAUAAAAGUGAUGAAUAAUUGAAAAGCCACCCAUAAUAACAAUUAAAAAGAGUAUUAGAGAUUAGAGUAGUUUAACAUUCUAUGCAAGCCCACUCAUGAUAAAAUUUGAAUUGUUUCAAGAUGAUUACCUUCUUCUUUUUUUUUUUUUAAAUAAAACCAUAAUUCCAAAUAAUAUCUUAAUUUCCUUUUCCUUCAAAUGUUCAUUAAACUCACAUAUUGGAUAAUUAAUUUAAUUAUUUGUUAAAUUAUUUAUUACCCUAUCUUAUUAUUCAAUAGAUAUAAAUGACACCUUAAUUAGGUUUUAAUUGGAAACAAAUAUAAAAUAUUAUUUUUUGAUUAAUUUUGUGAAUUCUUUUAAUGUUCGAAUUAGAAUAGAAUAAUUUGUAUAAGGAUAAUUUAUACAAAGAUAAUCUGCAAAAUAAGCUUAUUUGUCGAGUUUAAAAGAGUUAUAUGAGUAAUCAUAUAUUUAUCAAAAUUUUUUAAUAAAAAUUUUGUUUAAAAAUUGGCCAAAUGGGUUUAAAAUAGAAGGGCAUGAACAGCGCCACUUUCAAUUUUUUUUUUUUUUUUGUACAAUUGAAAAGACGUUUUAAAUGGACCAAUUUGAAAUGGCAGGAGAGCAUAAUGGACUCAUGCUGGGACUUGGGUAGGAAAAUUAAUUUUAUUUUUAAAAGUAUGGUCAACAGUACUGACUUGGAGGUGAUUGACGUUAAGUUAAAUUAAUACAAACAAAUGGCAAAAAUAAUUUAAUGAAAAUUAAUUAAUAAAAAAUGUUUUAAAAAUAAGAACUUAAGUUCUUGAUCAUUAAUAUCCGUAUGUUUUUAAUCCAACGGCUCAGAAUUGGCAUAAAACUAGCCAUUGGAAGUAAAACAAAUAUCAAAUUAAGGGCCUAUAACACAAUAAGAUCUCAUACCUUCUUCGUUGUAUAUCCUCAAUUACUGCUGAAAGCUCCAGUUAGAGAGUUGCACAAGUUCGGAGAAAAAUAAAAAGCUGCAUCUAGCAAUAUAAAUAAAUAUCUAGCUAAUUAACAUCAUAUAUAAGUCCUUGUUCUCUAUCAAAAUCUUUCCUUCUUAAAAAGAAAUAAUAAUAAUAGCAAUAAUAAUUGAAAUAAUAACUGCGGGUGAUACAGGAAGCAAAAGUAACAUACCGAAAUGAGAGCAGCUCACGUAUCUGGUGACUUCCAAGAGAAUGAAAAAUGAAUGACCUUCGGCAGCAAGAUCCAAAUCAUGUAUCACAGCUCACGUUUCUUUUUUUCUUUUUUUUUAAUUAAAUUUUAUAUCACAGUGUGAAUUGAAAGGUGAAAAGUGAAAUGGUACACAUGCGUAUGAUGAGGGGGCAAUUUUUAGACACCUCCCCGAGGUUUAAGGUCUUCUGAAUUAGAUGGAUUGUAUUUUCGUAUUAUCAAAUACCUCCCCUGCCCGUUUUUAUUCCAUUUAGUCUUUUCUAAAUAGCUGAAGGUAAAUUGGUAAAACUCAUUUAAAAUAAAAUAAAAAAUCAAAGAAAUUCAAGAAGAAGCUUUGUAUCUGCCAUUUGUAUUUGGGGUAUCUUUUUGGUUGUUGAGUGAAUGAGCUUAAAUCUUAAAUAUUUAUUUUCUUAUUAUAUAUUUCUCAUUGGAAAGAAUUUGAAUCUUAUUCUUAUUAAACUUAUUCUCUUUAAAUAAAAGUAGAUUUCUCUCCAUGUAUUUAGCAUGUAUUUUGAAAUUAAUGUUCAACAUAUCUUUAGAUCCUAUUAUAAAUAUUCAUAUCUAAAAUCUCAACAGAUUCCAACAUAUAAAUAUAUAUAAAGAGAGAGAGUAACGUUUUAAUAAGAAAUUUCUUAAAUUAUCAAAUUAAAGUAUAAUUCAAAAGAUAAAAAAAAUACAUAAUCUAAUAUAUUAUAUAACAAAAUAUACUAUAUUAAAAUAUAUAUUUUGCUUAAUUUUUUAAUAAAUCCCAUAAUAACUUAAGAAACCCUUUAUUUACCUGAUAUAUAUGUGUGUGUAUAAUUUUUUACAAAAUAAACAAUUUAGAGUAAAACAAAGGACAUUCUGGGGGCCUUUUGCUAGACUACCAAUCUACCAUUUUGGAUUGCAAUAAAGUGAAAAUACUGGACUACUAUUUUGGAUUGCAAUAAAGUUAAAAUGGGUUACACCAAAAAAGUAAAAAAAAAAAGUGACAAUCAAUCUUGUCGGCCAAUACACCGACUUUUUUGCCGGAUUAGUAUCGCCGUCGAAAACAAAUUAUUGCAAGCACUAGCAAAAAGCAAUCGAUGAUUUCGCAAUUUGGUUGUCAAAAAGCAAACUAGAUCACGAUUCCUCAAUUCAAAAUGGGGCAAAUUAUGGUAUCACAAUGAUACCGUAGGGAUGGCAAUGAGGCAUAUAUGGGUUGGAUCUACUCUACUCCAGAUCCAAAUUCAUAAUAAAAAUCAAGAUCCGUAUCUACUCUAGAUCCGUCAUGAAUCCAUAUUUUUCGCUCCAUAUCCAGAUCCAAAAAAUAAAAAUAAAAAUCUAUAUCUGCUCCAAAUCCAAAAAAAAAUUAAAAUCUGCUCUAGAUCCAUCACGAAUUCUAAAAUUCAGUAAUAAAAAAGUAAUAAUUUUUUAGAUUGAAAAUUGAAGGCUAAAAUGUAUUGAUAACAAAUAAAUUAUAUAAUUUUUCUAAAAAAUAUAAUAAAUAUUGUAGCUUAUACUUUUACACCAAACAACAAAUAAGAAAGAUAGUAAAAUAUCAUUCAGAAGUAAUUGCAAAAGUAAGAUCAAUCUAAUAUUUUAUUGUCUCCUUCAUCAUUCUAAUAUCCACGAUACACCUACCCUCAUUCCUACAACAUUAGAUAAUGACAUAUAAAUUAAAUAUGAUUUAUAUUCAGUCCUUUAUUAUUUUUAUUAUGACCAUAUUUGAAUAAAUAUAUGAAUAACUAUAUUUCUUAAAAAUUAUUUGGCCAAUAUAAUAAAAUAAAUUGCCAGGUUAUAUUACUUGGCUUGCAAUUUGAAUAUUGCAUGUACAUGCUUUGGGGCUGGCUGACCUUUAAAUUUACAAAACUAACAUUUAAGUUUUAAGAGUUUAAAUGCAUGGUAAAUACUACUAAUAUGCUAUGAAUAAAAUUUAUUAUCAUUAUAAUUCCACAAUUGUUAAGAAACUUUUAAAAUAAAAUAAAAUUAAAAGAUGAGUGGAUAUGGAUAUGGAUUUAGAUAUUAAGAUAGAUCCAGAUCUGCUCUAGAUCCGUCUUAAAUCCGCAUAUCGAUAUCCAAAUCCGAUCCAAAUCCAUUUUAAACCAAUCCAAAUCCGAUCCGAUUGGAUUUGGAUCACGUGGAUCUUGGAUAAGAUCCAAUCCAUUGCCAUCCCUAUGGUACCGUACUACGGCUGGAUCCAGCCUAUAGUUAUCAUCAUAAUUGGAGCAAACGGUUGGAUUCAUCUGUAGUAUGGUACCACUGUGGUACCAUAGCUGGACCCUUUAAAAUGAUUUUUUUUAAUUAAAUAAGUGAAAAUUAAACCUACAAUUCAAAAUAGAGGACUGUAGAUGCGUAUAAAUUGAAGAAGGUAAAUUUUGUGUGGGCGUAAAUAUUUUAGUUAACAACAAAAAAUUCUAACAAGUUAAUAUAAGAGUAUCAUAGCAGUACAAGAGAUUUUUUUUUUUUUAAUGUUAAGAGUUAUCGAGAUACCCAAUAUAUAUAUGUGUGUGUGAGAGAGUGGAGGAAGAAAAAAAAUAUUAAGAAUAGUUUUGGCAUUUUGAUGGGUUUUAUAGAGUAAAAUCUAUAUUUUCAAAUAUGAUAAUUCUUUAAUUUAAUUUGGUGUUAUGAAAAAAAAGGGCAUUUUAAAUAUGUUCUAGGUUAUAAAUAACUCCAUCCAAAAUUUAAAAAUGAAAUCUUAGGGGGGGAAAAAUUUCACCCGAACUAAGGCCCAAAGUAGCCGCGGCAUUUUUCACCAAUUCUCCAAUUCCCAAUGUCGUCUAAUUAUUUACAAGGAAUAUGAGUAGGGGUGGGCACGGUUCGGUCCGGUUCGGUUUGGAUCGAAAUUAAGUUGAGCUAAUUUAAAUCAGUUAUUUUAUAAAAAGAACUAAAUAAGAACCAAACUCAAUAAAAACCGAACAUAAAUGGAUCUUUUCGGAUCGGUUCAGUUUUUUCGGUUUUGGGCCUAUUGGGCCUAUUUUGAAUUUCUAAAUUGUUAGCCCAUUAGGACUCAUGAAUGUAAUAAUUUUAUUCAACAAUUAAUUUAUCCUAAUUUCAUUACAAAUAUUAACAAUAAAUACAAAGUAUUCAAAAUACAUUUUAUCACUAAUAUCUUACUAACUACUAAUAAGGUACUUACAAAAUAUGAAAUAUUAAGAUUUCAAAAUACAUAAUCAAACUCCAAUACUCCAUCUACAUAAAUAUAAUGUUGUAAAGACAAAUAAAAAUAACAACAAUUAAAACUUACAACACAAAAUAAAAAGAAAAUUUAGAAACAAACACCAACAACAAUUUUUAAAUAUAUAUAUAUAUACCCGUAAUCGUGUGUGUGCAUGCAUAUUUUAGUUAUCUCACGCAACCGAUUAAAAUUUAACACGUGUCUAUUUAAAUAAAAUUCCAAGAAUAACUCGGUUUUUUGGUUCAGCUGAGUGAACCGAAUACCGAACCUGUAUUUCGGUUUCUUUACAAACCAUAUAUUUCAGUUAUUUUUUAAAAUUAAAAUCAGUCCGAACAGAACGGAACGGUUCAGAUCGAUUUUCUCUAGUGCACAGUUUUUUUGCCCACCCCUAAAUAUGAGAUUCUCUACCACUCCAAUUUAUCCCAUUGUUAGCAAUCCUAUUAGCUGUUUUAUAUCCUAUUUUUAUUAUGCUCCCCAAACAAAUAUGUUUCACGUAAAGGUGCCCAACGGGCUGCACCGUCCGUCUGAAUGAGCGCACGAGAGGCUCCACAUGACACGGCAAUCUUUUUCUUUUUAAUGAGGGCGUGUCUGAUAUGCUCUUUCAAGUCUACAUACCUAACGUUCUUUUUUUAAGUGCAUAUAUAUUUUUUUAAAGCUCAUGUGAAAUUCAGUAGUAAGAGAAUGCAAUACUAGUUAAUAAGUUAGAGCCUACAAAAUAAUAAUAAUAAUAACAAAAUUUUCUUUAAGGGUUAACAUUUUAUUGUUAACUUGAAUUUACAUACUGUUAUAGAUUAUAGUCCAUAAUAAUAUUAAUAUUUACAAGUUUCAAAUUAAAAUUUAAUAAUUAACAUUUCAUUAACACAACUAUAUUAUCUAAUUUUGCAAUAACCAAUUAUAAUACAACAAUACAUAAUUCUAAUUUCAUAGACCAUGGUAAUAAAAUCUCUACAUUAAUGAAAAAAUUUAUUUUGAUAUAUGUCGGUCUGCUUGCUAUUGAUGGCCGAUGGUCGUAUGCUAGCCUGCUAAUGAAGCAUGUUUAUUAUUGGUUUUUUCAUGUGUCUUGUUUUACCACAUCUCUAAUGAAAUUGUACUCUUAAAAUCCACAACCUAACCUAGCCUCUGUGUUUGUCCUGUCGUGCCAUACUAUACAAACACGUAUCCGGUACUAUCCCACGUACCGGUCGGCCCUUUGCCAUCUCUAGUUUCACCCCUAAAUGAAAUCUAAACGGCUAUUGGCAAGUAAGAAAACUUGUUAUUCUUUAUUUUGAAAAUAAAGGGAAUUGCUUAGUUUGAUAUUGUUUUUGGUAAGUCAUUUUUUGUUUUGAAACAUUUUUCUGAGAUGUUGUUGUAUUUGGUGAAAAAUAAAUUAUUUUAUUUUAUACUUUUAAUGAAGAAAAGUAGAGAAAAACUUUCUUAUAAGUGCACCCGUGCCACUUUUUUCUUGUUUUAUUUGUAUGAUAAUUAUCAUGGACCCACGUAACUUUCUUUUGCAUUUAAAAUUUCAUAAUAAAUUAAAUUAGACAAAAGAAAUGAGUCCCACAAAUAAUUUAUUUUAUAAUUUUUUAAAUAAUACUAUUUUAAAAUAAAUUAUCAAAACAAAUUUCAUAUUCACUAAAAUUAAUCAUAUUCAUAUUAUAAAAUAAAUUUAAAAAUAAUAUCUGAAAAGUAAUGCUAAAUACACUCUUAAAUUUUAUGUACGGUAUUAGAAUUGAUGAACAAUCUGACAAAGAUGCUGCGACUUAAGUAGAGAUGACAAUUAAAGCUGGAUUUGGAAAAAUUCGUGUCUGCAAAUUAAAAAAUGUGGAUUCGGAUAUGGAAAUUUGGAAUUCACAUGGAUCAUAUUUUAUUUGUAGAUUUAUGAGAUUAUUGUAUGUUAUUCAUGUUGAAUUAUUAAUUGUUGAAUUAUGAUUGAAUUUUAUUUGAUAUUAUUAGGUAAAUUAUUGAAUUUUAUUUAAAAUUAAAAAUUAAAUUAAAAAUAUAUAUUAAAAAUUAAAUAAAAAAAAAUUAUAUUUUAUUUGUAGAUUUAUGAGAUUAUUGUAUGUUAUUCACGGCCAAGGCGGAUGUACGGUACAGCAGAAGUUGAAUUAUGAUUGAAUUUUAUUUGAUAUUAUUAGGUAAAUUAUUGAACUUUUAAAUUAUAUAUUAAAUUAUUUAAUUUUAAUUUUUACGGAUUUGGAUAUCCAAAAUAUCCUCCAAUAUCCGUUGCGGAUAUUACCCGCUUCUGGAUCCACAUCUUUUUAUAUGAAUUCAGAUAUAGAAAUAUGAAUGCGAAUCCGAAUCUGGAUUUUACCAACCUUGAACCUAAGCAUGAAUGGGCCUAAAGUUUCUACAACAAACAUGGAUCAUUCAAUGACACGACAUGUUUUACAGCUCUCAUUAGUAUAAUUAAAUAAUUAAUUCCUCUCUAUAUUCAACUUACUCCGUCUCAAAUUGCAUGCACAUACGAAAAUACACUUCUGAAUCGUUCACUUGAGGAAAAUUCCAAAUUCUCCACGUAGAAUUUAGAUUCAAACCAUAGCAAAUUAGACAUAAUUCUAAUUUAUAUGGCAAAUAUAAUUAGCGAAGACACUCUUUAUAUAAACAUUAUUGUCAAACCUAAUAAGAUUCAAGGUCUUAACAUACUUCAUAUGAAAUUUGAUCUUGGCGCGUACCAACACGAAUAACAUCAAGACUCUACUUCAUAUAAUGUUAACUUCAUGGAUUUUCCGCUCUCUUGUGGGUCUAUCGUUUGUUUGCAAACUUUUCCAUUUUAAAUUGACAAUUAUAGGCGCUCUCUUGUGGUACAUAAAAUAAACGUUUAUUUUUAGAAUAUUAUUAUUUAUCUCAAUUUUUGAUUUAAUAGUUAAUCUUAAUCAAUUCUUAAACUGCCAUAAUCAAUUAAUUUUUUACAUUAUGGCAUCUUAAAUAAAUUUAGGAUAUGUAAUAAAUAAAAACUGGUAACGUUUGUUCUUUUAAAGCAUAAAAUAACCGUAACAUUGGUUUUUACAUUUUGAAUUUUUCUUGCAUCACUAUUUAGAUUAGAAAAAUGAUGUUAAAUCAACUCACAAAAUAUAUCAAGCCAUCUAAAAUCCAAAUAUUAUUACAUUUGUAUUUGCAUUGUUAAAUUGUUGGAACGACGGCAAAGCAAUUGAAAAGAUAUUAACAAAAAAGUAAAGAUUGGCCAAGGAUUAUUCAUGUUUAGGAAAUGCCUUAACUUUUGAUAUAAUCAUUGUUAUAAUUAUAUUGUAGAAAUAAUCAAUUACCUAAUGUUUGAGGUGGUAAAUAUUAUUAACUUGUUUUACUAUACCCGUGUUUAUGUUGGUCUCCUUUUUGUCCAUUUCUGUACAACGAAAUAUUUGCAUGUUUUGAUAGAAAUUGGUUUAAAUGACAUUUAAAAUAGUAUAUCCCCAGACAAUUAACGAAAUAUUUGGAUGGUAGGAUGAAGUAAUAAAUAGUUUUACAAAUUACCAUAUUAGAGGUAAAAAAAAAAUCGAGAGGUUACUUGACAAUUAUGACAUUACUAACUACAAAUUUAACACAAAAAGUUUAAUUAACUUUUCAUUUUGAGAUGACAAAAUCUCUGCUGUUGAAAACAAUGAGGUUUGAGGUUCAAGCUUGAAUAUCAAGUUACAAUUAGUAGAUAGUCUUAGGACAUAUCAAAGAUUUCUUUAAAGACAAAAUAAUAAUUACAAGCAAUAGGAAAUUAUGGUAUUCAGAACAUGUAACCUUCGCACAUGAAGCUUGAGUCCAGCAAAAGAUGCAGCUAGCCAAUCCUUCAACUUCCAAAACCCCACAAAAUCUGUCAACAUAUCUGCUCUACUUCAAUAUUAAGCACAUUCAUAGCGGCAUCAACAGCUUACAGCGCCAAAAUAUUUUCCCCAAAAAGAGUGAGAGAUUUCACAGAAGCUAAGUUGUGACUUGUGACUGCCCAAAUGUUCUAUAACACGAUAUGAUUAUUCUAGUAACACAAAUCCAAUAGCAUGCAACAUAAUCUACUCUCUAACAUUGUGCAUUAGUAAAAUAAAACAGAGUAAAAAGAGAAACCAUGCCUGUGAAUCUCUUCUUUUCCCCCUGCCACCCCUUUUUUUGGUGAAGUCCAUCAAAUGAAAAUGCAGCAUGACCACGUUGGCCACUGCCACUGCCAUUGCUUCUUCAACUGUGCCUUUUGUUGCAGGAAAUAUUCAAGUGAAAGAUGGUUUAUAUAAUUCAAGAUUCCAAUAGACCUGAGCUGCAAAGGUUGCCUUCCACUAGCCUAUCAGAGAAUAUGCUUUCUAUUUUCCUAGUUUUUUAAUCAAAAUUUGCAAGAUUUAUUUAUGGAAUACUUGAACAAAAUUUUAUGUAAGAUACCAUAAAGCCAAAUGCAAUCUUUUUAAUUCUCAGCAGCAACAUUUAAAGUGAAAAAUGGAAGCCAUAUAAACAUAACUAUGUUUGCUACGAGGAACAAUUAUUUCAAGCUUUCAGAAAUGCUAGAAAGAAAUUGUAAAGAGAACUUUACCUAGUCACAGAAUAUGUCAAACAUACUACCACCAACUGUCUUUAGCACGAUUGUUAUGGAAGUAGCUUUUGAAUCGGAAGAUUCCAGCUUCCACCGGGCACCAUUUUUUUCAUUCUUGAUACAAUCUGCAUCACUGGCAUUAGUUAUAUCAUCAACAUUUGCAUCCUCACUCUCAUCAUCCCAAUCAAGGCUUCUUCUCCAGCUCUGGAUUAUAAGUCCACUCCGACAUCUUCAAACAUCUCGGUCCUUCCAUUUGCCAACAACCGAUAUGGCUUCCUUCCUUGCCUUUCCCAUUAAUAUAUCACUCGAAGGAAAAAAAGCAUCAGCAAUUCUCUUCAACGCCUCAUCGUUUAUAACCCCCCAAAAAAAGGGUCUUCAGACACCUCAACUUUGCCUUCUGCAAAAUCUCCACAAAAUCUGAAUUAUCCAACACAAAAGCCAGACACUCAAUCCUUCUUUUGUCCAUCAUAUCCACCGUAUGAUUCCUCAACAAAAUAUCUACAGCUUGUGGCUUAUCUAACACUGUCUUGAUCCAAAACCCCGCUCUUUUCAACUCAUCUGCCAAACCAUAACCCACUUUUGGAGUCAAAAUUGUCCUUGCAGCCCUUUUAUAUUUUUCCAUCUCCAUCGAAUACUUGCCACUCAAAUGGAAUUACCAGACAGGAAUCCCAGUAACAAGUCCACUCAACUUCUUCUCAUCUGAUCCCUCUUUCACUCUGGCGGAAACAUUAAUAACCAUUCACCAGCCACAAAUUACCCAAGUAAGUACUCGUGUCGUCAACACUUACCCUUCACUUCAUCUACGCAAACAAGAAUUCAAAUUGCUUACUAGCUAGUGCUCGAGCGAAAGCCAGAAUAAUUUAAAUAUGUGUGUGUGUGUGUUAAAAGAGAAACGGUAGCGAAGUUAUUAUACAAUAAAGCAAACCAAAAUAAAUUCUACACUCAUGUGGCGCUCAAAGCCAUGAAUUUGAUAUCAUCCAUGAGGGGAGUUCAAACAACAGCAUGUAAGAAGCAACAAGUGUUGAGAAAAACAAAGUGACAAAAACAAAGCUAAUCACAAUGAAUGAUAAGGUUUAGAGUAAACAUAAAGUUAUAAUCUUGAACAUAAGUGGCGCUCAAAGCCAUGAAUUUGAUAUCAUCCAUGAGGGGAGUUCAAACAACAGCAUGUAAGAAGCAACAAGUGUUGAGAAAAACAAAGUGACAAAAACAAAGCUAAUCACAAUGAAUGAUAAGGUUUAGAGUAAACAUAAAGUUAUAAUCUUGAACAUAAGUGGCGCUCAAAGCCAUGAAUUUGAUAUCAUCCAUGAGGGGAGUUCAAACAACAGCAUGUAAGAAGCAACAAGUGUUGAGAAAAACAAAGUGACAAAAACAAAGCUAAUCACAAUGAAUGAUAAGGUUUAGAGUAAACAUAAAGUUAUAAUCUUGAACAUAAGUGGCGCUCAAAGCCAUGAAUUUGAUAUCAUCCAUGAGGGGAGUUCAAACAACAGCAUGUAAGAAGCAACAAGUGUUGAGAAAAACAAAGUGACAAAAACAAAGCUAAUCACAAUGAAUGAUAAGGUUUAGAGUAAACAUAAAGUUAUAAUCUUGAACAUAAGUGGCGCUCAAAGCCAUGAAUUUGAUAUCAUCCAUGAGGGGAGUUCAAACAACAGCAUGUAAUUAAGAAGCAACAAGUGUUGAGAAAAAAAAAAAAUUCAUUCUAACACAGCAGAAUAAAUUGUAAAGAAAUCCCAGUUUGUAUAAAAGAAAGAAAACAAAAUUAAGGAAAACAUAAGCACAACAAAAUUUGACUGAUUAUUAAAAAUGAGAAAUGAGUUAUAAUGAGAAUUUUAGCUUUGUUGUGAAAUAAAUUGGGAAGUAUCCAAAGUACGCAUGUAAAUAAUAUAAAUGAUAAGAAGACGAAGGGAACAAAAUGAUAAUAAGCAAGCCAAAUAUUAAAAUGCAGAUUCUACGCUUCCGCCACCCCCCCUGAUGGGUGUCGAAGCCAACAAAAAUAAAUUCCUACUCUAAAUAAAUUGUGUAUAGUGAUUGAGCAGGGUCGUGUCCACAGAGAUCGGUAAUUAUUUAAAUCCUUUUGAAACGUAAAACGUAAAAUGGGGGAAUUGUUGACAAUAAUAAAAAUCAAAUUGAAAUAAACAAGAAUGCAAAUUAAAGUUGUAAUUCAAAUUGGAGAAAGCUCUGGUUGAAGGAAUUAACUCAGCUUGAUUCGACUACUGAUCAUUGAUUCAAAUAUAGAUUAUUAUUAAUGCAUUCCUCUUGCCAAAAUCGCCUUGUCUUUCCCUCGAGCAACUUUUCCAGCAAAUUAUUUGCUAGCGGAUCUUGUUGGAGGCCUUCCUUGAUGCGUGAGACAAGGUCGGACUUCGGUUGGCUCAUGCUAAGUGUUGCCAAUUCCGCCUUGCGGCUUAGAGCGUCCGUAACGACAUUGGCUUUCCCUGGUUUGUACUCGAGCCGAUAGUCGAAUUCCGCUAGAAAAUCCUGCCACCUUGCUUGCUUCGGACUCAACUUCUUUUGUGUUUGAAAGUAGCUCGUUGCUACGUUGUCCGUCAUAAUCGUGAAGUGAGAGCCUAGCAAGUAAUGUCGCCACACUCUUAGACAAUGGAUGAUGGCUGUCAUCUCCUUCUCUUGCACCGUGUAGCGGCGUUCCGUAUCAUUUAGCUUUCGACUCUCGAAUGCUAUAAGGUGGCCUUUUUGCAUGAGGACUCCCCCUAUGGCGAAAUCCGAGGCAUCCGUUUGGACUUCGAAGGGCUUUGUGUGGUCCGGAAAGGCGAGGACUGGUUCCUCCGAAAUUGCCUUCUUCAACUCCUCGAAUGCGCGUUGGCAUCCUUCGGACCAAUGCCACGUUCUGUUUUUCUUGAGCAUAUCCAUCAAGGGUGCCGCCUUGGCCGAAUAGCCCUUGUUGAAGCGGCGGUAGUAGUUCACCAACCCAAGGAAUGAGCGAAGCUCGGGCACUUUUGAGGGAGGUUCCCAUUCGAGGAUGGCCUUUACUUUGGCGUUCUCCAUCAUGAUCUUCCAGCCCGCAAUCUUGUGGCCAAGGAACUCUGGUCCGUAAUGAUGUAGUCCAUAUCUUUGUCGAACGCGGUGACAACGGCGGUUGGCGCGGGCCUUGAUUCUCCGCGACUUGGGUCUCCCAUGUCUUCGUGAUAUGGCUUGAGAAGACUCACAUGGAAGACCGGAUGGAUCUUGAGUUUUGGCGGAAGUUGAAGUUGAUACGAGACGUUGCCCACACGUCGAACAACUCGGAAGGGUCCCUCGUAGCGCCUCACUAACCCCUUGUGGACUUUCCGCAACGUCUUGAAUUGUUGGGGUAGGAGCUUGAUCAUGACUUGAUCACCUUCCGUGUACUCAACACGCCGUCUCCUUGUAUCCGCCCAUUUCUUCAUUUUCCUUGCGGCUUUGUCGAGGUAGGCUCGCGUGAUGUCUGUUUCCUCAUGCCACUCGCGGGUGAGCUUGUGUGCCGCGGGGCUUUUCCCUCCGUAAGUCGAGGCUAUGGCAUUGGGGGUCAUGGGCUGGAAUCCCAUGAUGAUCUCGAAUGGACUCUUGCCCGUAGCCUCGCUUCGCUGCAAGUUAUAAGAAAAUUGGGCAUCUCGAUUGCUCACAAUGCUCUUUAGAACUCCCCAAAGCUUUACGAUGUGCUUGAUGAAUAGGCGGGCUGCCUCGUCCGCUUUGCAAUCGACUGGUGCGGCGAUGAAUGUGGCGUACUUGCUGUAUCGGUCGACAACGACCAUGAUGCUACCGCAACCUUCGGACUUGGGCAGCGAUGUGAUGAAGUCCAUGGAGACACUUUCCCAUAGCCUUGUUGCUAGUGGUAGCGGCUCCAACAAUCCCGCUGAAAGUUGAUGAUCCACUUUGUCUUGUUGGCAAACAAGACAAGUUCGCACAUAUGCCUCGAUGUCGUCUCUCAUGUGUGGCAAAAAAUGCGAGGCUUGAACUAGUGCGGUGGUGCGCUCGAUUCCUGGGUGACUAGCCCACUUGGAGUCGUGGCACUCCUUGAUUACUUCCUUCCGUAAGUUUCCCAACCUUGGCACGAACAACCGAUCUCCCUUGGUGAGGAGGAUGCAUUCCUCUUGCCAAAAUCGCCUUGUCUUUCCCUCGAGCAACUUUUCCAGCAAAUUAUUUGCUAGCGGAUCUUGUUGGAGGCCUUCCUUGAUGCGUGAGACAAGGUCGGACUUCGGUUGGCUCAUGCUAAGUGUUGCCAAUUCCGCCUUGCGGCUUAGAGCGUCCGUAACGACAUUGGCUUUCCCUGGUUUGUACUCGAGCCGAUAGUCGAAUUCCGCUAGAAAAUCCUGCCACCUUGCUUGCUUCGGACUCAACUUCUUUUGUGUUUGAAAGUAGCUCGUUGCUACGUUGUCCGUCAUAAUCGUGAAGUGAGAGCCUAGCAAGUAAUGUCGCCACACUCUUAGACAAUGGAUGAUGGCUGUCAUCUCCUUUUCUUGCACCGUGUAACGGCGUUCCGUGUCAUUUAGCUUUCGACUCUCGAACGCUAUUGGGUGGCCUUCUUGCAUAAGGACUGCGAGGCUUGAACUAGUGCGGUGGUGCGCUCGAUUCCUGGGUGACUAGCCCACUUGGAGUCGUGGCACUCCUUGAUUACUUCCUUCCGUAAGUUUCCCAACCUUGGCACGAACAACCGAUCUCCCUUGGUGAGGAGGAUGCAUUCCUCUUGCCAAAAUCGCCUUGUCUUUCCCUCGAGCAACUUUUCCAGCAAAUUAUUUGCUAGCGGAUCUUGUUGGAGGCCUUCCUUGAUGCGUGAGACAAGGUCGGACUUCGGUUGGCUCAUGCUAAGUGUUGCCAAUUCCGCCUUGCGGCUUAGAGCGUCCGUAACGACAUUGGCUUUCCCUGGUUUGUACUCGAGCCGAUAGUCGAAUUCCGCUAGAAAAUCCUGCCACCUUGCUUGCUUCGGACUCAACUUCUUUUGUGUUUGAAAGUAGCUCGUUGCUACGUUGUCCGUCAUAAUCGUGAAGUGAGAGCCUAGCAAGUAAUGUCGCCACACUCUUAGACAAUGGAUGAUGGCUGUCAUCUCCUUCUCUUGCACCGUGUAGCGGCGUUCCGUAUCAUUUAGCUUUCGACUCUCGAAUGCUAUAAGGUGGCCUUUUUGCAUGAGGACUCCCCCUAUGGCGAAAUCCGAGGCAUCCGUUUGGACUUCGAAGGGCUUUGUGUGGUCCGGAAAGGCGAGGACUGGUUCCUCCGAAAUUGCCUUCUUCAACUCCUCGAAUGCGCGUUGGCAUCCUUCGGACCAAUGCCACGUUCUGUUUUUCUUGAGCAUAUCCAUCAAGGGUGCCGCCUUGGCCGAAUAGCCCUUGUUGAAGCGGCGGUAGUAGUUCACCAACCCAAGGAAUGAGCGAAGCUCGGGCACUUUUGAGGGAGGUUCCCAUUCGAGGAUGGCCUUUACUUUGGCGUUCUCCAUCAUGAUCUUCCAGCCCGCAAUCUUGUGGCCAAGGAACUCCACUUGUUGUUGGGCAAACGAGCACUUCUCCAACUUGAGGAAGAGCUCAUUGUCUCGGAGCACUUGGAGGACUUGUCGCAAGUGUUGGGCAUGAUCCUCGAGCGUGGUGCUAUACACCACGAUGUCAUCCAAGUACACGACCACGAAGCGGUCGAGGAAUGGUUGGAGCACCUUGUUCAUGAGCGUGUAAAAUGUGGCGGGUGCAUUAGUAAGGCCAAAAGGCAUCACAAGGAAUUCGAAAGACCCGUACCUUGUUGUGCACGAUGUCUUCGGUUCGUCUCCCUUGACGAUGCGCACUUGGUAGUACCGGGAGCGCAAGUCGAGUUUGGUGAAGUACCGCGUUUUGCCAAGCUGGUCGAACAAGUCCGCGAUCAAGGGAAUCAGAUACUUGUUCUUGAUGAUGAUAUUGUUGAGCGCUCUAUAGUCGAUGCACAUCCGCAGCGAUCAAUCCUUUUUCUUUUGGAAGAGCACGGGUGCACCGAAUGGGGCCUUUGAGGGGCGAAUGUAGCCUGCAUCCAGCAAGUCUUUGAGUUGUCUCCGCAACUCUUCUAAUUCGGGUGGUGCCAUGUGGUAAGGCGCCAAGGCUGGUGGCUUCGCACCUUGUUCCAGCUCGAUCGCAUGAUCUACCUCUCGUCUAGGUGGGAGCUUCUUCGGAAGUUCUGGAGGCAUCACGUCCUUGUACUCGUUGAGGACUUUUUGUAUUUGCGGAGGGACUUGGCUUGGCUUGUUUCCGCAAUCUCCUUCCUCGUUUAGUUCCCGAAUGGAGACCAAGAAGCUUGGGUCCUUCUUGAAAGCCCUUUUGAAUUGCAUGGCGGAGAGUGUCUUCUCCUCGGACUUGCCUCGUUCCAUGGGAACCAUGCAUGCCUUGCUCCCAUCGAGGAUGCCUAGGGAGUUUGUAGCGGGCAGCGGGAAGGCAUGGACUUGAUCGAAGAAUUCCAUGCCGAGGACCAUGUUGAAGUCAUCCAUGGGCACAAUGGAGAAGUCAAGCUUUCCGCUCCACCUACCAAGUGUAAUGUGCACGCCUUGUGCGAUUCCCGCAAUUGGCUUGGCGGGUGAGUUCACAGCCUUCAUCGUGCCUCCCGUGUUUAGCAGUGCGUGAAUAGACUGGCCAUUUAUUUUCGCGCUUACAUACAUGAGCCCUUUCUUGACAAGUGUGGGCUGUUGGCGAUUGAGUGGGCCGAGGCGUUAGAGAGAACCCAUGCUGAGUUGGGGUUCCUCCGUGGACAUUGUGGGGUUGCUAUUGAGUUGGGCAGCAAGAGCAUUAAGCGACCUCUUCUCCGGACAGUCGCGUACCCAAUGAGGACCGUUGCAUAUGAAGCACGGGCUUCGUGGCUUUGGCGCCUCCUUUUUGCCCUCCGAUUUUCCUUACUCGCUCUUGUUACUAGGCGGCUUUUUCUGCCCCCAAUCUUUGCGGUUGUUGCCCUUGUCCUUGCGACUAUCUCCCCCACCUUUGCCUUUGUUGGCCUUUUUGUCCUUGGAUUGGGUAGAGUAUUCGGUGAGCGACUCCGCAAUGGCGAUGGCAUCGUCAAGUGUUUGAACACCACGCCUAUCAAGCUCGGUCUUGGCCCAAUCCUUGAGGCCAUCUUGGAAGUAGAAGAGCGAAUCCUUGUCGGACAUAUCGCUUAUCUCCAACAUAAGGGUAGUGAACUCAUUGAUGUAGUCCCGAAUGCUACCCGAUUGCUUGAGGCGACAUAAGCGCGCUCGCGCUUCCUUCUCCGCAUUGCUUGGGGCGAACUGCUUUCGGAGUUCUUGCUUGAAGUCAGCCUAAGUGUCGAUGGUGCAAAUGCCCUUGCCCAUCUCGCCAUGCUUGUGACGCCACCAUAGUUGUGCAGUACCUCUAAGAUAGGUGGGUGCAGUGCCCACUUUCGAUGCCUCAUCUCGAACACCCAUGGCAUCGAAGUAUUGAUCAAGCCUGAAUAGGAAGUUGUCCACGAUUGUGGCGUUGCGUGUGCCAUCGUAGGUGUCGGGCUUUGGCACAUCAAUGCGGCGCGCAUCACUCGAGUUUGCGGAAGCUGGACUUGUGGAGAGUGUGCGCUUGUGCCAUGCCCAAUCUAAGCGGACUUCAUCCACUUCCGCACGGACAGCGCGUAGUUCGUCCUGAACAAAACUACGAAGUUUGAGUAACUCAUCAUGGAAGGAACGAAACUCACCUCGGAGAGUGUUUGCUUGCUCUUGGAUGAGAGCUUUGGUUGCCACCGUGAACUCGGCGUAUUCCCCUUCGAAACCGUCCACUCUUUCCUCCAAUCCCUCGAGGCUAUCUUGAGUGGUGGACUAAGCGGACUUCAUCCACUUCCGCACGGACAGCGCGUAGUUCGUCCUGAACAAAACUACGAAGUUUGAGUAACUCAUCAUGGAAGGAACGAAACUCACCUCGGAGAGUGUUUGCUUGCUCUUGGAUGAGAGCUUUGGUUGCCACCGUGAACUCGGCGUAUUCCCCUUCGAAACCGUCCACUCUUUCCUCCAAUCCCUCGAGGCUAUCUUGAGUGGUGGACAAAGUUAUUUCGAGAGUAGUCACACGAGGCUCCAACACAUCCACAGAUGGGGCCUUGGACUUGCCACGAGUCUUGCCUUGGGCGCGUUCUCCCUCUCGGCCGCGGCUUGGUUCCGGUGGAACAUCCACACCAACAACACCCUCUUGUGCUACGUUCGAAGGGUUGGCCAUUGCUCGUGAGCUAACUUGCGUGUGUGCAAACCUUAGCUCUGAUACCACUUGUUACGGGAUGAGUAUUUUACGCAGCUAACCCGUGCGGCACUUAGACAGUUUUGCCGAAUGUUGCUAAGUAAGCCUAGAGCUUCUCGAACUAGAGAAGAGAGCAAUUGAGCCGAAUAAGAGAAAUUGUAUUGCACAAAUAGAGAUUACAAUGCUUGAGUUGCUUACAAUGCUUGUUGUAGUGUUUGUUGGAUGCAAAUGCCUAAUGCCAUCCCAUAUUUAUAGGGGAGGCUUGCCAAGCUCUAGAGAUUCUAGAGAAUUCUACCACUUCCUAGCUAUUUACAUGUACUGGAAUUGUAAGGAGAAUUCUAAAGUAUUUACAAGCUCAUGUGCUAGAGUUGCCUAGAAUGUUCCGGAAUUGGGCCAAGCUAGCACUCUUGGCCUUGUGUUGGCUCUCUAGCCCGAAAUUAUGGGCAAUUGGGCUAGCGAAUUGGGCGGACCGUAUGAUAAAGUUUGUUGCACGUGUGAGUUGGUUAAGUCUGCUAGAAAUGCAAACGUGUAAAGCUUAGUUAGUUAAGGUUGUUACGAAUGCUUAGAUUCAGUUCACGUGUAUUGUAUGUAAUGCUUAGAUUCAGCUCAUGUAGAUUGUGAAUACAACUUUCUAAUAUUCUUUAGAUCUCAAUAUAAAUACUUGUAAUCAACAAAUACAAUAAUAAGAGUCAUCAUUCUUCAUUUUCUCUCUGUUUCUCUCAUAUUUUCUCUGCAUCCAAACACAAUAUUCUCAAUUCUUGACUUGGUAUCAGAGUUGCAGUUUAAUUGUCAUGGCUUCCUUAAGCACAAAUUCAAACACAAAUCAGUCUCCUUCAUUCUUUACCCUCACAAAUGCGAUCAAACUGGACAGAUCUAACUAUAUGAUCUGGAAAUUUCAGAUCCUCUCUUCAGUGCAUGCCAAUGGACUUGAAGGCUUUCUUAAUGGAACUAAAAUUUGUCCAGAUCAGUUACUUACUCAAGAGAUUGAAAGUUAUGGUGUUGAAAAUGCUGUUGGUGAAAGCUCAGUUGAUAGAUCUCAAGAGAAUCCAGCCUUUGUUGCUUGGAAAAGGUAGGAUCAAUUGUUAUUAAGUUGGCUCAUGUCCUCCAUCAGUGUUGAGAUACUUAGUCUUGUGGUAAAUUUUGAUUCUUCUUAUAAACUUUGGACUAAUCUUGAAGAAAAUUUUUGGAUUAGAAACUAUGGCUAAGAAAGCACACUUAAAAAUUAUGUUAAGCAAUCUCAGAAAUGGAUCAAUGCAAUAACUGAGUAUUUUGCCAAACUUAGAGCUGUAACUAAUAAACUUGCUCUAAUUGGUAGCCCUGUUUCUACUCUAGACUUUAUUACUCAUCUAAUCUCUAAUCUAGAUAUGGAGCGAAAAAUAUAGAUCCAUGACGGAUCUGAAACAGAUACAGAUUUUAAUUUUUAUUACGGAUUUGGAUCUGGAGCAAUGUAGAUCCAAUCCAUAUCUGCUCCAUUGCCAUCCCUACUGUGAGAUAUAGCAUUCUUCAAUUAAUCACAUCAUACUUGUUGGAUGAGUUUCGAAUAACCCAAAAACGACACGUACAUUACUUCAUUGCAUUGGUAGCAGUUUGGUGCUUUGGGUUUGAAAAUGGACCAAGCUCGUGCAAUUACAAUUCUUUUAUGCCAAUAGGAAAACUAGACCCUAUUUUUACUUAAAUGUACACAAAAUAGGAAAACUAGGUCCUAUGGUUUAUUUAAAUGUACACAGACAUCUCUCAAUUUUUUUUAAAAAUUGUUACAUAAUUUUUUUCUUUUACUAUCACAAUCUUUACCUAUGGCAACCAAAAAAAAAAUGAUUUUAUCAUAAUCGUCCCAUGCAACACCUCUCUCAUGAUCACGCAUGUAAUGUACCUCAUCAAACCAAGCCACUUCACGCGUAAUCUCCGAACCUUAUAGUUUAUACUGCAUACUACGCCAGAUUUCAGUAGUCAUCACCUGAAAUUAAACUUCAUAUAAGCAAUCCACAAAUCAAAGCGCUGCAACACCCAAAAGAUGACACUACCAAGUUGACCUACCAAACAAGAAGCAUUAGGGUCAAUUGUGACAUCCCCAGUCAUCAAACCGACAUCUGAAAACUCUUCUUUAAACUCCCUGUACUUCUGAUUGCUGAGUGCCUUAAUCGGUGAAGUAUAUAUCACACGUUGCUUAUUCCGCAACGACAUAGCAAUAGCAUACAAUGCUACCACAGUCUUCCCAGCAGAUGUAUGGGCCGAUACCUGUCAAAUAAAUGAAAGGCAAACCCGAUUUUUUUAAUAAAAAAAAAGAGAAAAAAAACUAUUUUUAUUUUUCACACAAGAUAACACUUAAUGCAAAAAUUAUUAUCUGUGAGCUGAAAAGAAGAGCGCUUUGUACGAAAGCACUUCCAAAUUCAAAUUACAUCUUUUACAAAAAAUUAGAGCUUUAUACGUAUGUGUGUGCGCGCGGGCGCGUGUCCGUGUAUAUAAUAAUAAUAAUAAAAAACGAACCAUAACGGACUCGCCGUUGUCGAGGCACUUGAUAGCUUCGGACUGGAAUGGGUCGAGAGUGAAAGGGAAUUCCUUAGCAGGUUUGGCGUCAGCUUCAGCGGCAGCUGCUCCAGUUGAAGAAGAAGAAGGCACGUAACCGGGGGGAAACGACACGUCGUGUAGACAAGCAACUGGCUCAUCGUCGUUAACAAUCAUUGUCCCGUUGCCGUUCGAAUUCUGCAUUGGUUGAGGAGUCUCGUACGAGUCUUCCAUUAUUGACUUUCUCUUCAACGAUGCCAUGCUUCUUCUUAUUAUCUGGCUGUUUGCUAACAAUAGUAAAUACUGAAAAUAAGAAACCCUAGGGACAAAGAGGUAAUUUUCUGAUUGAAAGAGAAGCGGACCUCUCUUCCUCUUCUUGCUACCACAGACGGUGGUUGUUUAGGCGGCUACUAACGAGCGCUGAAGAGACGACAAUCAUAAAAUUUCACGGCUUUUAUACUCCCAUUAAAACGGGGCGUUUUUAUGAGUCAUGAGGUGGGAUCGGAACCAAGACGCACUAAACAUAAAACGCGGCGUUUCAUGGACUAGUACAUCAGUGAGCUGAAAAGCAGUAAUGCAAAAAUUAAUGCAAAAAUUAAUUUUUAUUUUUGUACAUGGACUAGUACAUCAGACGCACUAGAUAAAAAUUAAUUUUUAUUUUUGUACAUGCAAAAAUUAAUGCAAAAAUUAAUGCAAAAAUAAAAACUAUUUUUAUUUUUCACACAAGAUAACACUUAAUGCAAAAAUUAUCAUCAGUGAGCUGAAAAGCAGAGCGCUUUGUACGAAAGCACUUCCAAAUUCGAAUUAAAUUUUUUACAAAAAAUUACAGCUUUAUAUAUAUGUGUGUGCGCGUGCGUAUAAUAAUAAUAAUAAUAAUUACCGAACCGUAACGGACUCGCCGUUGUCGAGGCACUUGAUAGCUUCGGACUGGAAUGGGUCGAGAGUGAAAGGGAAUUCCUUAGCAGGUUUAAACAUAAAACGCGGCGUUUUCAUGGACUAGUACAUUCCAUGCUUCGAAAGUUUAUGUUUUAAACUGAUUGGUUUGAUACAUUAUUUGUUUAUUGCGUUUUUCUUGCUUUAAAUAUUAUGUUGGAUUGAUAAGUUUUGUACACAUUUAUAUUGCUCGCAGUAAAUAAUUUAUUACAUUUAAAAAACUAUCAACCGUCUAUCAAAAGAUUUCUACCAUAAAUAUAUAUACACAAAAAAACUUUUAAUUUGGUCAAUUUGUUCUCUUAUUUAUUUUUGUUCUAUUUCUCUUUUCCUUUCAUUUCAUUUUAUUGUUUUAUGGUACAAAAAAAAAUAACCUUAAAAUUUAAGGGUAAAAUACUCAUUUUACUAAAUUCCGUUUAAUAUCAUAAUGCUGUCAAUGGACAAUGGCAAAGUACACGGGGAAAUUUAUAGUAAUAAUCAUUAAAGUUUUGAUUUUUUUCAUCUUAACCCCCCAAAAAUAUUUCUAUCAAUAUUAGCCAUAAAACAACCUUUGAGACCAAAAUACCCUUCUCCCUCAUCUCUCCCCCAACACUCCCUUUCACUCAUCUCUCCCAAACCGAUCCAACUCCCAUCAUCGGUGGCAACAUCAACCCUCGUCAGCGGCGGCUCCAUCUCUCACCGGCAUCCGAUCUACGAUCUACAACCUUCAACAAAACCUAGGUUAGUCAUUUUUCUUAUUUUCAUUAAUUUAAAAUGAAAUUUUAGAAUAAUAAUGGUUAUAGUUUGAGAAUAAUGUUGAUGGUGGUGGUGUUUGUGGUGGUUGGUGGUGUUUGAGAGUAUUGUUUUUCGAUUUUGGAGUGUUGUGGAUUAAUUUUGGGGGUGGGGAGGGAGGGGGGUAGGGCGCGCGCGCGCGCCCAUCGCUGGAUAGCAGCGCGAGCCCAUGCGCGCCCCGCUGUCGCACCAAAUCUGGUGCGACAGGCCCUGUCGCCAGAUUCACCUCUCGACUCAGUUCAGCAAGUUCAGAAAAUAACUCAUACCACUAAGUGAUGCCGAUUAGUGUUGAUCCAGAUAGAUUAUGAUCGGAUUUCACUUUUAUCGUUGUCUUUUGCUGUCGCCGUUGGCUGAUGAUUCAAGAGUGGCAAGCUGCGUUUGGUUUGACGAUAUGGGUGAAACAAUGUUGCUUUUGGUCUGUAAAGAAGGGUAAUUUGGGGAGAAAAGCUUGUGUUUGGCUAAUGUUGAUAGAAAAAAGUUGAGAGGGUUAAUUAUGAAAAAUAUUUAUAGUUACUUUCGUAAAUUUCCCAAGUACACGAGUGAUACAAAUUAAAAACAAAUAAAUUGAAAGUUUUUAUGUAUUUUCCUUUUAUUUUUUUAUAGCCGAUUGAGAUUUCCCUUCGUAUUCUUAAAUUCAAUACGUUUAGACCGUUUAAAAAAUUUUAAAUUAAAAAAAAACCCGUGGUGUAAUAACAAACUCACAUCAAACCCUGUCCACUGUCAUCCCUAAUAAUAUUUACCACUUCAUACUCAAGAGUGAUAAUAACUGUGUAUCACAAUUGAUUUUGCAUACGGGUAAAAGUUCCAAGUCCGGAUAUUUAGUUAAUGAAAUUGAUGAAAAGGGCAUGAAAGAAAAUAAGAAAUUAAAUAAUACAGGUGGCAUUAAUCAUUACAUAUUUAGUUAAUGAAAAUUGAUGAAAAUAUUUCUGCAGACAUGAGCCGUAAUUAUAAUACCGUUAAGAAUGAAGCAGAAAAGGUUCCCCAAACAAGCUAAAACACGGCACCUGAAUUUAAAGAAUUUUUAUGUCACAGUAUCGGGACAAAAAGUUUAAUGCAACAACAUACAUUAAGUUAAUUCCAUAAUCUAUCACCAAAGAAAGACAAACACAAGCUUAUAAGAUUAGAACUUUGGAAAACAUUGAAGAGUCGGACAAAAUUGUGUAACCUUCAGAGUUUAGAGCCUAGUUCAUCCAGGAAAGCAAAAGAAAAAUAAUAACAAUAAUAAUGGUGGUUUGAUCUCAAAAGGUGGCAUCAAAGUGGUAACUUUGAGGUAUUGGAAGCAAUAACGUCUUCAACUUUGUCCUGAUUUCGAAGUCCCUUAACCCAUCCGCCAUCAAUGGAUUGAAUGCUUCCAUUCAACCAUCAUCCACAAACUCACCAACCCGUUUCACCUUCAUCUCCUCCGGCUUAACAGGGUACUUCCCAGAGAAGCAAGCAUAACAAAAAUUCUGAGAAUCAUCGCCUAACAUCUUGUUCAAGCUGUCAAUCAGCAGAAAAGCAAGCGAAUCACACCCAAUAAACUCCCUGAUUUCCUCAACGCUCAUCCUGUUGGAAAUCAACUCCUCACUACUUGGAGUGUCUACUCCGUAGUAACAAGAAGCUAUGAUUGGUGGGCUUGCAAUUCUCAUGUGAACCUCUUUAGCUCCAGCCUCCUUAAGCAACCUAACAAUUUUCGAUGAAGUUGUUCCUCUCACUAUCGAAUCAUCCACAACCACAACUCUCUUUCCCUCCAACACUCCCGUUACAGGAGAGAGCUUAAGCUUGACACCAAAGUCCCUAAUCUUCUGGGAAGGCUCAAUGAAAGUUCUCCCAACAUAGUGUGACCUUAUCAACCCUUGUUGAAAUGGCACCCCGGCUUUCGCAGCGUACCCAAGUGCAGCCACCACUCCAGAAUCUGGUACUGCAAUCACAACAUCACACUCAACAGGAGCCUGGGUAGCAAGUACUUCCCCAAAAUGAUACCUCGACUCAUAAACAGACCUUCCAAAAACAACAGAAUUAGGCAAAGCAAAAUAAAUAUGCUCAAAGAUGAACUGCUUAGGUUCAGGGUGAGGCAUCAAACAAAGUGAUUGAACCCCAUCUUUAUCCACCAUCAAAACUUCACCGGGAUAUACCUCUCUCUCGUAUGUGGCCUCAAUCAAAUAGUGCACAAGUCUCUGACGCAAAAACCACAGCACCAUUACUCCUCCUACCCAUCACCAACGGCCUAAACC